GGUGGUGCUGCGUGUCAGAUGAUUUCGAUGUCAGUACCAUUGCAAGCAACAUCUGCCAGACCAAUGAGAAAUGUCGUGAAAAAUCAUUGCAGGAGCUCCAGAGUACAAUAAGUGGAAAAAGGUACCUCAUUGUGUUAGAUGAUGUAUGGAAUCGGGAUGCUGAUAAGUGGGGAAAACUAAAGACCUGCCUUAAACAGGGUGGCAAGGGCAGUGCAGUACUAACAACAACUCGUGAUGCAGAAGUGGCUCGCAUUAUGACCAUGGGUGUAGCUGAAGCCCAUAAUAUCGAGAAUCUGAGUGACGAGCAUUUAAAGGAAAUUGUCCAGAGCAGAGCAUUCAGCUUGCAAAAUCCAAAUAUAGAAGAGCAAGAUGGCAUUCUCAGUGGAUUUGUUCGUCGAUGCGUUGGAUCUCCCUUGGCUGCCAAAGCCUUUGGCUCUAUGUUGAGUAACAGGACUAGUAUAAAUGAAUGGAAGGAUGUAUUAGCUAAAAGUGACAUUUGUAGUGAGAAAACCGGAAUUUUACCGAUCCUCAAGCUCAGUUUUGAUGACCUAUCCCCAGAUAUGAAGCAGUGCUUUGCAUUUUGUGCUUUAUUUCCUAAAGAUUAUGAGAUUGAUGUGGACCUCUUGAUUCGACUGUGGAUGGCACAUGACUUCGUACCUGUGCAAGAGGAUGACAAUCCAGAAACCGUAGGAAAAUAUAUUUUCGAGGAGCUAACUCGGAGGUCAUUCUUUCAAGAUGUUAGGCAAACACGUCCAAUUGGCAAUCUUCGUAGGUCAACCAUAUGCAGGAUACAUGAUCUCAUGCACGACAUUGCUCUAUCAGUUCUGCGGAAAGAAUGUGUCACUAUAGUUGAUAAGCCGAGCGUCAACAAGCUGUUGCUAAAUCCGACCCGCCACCUCUUCUUAUCAAUAUACGGUGUUAGUCCUGUUUUCGUGCAAGAACAGGUUACAAGUCUAUUGAAGAAACAAACUGCAAUGCUCCAUACGUUGUUUAUCAAAGGUUAUGGUCAACCCCUUGAUAUAUCAAAGUACACUUCACUGCGAGCAUUACACCUUCCAGCAGAUAGGUUAUCAUGUGUAGGACAGGAACAGCUUACAAGACACAUACAGCACCUAAGGUAUCUUAAUCUGUCGUCACAUGAGUUCGAGAAACUUCCUGAAGGUAUAAGCAUGAUGUAUAAUCUACAAACGUUGGACCUCUCUCAUUGCAGACACCUUCGUCAACUUCCAAAGGAUAUGAAGUAUAUGGCAAACCUCCGACACCUCUAUACCCAUGGAUGCAAAUCAUUGACGUGCAUGCCUCCAGGACUUGGACAGAUCACUUCUCUGCGGACUCUAACUUAUUUUGUUAUUGGUGAUGGCUUGGGAUGUAGUACUAUUGCGGAACUUCAAAACUUAAAUCUUGGUGGAGAGUUAGAGUUAAGUGGUCUGCAAAAUGUAACAGAAGUGCUUGCAAAAGCAGCCAAUCUUGAAAAAAAAGAGAAACUCACAUACUUAUCUCUCAAGUGGAAUGAUGAUGCCCGUGAGAAACCAGAUUCUCAUAAUGAGGUGUUAGAUGCCCUUAAACCUCAUCAUCAGCUGGAGAUGCUAAGAAUAAAGUCCUACAAAGGCACCAAUUUACCGUCAUGGAUAACAGAUCUUAGUAUGUUGCAGCACUUGACUGAGCUCCAUCUGCUUGGUUGUAUGCUGUGUGAGGAAUUUCCUCAAUUCUGCCAUUUCAAAGCCCUUGAAGUUCUGCAUUUGGAAAAGUUGGACAAAUUGCGAAGCCUAUGCAGCCAUAUGGUGUCUACGCCAUUUCCAGCACUGAAGCAACUCCGGUUACAUGAUUUGGAGAGCUUGGAGAGAUGGGUCGCAACAGAAGGAAAAGAAGAUGAUGAAUUAACCUUUCCUCUACUUGAGGAGGUCGAUAUAGACAACUGUCCAAAGUUGACUAGCCUACCUGAAGCACCAAAGCUCAGGGUUGUAAGUUUGGAUGAAGGCAAGCCGCUGCUCUCCUUAGGAAUAGUUAAAUCAAGGCACAUGUCUUCAAUUUCUAAGCUAAAGCUGCGUGUCCAUGACACAGAAGCACUGCCUGAGAUAGAUUAUAAUUGGGAUUCAUCACAGAAACAGAAACUAUCUUUGGGUGGCACAGAAGCCGCACCUCUGUCAGAACUGAACAUAUCUGGCUGCAACUUUUUCUUCGUAUCAAGCCAGUCACAGCUAACACCUGGGGUCUGGAAAUGGUUUGAACAUCUUGUAUAUUUCACAAUUGAAAACUGUGAUGUGCUCAUCUACUGGCCAGAAGAAGUGUUCCAAAGCUUGGUAUCUUUGAAGGAGUUGUGGAUUCAGUCCUGCAACAAGCUAAUAGGGCCCACACAAGCGAAAGGUGUCGAACCUACACAAACGACAGAUCAACUCCUACCACAUCUAAACAUGAUACGUAUAUACUGUUGUGAAAGCAUGGCACAGCUCUUCAUUCUUCCCCCAUCUAUCAGACUUAUUCAUAUUGAGGAAUGCCCUAAGCUUGAGUUCAUAUGGGGAAAGGAGGAGCAUAUUGACACAUAUACAUCGCUGGAACAUUGCCGCGACCCUGCAUCCACCACUGGUAACCUAGAGCAAUCGCCGUCUCCAAUUAUUCGCCGUCCAUGCCUUGUAGAUCUAUCUAUAAGCAGUUGUGAUAGCCUGUUAACACUUCCAAAUCUACCACCGUCCCUCAAAUAUUUACACAUCUGGAGCUGUGAGAAGCUCUGCUCUGUGUCAGGAGACCUGUGUGCACUCGAGGAGCUACAUAUUUUUGACUGCAAUAAGUUACAGUCAGUCAAUUCCUUGGGAGACCACCCAUCAUUAGAAACACUGUAUCUUAAUCGCUGCCGAUGCCUUGCAUCUUUAGGAUGUGAUGGUGGUCGUGGAAGUUACUCUGCUCUUCAGAGCCAUAAGAUCGAAGACUGCCCAGCCAUAGACAUGAAGCAGUUUUACUAACGCCAUCAAACAGCUGCUUGACAGCUUUGAAUAUGAAGACGUAUCACACGUUCAUUCAAGCAGCUCUGAUGAAGGUACGACCUUUCACUUUCCUCUUAUUCAAUUUGUUUCCUUCAAAUUUCCCUGCUUUGCAUGCCCUCCUAUUUUGUUGACUAACUGGUGUAACCCCACAUAUUGGUGUUGAGAUCAGUUGAUGCGGAAUCACUGAAGUACUACUGAAACGAGAUCCUGAUCGGUCUCAGUUUUGGAGAGCAAUUUGUGGUGAACGGAGGCAGUCCAAGGCUUCAAGAACUCAUGGAGUCGUGCUGUACCAUUCUGCACUGCCAGGGCCAAAACAACACAAUUCCUUUAUAUAAGUUGGGUAAGUAAAAAACCAUGCCUUCGUCUGUGUUAAUCAAAUCUCAUUUAGCACAUAUAUGGGGACGUGUUGUUAACUUGUUACCCCAUGCUUUUCAUUUUUUCUGUGCAGACAUGACCCAUUUGUCCUUAAAAAGCAUAAAGGAGGGCACUCACAUGUACACACGACUGCUAUCUGGAAGCUUCAUUGCAGAUCUAGAGAUCAGGAGAAGAAGGAAAUCGUGGGGAUGCAGAUUUGCUUUCAACGGUCAAAACAGAGCUACAAAUGAUUAGUUGUAGUCGUGUGUGGUCCUUCCAUCACGAGUCGGUUUUUUCUUUUGCGCUAUAGAGAAGCUUUUCAGUUGUUGUCUCUUUUACGGUUGAUUUGAUUCCUUUUUUCCUUUCUAUGGGCCUGUUUGGCUCCACCCUAUUAAAGUUUAACACCUGUCACAUCGGAUGUUUGGAUGCUAAUUAGAAGUAUUAAAUAUAGACUGAUUACAAAACUAAUUGCACAGUUGGAGUGUAAUUCGCGAGACGAAUCUAUUAAGCCUAAUCAGUCCAUGAUUUGAUAAUGUGGUGCUACAGUAACCAUUUGCUAAUGGUGAAUUAAUUAGGCUUAAUAGAUUCGUCUCGCGAAUUAGCACAGGGUUCUGCAAUUAAUUUUAUAAUUAGCUUAUGUUUAAUUUUUCUAAUUAGGAUCCGAACAUUCGAUGUGACACUAUUAAAGUUUAGCACCUCGUAUCCAAACACCCCCUAUUAAUAUAACAUGAAAAUCCUCUUGCCAUCUUUUUUUAAAAAAAAUCGUAGGGAUGCUGCUUGAUGAAGCUAGCAACAUGGAUUUCAUGGUUCUUCCGAUUGUUGGAAUGGGUGGGAUAAGCAAGACCACCUUUAAUUUGUGCAACUCAUUUUUUCGGCUGUCAGAUGAACAUCCGAUGCGUUUCCUUCAUCUUCUAGUAAGUAUAUAUCUAGGUGCAUAGUAAAAAUUAUAUAUCUAGAAAAAAUGACCUACAAUUUAAAAUGGAGGGAUUACGUUGGAACAUCAACCAAACAAAUGGACGAACCCGUUUAAUUAUUUGGCCUCCAAGAAUGCUAUACGACCUGAAUGAAUAACUGAAGGCUAUCAAGGCACUUAUUGUUGUACAUAGGAACUGAGCUUGACUUAGAUAUAUUUAUUUGCAAACAGGUGUGAAAUGUGAUACAAUAAUUCAGAAAGCUAGACGUCGUGAGCCAUCCGAGAGAUAAGAAGAAGCUUCUCAUUACGGUGCACAUCCAUCCCAUACGACUCUGACAUUUCGAUGCCUGUCAACACUGGCGGAAGCUCCCAAUUGAAGUGGUAGAUGAGGUUGGCAAGAAUGAUUUCGAAAGUGGCGGUGGUGAAGUUUAUACCCAGGCACAUCCUUCGCCCAGACCCAAACAGCAAGAAACAGAAGUCGUUCCCCCGGAAGUCGGAAGCAGCAUCCAUGGCUUCUUCCAUGAACCGCUCGGGCAUGAACUCCUCUGCACUCUCCCAGUAGGUGGUGUCCCUGCAUAGAGCCCACGCGUUGACGAUUACACGUGUCCCGAAGGGUAUGGUAUAGCCCUCCACAUUGCAUUCCGACUUUUUUAUUUUUUGAACUUUUUUUUGAAAGAUUCUUACAAAUAGGUCCUUGGCGAAAACAUUUCAAAAUCUGGACCCUUAGCUUGGCGCCACCAUCGUACACGUCUCGGCGCUAGCGGCUCUGGCGCCUAGGUCAUUGCGCAGCUGGUGACGUGGAUGCUGACAUGGCGGGGGCUUGGCACCAAGGUGGAUGACGCCAAGCUUCGUAUUUCAACCACCUGCCUCCUUCCUACCCGAGCCUUCCUCCUCUUCUUUCUCCUCCCUCUCGGAUUUUUUCUCUCCCCACUUCACCCUACAUCACGAAUCGGCCUAUUGGAUCUUGAAAACUUUGAUUUGAUCCGUGGAUCUUCGAGAGCAAGGUAUCCUCGCUCCCUCAUAGUUUUUUUUCACGUCGAUUCGGUAUAUAUUAGUCGGAGUUUUGAACUUAGGGUUCAUGCAACCGUAGGAUGUCAAGGCGUGGAAAAGCUAGGAAACUAAGGUAACCUCAACGCACGUUGUUAUGUUAUGGGUUCAUUGUUGUGGAUCGAAUGGGAAACCCUAGGUAUAGGUUUAAUGUUAAUUGCUUUCGGUUCUUACAACGAAAUGGACUAAAUUGUAGUUAUGGCGGGAUGACUGGAAAUGCCUUCGACCCAUUGCCUCUGCCAAGUGGUGUUCCAGUGCCCAUGUGCUUUUACAGCGAUCCUUGCAAGGUAGCCAAGUCCGAUGCAGAGGACACGUAUAGGAAGAGGUAUUGGAUGUGUUCCAAUUUUGCGUUUGAGCCUACACUUCGUCAGCGCCGCAUUAACAAGAUGGUGAGAAAUUGAUGUUGUCUAAUAAUUAUUUUGUUUCGUAUGACAUCUUGCAUGAUUUUUUUAUUUUCUAACAAUUGCAUUUGUUGCAAACCCCUCUACUGCUCUGUGAUUUUGAGCAGUGGAUUGACACUGAGAUCAAGCCUGAAGAUAAGGAGGAGAUGCAGGAAAUGUUGCGGUGGGAGGCAGAGAAGAAGGAGACAACGGAGAACAGACACAGAGAGGAGGCUGCAGAAAAGGAGCACAAGGAAAAGGAGAAAAAGAGGCAUGCUGCUGCGAACAGGGAGGAGAGGGAGAAGAAGCUUGAGCGUGCACGCUGAGCGAAAGCAGCGAUUGAGGAGAAUCCCAAUGCCCUGAGGAAGGGAAAGUGGCCUCGUUGCACACAGUAGUCUUCAGUACUUGCUAGUUCUAUGGUUUAUUCAUGAACAAUGUUAUCUACUGUUGGACUUUUCAUUGUGUUGUCAUGUAAUGGACUUUAAGUAUGGAUGAUGAUAAAAAGAAGUACCGACAGAUGCUCAUCACUGAAUCAACACAUGCCAUCGAAAUUUUGGCAGAAUUUCCCCUAUUAUUUUUACACAAUCCAUACAUGUAAGUGAGAUGAAUUUUUAACCUCAAUACAACAUGUUCAAACAUACAAAUAUAUGCCACAUUCAUAAUGAAAGUCCACAAAAUGCAUAAUGAAAGUCCACAAAGUUCAUAAUGAAAGUCCACAAUAGUACAUAUACACAAUAGUUCAUAAUAAAAGUCCAUAUACACAUUAGUUCAUAAUAAUAGUCCAUAUACACAAUAGUUCAUAAUGAAAGUCCACAAAGUCCAUGUUAUUACAUAAUAACAUCUACCACAAACGUUCACUACCUCCUAGUCUUACCCUUACCCUUGUGACCAAGAGUGUCGGUACCUGGAGUGUAAGGGGAAGGUGGACGAUAUCUCCUAGUGCCUGCAAGCUGUGUAGGCUGAGUCAAGGGAGCGUCCUGGAGCUGAAACGGGCCAAGCUCUUCGUGCCUCUCGUCAUCCUCAUCCUCGUAUGCAAUGCCUUUGGCCUGUGUAGCUGCUUGGCUAGACGAACCUAUGCCUCCUCUGCUUGAGGAAGGAACAUGCAUGUCUCGCAUUGUGGCUGUCCUGCAACCACAAUGAGCAGCCGCACGGCGUAGCCGACGUGAUAGUCUCUAUUGUACAAGAAAUAGGUUAAGUGAAAGAAUUUAACGUAUUAAUAAUAUAUUUGAAAGCAUAUUUAGAAUCUUAUGUCUAGGAAGCUACGCGUCUCGUCGUCUCUGACUCUCGGACGAAACUGCUCAAUGUCUUCAACCGAGGUUUUGAGGGUAUGGCCCUACAACAAAGUAAAUGUACCAUCAUUAAAUCACUAAGUCACUAUCUACCUAAAUCACUAAGUCAGUAUCUACCUAAAUCACUAAAUCACUAAAUCUACCUAAAUCACUUAAGUCAACUAAUCACUAAGUCACUUAACAUAGAAAAAUAAGGCAAUUGACUUACCAAUCUAUCCAAGAUUGGUCCUGCCUCCACUUGCCUUCCUACACAAGUACUUCGGUCGUAUGUCGUGUCUUCAUCGUCGAAGGACUCGAUGUCGCUGUAGUCAUCUUGUGUCCAUUGUAGCCUCAGCCUGCAACGGCUCGCACCUUGGUACCAAGCUUGGUAUCGCAUGUACUCACUGUUUGUGUGCGGCUCGUUGUUCUCAUCCACGUUGUCGUGGAACUCCUCCCAUUGCUCAAUGUAAGGCUGGUGGUAUACAUGUCACUCAAAAACCUUCCUGUUCUUCUUAUGAUCCAACCUGCACGUCACGUAAGAUGUAUAACUGCCCAUAGUCGUAUAACCUGAGUUAAUGUAAGGGACCAUCAUGAGAUAAUUGAAAUAGCAAAACACUUCCUUGUGUAAACUCUACGCCAGUCGAGAAUGGAGCCGUUGGCCCAAAUCUGUUCUCAUGCCAAAUUAGAGUGCAACUCGAUCAGGCUGGGUGGAACUCGACCGGCAUAGAAAACAUAUAAGAGGGCACCUCAUCUGUAUAAAGUCAUCCAUCGCUCGCACACAUGGUGCUCAAAAGGAAAAGUAAGUGCCCCCUCUCCCUAUGUAUGGCUCCCACGACACCUGCAACAUGUCCAAACAAGAUGUCAGAUGAUAUACUAAAACUAAUUGAAAUCAGCAUGGGAAAUAAAAUGUACUUACACUAGACACCGUGAGCGUGUCUAGCUCGUUCGUGAAAUCAUGGUACGCCCACUCCAACAUCGUGUGUAGAACCCUAACCUGGUCCCAAAGGUACGCCCACGUAGGAUGCUGUCUCGGAGGCUGACCUGGGAACCACUCAUGGCGAGACAGAACCUCAGGACGGCCAACUGGUAGACGCGCCCACAUCCACAACUGCUGUAGGUACACACAUCCACCAAGUGAUGCUGAGGAUGAAGACCGACGACAAGCCUCGCACAGCUGCAGGUAGAGAAAACCCAACAUUGCAGAGCCCCAGCUGUACUGACCCGCCUGGUGCCAGUCGGUGAGGCAGUGGAUCCAAAACCACAAUGUAGUGUCACCCGUGGCAUCGGGGAAGAGAAUGCAUGCAAAGAGGUGUAGGAUCCAUGCCCUGCAGUAGUUCUCAACUGUUUGCUCAUUUACAUCCUCGAGGCAUUGUGCAAACUGUUGCCGGAGCCAGGAGAUUAGAACACCAGAAGUGUGAGCACCUUGCUCGUCAACCUCAUGCCCAAGGAAGGCUGCUACUCGUUCUCUCCAACCAUCUGACCUGCACGGCCCAGUCACUGCAUCACCGCGAAUCGUCAAACCUAACAUCUUCUGACAGUCCUCAAACGUAACUAUUAUCUCUCCGAAAGGCAAGUGAAAGGUAUGAAUCUCAGGCCGCCACCUACAGUUUAGACAAAGGAAGAUUACAUGUCAAAUAGGCUAGGGCAUGAACGAUUGGCUAUGAAUGGACGCAAUGAUUGAAGAUAGUACCUGUCAACCAACGCUGUUAUGGCUGCUGAGUUGAACUUGGGCAACCCAUGACGAACCUGAAAUGAGAUGACAUCUAGGCCAGCAGCUUGCACCAUAGGAGUGUACCGGUCGUCGUACCGCAUGUCCAAGAACCCAUCGUGGGUUCUAGAACCAAGGAGCGGAAGGUCAUGCAUGCAAUGAAACAGAGUCUUCCGUUAUUUCACGAACAACACAUGUACGCUUACAAAAAAUCAAUCAACACGUACAUAUUAUUACUACCCCCCCACCCCCCGCUAUGAGACAUCCUUGAUGGGUCUGGUCGUACACCGGGUCGAGCAAGUGGAGUUGCGCCAUCCUACAAAAAAUCAAUGAAAUAUAAAUUAAGUAUGCAGUGAAACAUAAACUUAGAAAUGUACAAAUAAUUGACACAAUUGCAAGUAUAAAUUGAGACAUGCAUAAUUAAUUGAGUGGAUACGACAUAUAUGAAAUAAUGAAAAGAACCACUAGUCGCACCUCACUACUCUGCCAAUGGCACGUGCAUGAACUGUGGUCCAGUCUACCGCACUUGCUGCACUCGUUCUGCUCGGGGUCAGUAAGAAAUGGGGUUGCCCUACCACGCCUCGCUCUUCCGGGUAUUUGAUCCAUAACCAUCAUGUGCCUCGUCCUCUUUCUUGAUCCACGCCUGUUCCAACGGUAAGCUGGAUCCGCAAUGUACUUUAGCCCAUCAUCAACAUGAGGGACAUGACUAGUAUUCCAACAGAUGCGCUCCUAUUCUUUCUGCACUUCUGCUCCCAUCUCCGUGUCAAAUUGUAUUACGGGUGUAGUUUAGCACUGAACAACAUGAUUUUGUGGUGCUGGGAUUGAAUCAUAGGAGUGCUAUUUGUGUGUCCGGAGCCAACUUUGACUGAUCUGAAUUUUGGUAAAAUUUCAUCCGAAUUUGUUUAAAAUCCAGUUGAAUCCAGGCCCGAAAUUUCCUGAAUUUCCGAAUUUCGUCCAUUUCGGAAGGCUCCGAAUUUUUUCAACUUUUGAAUCCCAGAACCUUGGUUGAGAAGCGGAGAGAUGGGAGACCUAGUUUUCAUCUUCGUUGCCUCGUUGGAGGGGAAUACUGCAUCUGGAGGAAUCGCGCGGAGGACAAGCUCAUGGAAGGCCCCGCUUUCGAUUACAGAGAAAAUCUUCGUUGGUCCGUGGGAUUUGAUUACAGCGAAGGCGAAGCAAACAUGUUUAACCGGUAUCUGAUUACAUGGUACCAGAUACGGAGCGAUUUUUACUGAAACAAACAUCACCUAGAGCUGACUAUUAUAUUCAAAUACUGACAAAAAGUAGAAUACUUCUCAGACAAGCCAGCCAUUACAACAAUAACAACACAACAACUGGAUUACCGGCGUGUCACAAUAACACACAACAAGAAGCUACGUACCACGAAGCAACAGAAACAGCACUCUUGCAAAUUAAGGGAUAAACAACACCCCCAAGGAAAUGGCGAUGAAAUUAAACCAGGCCCCGCCUGCAGAGCUUUGAGCACCUACACAUAUAUAGCAGGUGCAUGCAGCUCUCUAUUACAGAAACAGUAGAUCGAAAACGACGAGCAACCAAGCAUCGAGCAGCAACACUACUUACUUCUUCUCUCAAUGCAAGCAGGAAGAGAAGGCAAGCUAGCGAGCUGAUCAGCAGAGAAGUCGCCGGGAUUCAGAUGACUGCCGCGGUCGGCGUGCAGCGGCGCUCGCAGAAGUUUCCAGCAAAAUGCGGAACUUCAAGCGGGCCGGGGCUCCUAGAUAGCAUGUACAUCUUUGGGCUUGUUCGCUUCAGCUUAUAAGCCGGCUGAAAAGCUGAAACGGCUGAUUUGUUGUAAGAGGAAAACACUGUUUGGUGGCUGAUAAGCCGGCUGAAUAAGCUGAAGCGAACAGGCCGUUUGAUCCAACAGCAGCCCAUGAACAACAAACAGUAGCAGCAGCUAGCGUAUGAGGGUGGUGUGUGGUGGGGCCAAAGGCCAAUCUUGCAAGACAGCAGGAAGGAGCGUAACAUGCAUGCCCGUGUGCAGUACUGCCGUGGGUGUUGAGCACUUUUUUUUCUUGCUCCCGUUGUACUCAUGGAAACAUUUCAAAAGUAUAGAUUCAAUAUUUUGCAUAUUAUUUAAACAUUUCAAACAUUUAUGGAAACCACAUUUUAGAUAAACUGGUUCAAUAUUUUGCAUAAUAUUGUUGAAAUAGUGUACCUUAAACGUUGAGCUAAAUAUAUAAAAAUGUUGAGCUAAUAUAUCUAAAAUGAUGAAACUAAGAAAAUAAAGAUGAAAAAAAUAUAUACAGUCAUGUGGGAUCUCAAUCCGUUAGAAAAAUUUCGAAAAGGCUCAUAGUUUAUUCGGAAUUAAAAUUAAAUGAACCGUUAGAGAGAUAAGUAAGUUGAAAAGUUCGAAAUCAAAACUCACAUCACCCAACAAGUAGCUGACACCUAUCCGUCCUUUCAGCAGCUCCACCCACCUCGCGCCAGCAUACUAGCACAUGGUGGUCCCCAGCCACCUCUCGCCAGAUCGCAGUGCCCGAUGGGAGAUCCGGCGAUGCCGUUGCGUCGAAGGAGAGGGCGGAACCGACGAGGGUCGCCGGCGGCUCCCACCCCGAACGCGUCCUGACCCACUCCGGCAGGGCCUCCCGCAGGUACGGUGAGCGCUUCCAUCCGUGGUCCGCAAGCAGUAAUGUCUGAUUUUUCGCUUUCUUCUCCGGAAUUCGUCACAUAUGUCAUCGUCCUGUGUUUAUAUAUCCUUUUUAUGCUGCAAAGCUUUCACGAUUUUGAUGAGAGAUUUGUUCAUGUUUGUGCCCACAUAGUAGUCAAUGUGCCACUAGUACUGAUUGCAAUACGUACGGAAAUUGGUUUUGUGUCUGUUCUUUCUCCAUCUCAAUCAUCAAUCAAAUGGGGGUAGUCGUCGGUACGCCGGGUGGGCCGAGUUGGCCAAACUGCACAGUGGUGGUGGCAGCCAAGGUGUUGUUCAAGGUCGGGCUGGCACGCACACGGCCGUACCACAUCAGGGUGUGUCCUGCUUCCCCGUCAACUUCCUCAAUACGACUCGGUACGCCACUGUACCUAAUCCUCCAAAACUCCAACUCCAAAGGCUCGCUGAACGGAAAAAAAUUCUAGGAGGACGGUCCCCAAAUCCUUCUCCGUGAGGAUCCACUCCCGAUGGUUGCAGGCAUGGCAACAUAUAAUUGAUCCGCCGCCACCAACGACUGAGGUUUCUUCCACCUCGUCAACUACCACCACCUCCUCCACCCACCUCUCUUCUUCUCCGGCUACCCUGCGCGCGCCCUCGCCGCCGUGCGUGCCUCCAGCGAGCUCCCAGGCCCCGACGGCGCCAGCACUACGGCCGCGCCCCGGUGGCCGGCGGCGUCUCCUACUCCUCUAACGUGGACCUGUUCCGCUCGCCUUCAGCUGCCGUGGGAGCCGCGUAAUGGAGGAGGGUGGUGGGCCAAGCGACAGCUAGCUGUGGUGUGGUGGGCAUCCUCAUUUACUAAUCUCCACCCACCUUCCGAUGAAUAAAAAUUGACCUCUUUAUGCUGCCUUUGUCAUNNNNNNNNNNNNNNNNNNNNNNNNNNNNNNNNNNNNNNNNNNNNNNNNNNNNNNNNNNNNNNNNNNNNNNNNNNNNNNNNNNNNNNNNNNNNNNNNNNNNCAUCUAAGGUUAGCAGCCUCUUUCAGUGUACAAAUGAUUAUGCACCUAAUACUUUCCUCACCUUUGCAGUGCCGUGGGCCGCCACUUCCCUUCUGGCCCACAUGUCAUGGAGGCGCGCGAGGAGGGGGAUCGGUUUCACGUAUGAUUAAUAAAGAAAGGCCCAAGACACGUCACGCUGCGGGGGACAAGGGAAGACACCGCACCGCACGCACCUCCACCACUUGCGUUGCCUUUGCCUUUGCUUUUCCCCUAGCUCGCCCGCCUAGGAGCUCCAGCAGCCGGUCCGCUCCGCCGCCGGUGCGGCAACCACGCCGCCGUCAGAUCGCCUCGCGCGGCCACGCGGCCACCGAUCGUCCCCGCGAUACACCGCCGCCGGUGCGCCGUGCGCGGCGGCGCUGUCCCGCCGCUCCUCCGCCUACCGUCGGCCUGCGCCACCGCCAGCGCACCGGCAGCACCGCGAGCUGCUGCGCCGCCCCGACGUUGGUCCUUCCUGAGCCCGGUGUCGUCACCAGCGUCGCGGAGAAGCUAAUUACCUGGAGCAAUUUGUAGAAACAAAUAGUACUGGUUCGUUCACUUAUUUCUUUGCUCAAACUUAAUUUCUGCUUAGAGUUUGUGCCUAAAUUAGCUGCUUAUUCUGCUGGUUGCACGCAGGAGAUCGAGCUGCGGGCGUACGGCCGGAUCGGAGGAGGACAUAUCAGCCGGGUUCCUGUUGGUUGUGUACUUGUGUUCCUGCCGGCGGAGAAGCAACCAUGGCCGAGUUACUGAUCGGGCCACUGAUCUCCAUGGUGAAGGAGAAGGCAUCCAGCUACCUGCUGGACCAAUACAAGGUGAUGGAAGGCAUGGAGGAGCAGCGCAAGACCCUGGAGCGCAAGCUGCCAGCAAUCCUGCACAUCAUCCAGGAUGCGGAGGAGAAAGGAGCCUCCCGACCUGAAGUUGCAGUUUGGCUUAAAGACCUCAAGACAGCGGCCUAUGAGGCCAACGACGUCUUUGAUGAGUUCAAGUACGAGGCGCUUCGGCGAGAAGCCAAGAAGAAGGGCCACCACAGCAAGCUUGGAAAUGAGGUAGCAAGACUCCUAGUCCCCGCUCGUAAUCCCAUUGUAUUCCGUUACAGGAUGGGCAAGAAGCUACGCAGGAUUGUGCAGACCAUCGAGGCCUUGGUCACCGAGAUGAAUACAUUUGGUUUCAGGCACUUGCAGCAAGCACAGCCAUCAAGGCAGUGGCGACAGACAGAUUCCAUAAUCAUUGACUCCGACAGAGAUAUUCUUAGCAGAUCUAGAGAUCGGGAGAAGAAGAAAAUCGUGGGGAUGCUCCUUGAUCAAGCUAGCAACAGGGAUCUCAUGGUUCUUCCAAUUGUUGGGAUGGGUGGGAUGGGCAAGACCACCUUUGUGUUGGAGUUGUUCUAAAUUCACUCCAGGAAUAAAGGCCGACCUUCCCGACCCUUGACACUCAGGGUCGGGCGAGGCGGAGAAUCUCCCGACCCCGGGACUCGGGGUCGGGCGAGGCGGAGCGUCUCCCGACCCAGGCUUGAGGUCGGGCGAGUCGGAGAUCGACCCUCAAGGGGUCAGGCGCAUCCGACCCCAGGCUUGAGGUCGGGCGAGGCGGAGUCCCAGGCGCAUCCGACUCCAGGACAAAGGACUCAGGGUCAGACGAGAAGGAGUUCCAUCCUUGUACGGGACCAAGAGUCCGUACAGCUCAAUACCCCCUGUCUGGGGUUUCGGUACUAUAUAUACAUACACCCUUGCUAGGGUUUUGGGUGGUGACAGAAGAGAUAGAAGAGAGAGAGAUUAUCAGAUUCUCUUGUAAGCCGCCAUAGGCGUGUAGCCCUAAACUCUUGAUAUAGUGAGAUUGUUGCCGGCUGGUGCCCGUGGUUUUUCCUCUUCACAUUGAAGGGGUUUUCCACGUAAAUCGUGUGUCUUCUUUUGUGGUUUGAUUCUUUACUUCAUAUUCCAUACGUCGUACCUAACAAGUGGUAUCAGAGCUUUGGUUGCUGUUUGGAUUUCAUGUCGACGUCGAUGAAGUUUGAUCUACCGCUGCUGAACUACGACACGCGGUUCUCUCUAUGGCAAGUCAAGAUGAGAGGAAUUCUAGCGCAAACUCAUGAUUAUGAUGAGGCGCUGGAUAGCUUCGGAAAGAAGACAAAGGCCGAGUGGACUCCAGAAGAGAUCCGCAAGGAUCAGAAAGCACUCGCCCUAAUACAGUUACAUCUUCAUAAUGAUAUUUUGCAGGAGUGUCUGAAAGAAAAAACUGCUGCAGAACUAUGGCUGAAACUGGAAUCGAUCUGUAUGUCCAAGGAUCUAACCAGUAAGAUGCAAAUGAAGAUGAAGCUGUUCACCUUGAAGAUGAAGGAGGAAGAUUUAGUGAUGAACCACAUCACUGAAUUCAAGAAGAUCGUCGCCGAUCUAGUAUCAAUGGAGGUGAAGUAUGAUGAUGAGGACUUAGGUCUUUUACUGUUAUGUUCUUUGCCAACUUCAUAUGCAAAUUUUCGUGACACCAUACUCUUGAGCCGUGAUGAACUAACCUUAAAGGAAGUUUAUGAGGCUCUCCAAUCAAGGGAGAAGAUGAAAGGUAUGGUGCAGACUGACAGAACGUCGUCCUCCAGAGGCGAUGCUUUGCUUGUGAGAGGCAGAACUGAUAACAGAUCCUCCAAUGAUGAUGGAAGAAAAAACUAUGAAAGGAGAGGCCGUUCAAAGUCCAAGCCGCAUGGUAACAAAAAAUUCUGUGUCUAUUGCAAGCUAACAAAUCACAAUGUUGAGGAUUGCAGAAAAGUACAGAAUAAGGAGAAGAAGAAAAACAAGUCGGCUGGUAAGGUCUCUGUUGCUGCUGCCGUGUCUGAUGAAGAAUCUGGAGAUGGUCUGGUGGUAUUUGCCGGUUGUGUUGCUGGUCAUGAUGAGUGGAUCCUUGAUUCUGCAUGUUCAUUUCAUAUUUGCAUUAACAGAAAUUGGUUUAGCUCUUAUAAGUCUAUGCCGAAAGGAGAUGUUGUGCGGAUGGGAGAUAAUACCCCGUGUGAUAUUAUGGGAAUUGGAUCAGUUCAGAUCAAGACUCAUGAUGGCAUGACACGCACUCUGAAAAACGUCAGGUACAUACCAGGGAUGUCCAGAAAUCUUAUUUCAUUGAGCACGCUUGAUGCAAAAGGUUACAAAUAUUCCGGUUCGGAUGGUGUUCUGAAGGUAUCAAGAGGUAAUCUUGUCUGCUUGAAAGGUGAUCUCAAUUCUGCAAACUUAUAUGUCCUUAGAGGGUGUACUUUACCUGGUUCUGAUUCCGCUGUUGCUGCUGUUACUAAUGAGGAACCUAGUAAAACUAACCUUUGGCAUAUGCGUCUGGGACAUAUGAGUCACCAUGGUAUGGCAGAAUUGAUGAGGAGAAACCUACUGGAUGGCUGCACUUCGAGUAAAAUGAAGUUAUGUGAGCACUGUAUUUUCGGGAAGCAUAAAAGGGUACAUUUCAACACUUCUGUUCACACCACUAAAGGUACUCUUGAUUAUAUUCAUGCUGAUUUAUGGGGUCCUUCCCGUAAGUCCUCGCUUGGUGGUGCUCGUUACAUGCUCACAAUUAUUGACGAUUACUCUAGAAGGGUGUGGCCUUAUUUUCUGAAACAGAAAGAUGAUACCUUUGCUGCUUUUAAGGACUGGAAGGUCAUGAUUGAAAGGCAAACUGAAAGGAAGGUGAAAUUGCUUCGUACUGAUAAUGGUGGAGAAUUUUGUUCGCGUGAAUUUAAUGAUUAUUGCAGAUCAGAAGGUAUUGUAAGGCAUCACACCAUACCCUAUACUCCACAACAGAAUGGUGUGGCCGAACGCAUGAACAGAUCCAUCAUAUCCAAGGCCCGUUGCAUGCUGUCUAAUGCCAGGAUGAGCAAGCGUUUUUGGGCUGAAGCUGCUAAUACUGCCUGUUACUUGAUAAACAGGUCACCUUCUAUUCCACUAAAUAAAAGAACUCCCAUUGAGGUAUGGUCUGGAACGCCUGCUGAUUACUCACAGUUGAAAGUUUUUGGAUGCACUGCAUAUGCUCAUGUUGAUAAUGGAAAAUUAGAGCCUAGAGCUGUUAAAUGUCUUUUCCUUGGUUAUGGUUCGGGUGUCAAAGGCUAUAAAUUGUGGAACCCGGAAACAGAAAAGACCUUCAUGAGCAGAAGUGUUAUUUUCAAUGAAUCUGUGAUGUUUACUGACAGCUUACCCUCAGAUCAAGUUCCAGACAAAGGACUGCAGCGUAUGCGCAUGCAGGUGGAGAACGCUCGUAAUGAUGUUGAUAACCCCGACCCCUUGGUCUCGGGGUCGGAUGCGCCAGACCCCUUGGCUCCAGGGUCGGCUGAUGCUCAAGCGCCAGACCCCUUGGCUCCGGGGUCGGAUGUUGCUGCGCCAGACCCCUUGGCUCCGGGGACGGAUGUUGCUGAUGCGCCAGACCCCUCAAUCUCGGGGUCGGCUGAUGCUCAUGAUAAUGUCCAGCAAACUCCAGAGGAGGAUCUACCCAUUGCUCAACGCAAGUCCAAAAGGACAGUUGCCCCUCCUAACCGCCUCAUUGAAGAGUGUAAUUUGUCUUACCAUGCUUUGAGUUGUGCUGAACAGGUGGAGAAUGUUCAUGAGCCAGCAACCUAUAAAGAAGCUAUUCAUUGUGGCGAUACUGAAAAUUGGAUUUCGGCCAUGCAUGAGGAGAUGCAAUCUCUUGAGAAGAACAGUACAUGGGAACUUGUACCUUUGCCUAAGAAUAAGAAGGCCAUCCGCUGCAAAUGGAUCUUCAAAAGAAAGGAGGGUUUAUCUCCAAGAGAGCCUCCGAAAUAUAAGGCAAGGUUAGUUGCAAAAGGCUACAGCCAAAUUCCGGGUGUCGACUACAAUGAUGUUUUCUCUCCAGUGGUAAAACACAGUUCAAUUCGCACUUUCCUUAGUGUUGUUGCUUCACAUGAUCUUGAGCUUGAGCAGUUAGAUGUGAAGACUGCGUUUUUGCAUGGAGAGCUCGAGGAGGACAUAUACAUGAACCAACCAGAAGGUUUCAUAGUGCCUGGCAAGGAGAAAUAUGUGUGCAAGUUGAAAAGAUCCUUGUAUGGUUUGAAACAGUCCCCUCGACAGUGGAACAAGAGGUUUGAUUCAUUUAUGUUAUCACACAGUUUUAAAAGAUCUAAGUAUGAUAGCUGUGUUUAUAUCAAGCAUGUUAAUGGAUCACCUAUAUACUUGCUGAUAUACGUUGAUGAUAUGUUGAUUGCUGCCAAGAGUAAGACUGAAAUAAAUAAGUUAAAGAAGCUAUUGAGUAGCGGUUUUGAUAUGAAAGAUCUUGGUAGUGCUAAGAAAAUUCUUGGUAUGGAAAUUAGUAGAGACCGAAAUUCUGGUUUGCUAUUUCUUAGUCAACAGAAUUAUAUCAAGAAAGUUCUUCAGCGUUUCAACAUGCAAGAUGCUAAGGCUGUAAGUACUCCUAUUGCACCUCACUUCAAGUUGUCAGCUGCUCAGUGUCCUAGUACAGAUGCAGAGGUCAAAUACAUGUCAAAGAUUCCUUAUUCUAGUGCUGUUGGGUCCUUGAUGUAUGCCAUGGUUUGCUCUCGCCCAGAUUUGUCAUAUGCUAUGAGUCUUGUUAGUAGAUAUAUGUCUAAUCCCAGCAAAGAACAUUGGAGGGCAGUUCAGUGGAUUUUCAGAUACCUCAAAGGCACAGCAAAUUCCUGUUUAAAGUUUGGAAGAACUGAUGAGGGUCUUAUUGGCUAUGUGGACUCAGAUUAUGCUGCUGAUCUGGACAGGCGAAGAUCACUCACAGGCUAUGUGUUUACUGUUGGCAGUUGUGCUGUGAGUUGGAAGGCUACUUUACAGUCGGUUGUUGCUUUGUCUACUACUGAAGCAGAAUAUAUGGCGAUUUGUGAAGCGUGCAAAGAAUUGAUUUGGCUGAAAGGUUUGUACGCCGAACUUUGUGGAAUUGAAUCUUGCAUAAGUUUGCACUGUGACAGUCAAAGUGCAAUUUACCUCACUAAAGAUCAACUGUUCCAUGAGAGAACUAAGCACAUUGAUAUCAAGUAUCAUUUUGUGCGUGAUGUGAUUGAAGAAGGUAAGCUAAAGGUAUGCAAGAUCAGUACUCAUGAUAAUCCUGCCGAUAUGAUGACAAAGCCUGUUCCUGUUACUAAGUUUGAGCUGUGCUCAGGCUUAGUUGGUUUAAUUGGAUAGUCCAAGAGACUAUUAUUGGCACCAGUGGUUUUUCCUGUCUUUGUUCUGUUCAGAAUGAAGGGUUGAUGAUACAAGAUGAAUUUGUCUCAAGGUGGAGUUUGUUGGAGUUGUUCCAAAUUCACUCCAGGAAUAAAGGCCGACCUUCCCGACCCUUGACACUCAGGGUCGGGCGAGGCGGAGAAUCUCCCGACCCCGGGACUCGGGGUCGGGCGAGGCGGAGCGUCUCCCGACCCCAGGCUUGAGGUCGGGCGAGUCGGAGAUCGACCCUCAAGGGGUCAGGCGCAUCCGACCCCAGGCUUGAGGUCGGGCGAGGCGGAGUCCCAGGCGCAUCCGACUCCAGGACGAAGGACUCAGGGUCAGACGAGAAGGAGUUCCAUCCUUGUACGGGACCAAGAGUCCGUACAGCUCAAUACCCCCUGUCUGGGGUUUCGGUACUAUAUAUACAUACACCCUUGCUAGGGUUUUGGGUGGUGACAGAAGAGAUAGAAGAGAGAGAGAUUAUCAGAUUCUCUUGUAAGCCGCCAUAGGCGUGUAGCCCUAAACUCUUGAUAUAGUGAGAUUGUUGCCGGCUGGUGCCCGUGGUUUUUCCUCUUCACAUUGAAGGGGUUUUCCACGUAAAUCGUGUGUCUUCUUUUGUGGUUUGAUUCUUUACUUCAUAUUCCAUACGUCGUACCUAACACUUUGUGCAACUCAUUUACAAUGACCCUGCAAUCGAGAAGCACUUUGAGUUUCGGAGGUGGUGCUGCGUGUCAGAUGAUUUCGAUGUCAGUACCAUUGCAAGCAACAUCUGCCAGACCAAUGAGAAAUAUCGUGAAAAAUCAUUGCAGGAGCUCCAGAGUACAAUAAGUGGGAAAAGGUACCUCAUUGUGUUAGAUGAUGUCUGGAAUCGGGAUGGUGAUAAGUGGGGAAAACUAAAGGCCUGCCUUAAGCAGGGUGGCAAGGGCAGUGCAGUACUAACAACAACUCGUGAUGCAGAAGUGGCUCGCAUUAUGACCAUGGGUGUAGCUGAAGCCCAUAAUAUCGAGAAUCUGAGUGACGAGCAUUUAAAGGAAAUUGUCCAGAGCAGAGCAUUCAGCUUGCAAAAUCCAAAUAUGGAAGAGCAAGAUGGCAUUCUCAGUGGAUUUGUUCGUCGAUGCGUUGGAUCUCCCUUGGCUGCCAAAGCCUUUGGCUCUAUGUUGAGUAACAGGACUAGUGUAAAUGAAUGGAAGGAUGUAUUAGCUAAAAGUGACAUUUGUAGUGAGAAAACCGGAAUUUUACCGAUCCUCAAGCUCAGUUUUGAUGACCUAUCCUCAGAUAUGAAGCAGUGCUUUGCAUUUUGUGCUUUAUUUCCUAAAGAUUAUGAGAUUGAUGUGGACCUCUUGAUUCGACUGUGGAUGGCACAUGACUUCAUACCUGUGCAGGAGGAUGACAAUCUAGAAACCGUAGGAAAAUAUAUUUUUGAGGAGCUAACUCGGAGGUCAUUCUUUCAAGAGGUCAGGCAAACACUUCAAUUUGGCUAUUUUGGAAGGUCGUCACUUCGUAAGUCAACCAUAUGCAAGAUACAUGAUCUCAUGCAUGACAUUGCUCUAUCUGUUCUGGGGAAAGAAUGUGUCACUAUAGUUGGUAAGCCGAGCAUCAACAAGGUGUUGCUAAAUCCGACCCGCCACGUCUUCUUAUCAACAAGGUGUUCUCAUUUCUGGAAAGAACAGGUUACAAGUCUACUAGAUCAUCUAUUGAAGAAACAAACUGCAAUGCUCCAUACGUUGUUUAUCAAAGGUUAUGGUCAACCCCUUGAUAUAUCAAAGUACACUUCACUGCGAGCAUUACACCUUCCAGCAUAUAUAUAUAUACCAUGUUCAGGACAGGAACAGCUUACAAGACACAUACAACACCUAAGGUAUCUUAAUCUGUCGUCACAUGAGUUCGAGAAACUUCCUGAAGGUAUAAGCAUUAUGUAUAAUCUACAAACGUUGGACCUCUCAUAUUGCAAAUGCCUUCGUCAACUUCCAAAGGAUAUGAAGUAUAUGGCAAACCUCCGACACCUCUAUACCCAUGGAUGCGAAUCAUUGACAUGCAUGCCUCCAGGACUUGGACAGAUCACUUCUCUGCAGAAUCUAACAUGUUUUGUUAUUGGUGAUGGCUUGGGAUGUAGUACUAUAGGAGAACUUCAAAACUUAAACCUUGGUGGAGAGUUAGAGUUAAGUGGUCUGCAAAAUGUAACAGAAGUGCUUGCAAAAGCUGCCAGUCUUGAAAAUAAAGAGAAACUCACACACUUAUGUCUCAAAUGGAAUGAUGAUGCCCGUGAGAAACCAGAUUCUCAUAAUGAGGUGUUAGAUGCCCUUAAACCUCAUCAUCGGCUGGAGAUGCUAGGCAUAAAGUCCUACAAAGGCACCAAUUUACCGUCAUGGAUAACAGAUCUUAGUCUGUUGCAGCACUUGACUGAGCUCCAACUGGUUGGUUGCACGCUGUGCGAGGAAUUUCCUCAAUUCUGCCAUUUCAAAACCCUUGAAGUUCUGUAUUUGAAAAAGUUGGACAAAUUGUAAAGCCUAUGCAGUCAUAUGGUGUCUACGCCAUUUCCAGCACUGAAGCAACUCCGGUUACAUGAUUUGGAGAGCUUGGAGAGAUGGGUCGCAACAGAAGGAAAAGAAGAUGAAUUAACCUUUCCUGUACUUGAGGAGGUUGAUAUAAAAAACUGUCCAAAGUUGACUAGCCUACCUGAAGCACCAAAGCUCAGGGUUGUAAGUCUGGAUGAAGGCAAGCCGCUGCUCUCCUUAGGAAUAGUUAAAUCAAGGCACAUGUCUUCAAUUUCUAAGCUAAUCCUGUGUGUCCGUGACACAGAAGCACUGCCUCAGAUAGAUUAUAAUUGGGAUUCAUCACAGAAACUGGAACUAUCCUUGGGUGGCACAGAAGCCGCACCUCUGUCACAUCUGAACAUAUCUGGCUGCAACUUUUUCUUCGUAUCAAGCCAGUCACAGCUAACACCUGGGGUCUGGAAAUGGUUUGAACAUCUUGCAGUUUUAGCAAUCAAAAACUGUGAUGUGCUCAUCUACUGGCCAGAAGAAGUGUUCCAAAGCUUGGUAUCUUUGAAGGAGUUGUGGAUUGAGUCCUGCAACAAGCUAAUAGGGCCCACACAAGCGAAAGGUGGCGAACCUACACAAACGACAGAUCAACUCCUGCCACAUCUAAACAGGAUAUGUAUACGCAGUUGUGAAAGCAUGGCACAGCUCUUCAUUCUUCCCCCAUCUAUCAGAAUUAUUGAUAUUAUGGAUUGCCCUAAGCUUGAGUUCAUAUGGGGAAAGGAGGAGCAUCUUGACACAUAUACAUCGUUGGAACAUUGCCGCGACCCUGCAUCCACUACUGGUACCCUAGAGCAAUCGCCGUUUCCAAUUAUUCGUCGUCCAUGCCUUGUACGUUUAUCAAUAAGAUUGUGUGAUAGCCUGGUAACACUUCCAAAUCUACCACCGUCCCUCAAGGAUUUAAGCAUCUACAGCUGUGAGAAGCUCUGCUCUGUGUCAGGAGACCUGUGUGCACUCGAGGAGCUACAUAUUUAUAACUGCAAUAAGUUACAGUCAGUCAAUUCCUUGGGAGACCACCCAUCAUUAGAAACACUGAUUCUUUAUGACUGCCGAUGCCUUGCAUCUUUAGGAUGUGAUGGUGGUCGUGGAAGUUACUCUGCUCUUCAGAGCCAUAAGAUCGAAGAGUGCCCAGCCAUAGACAUGAAGCAGUUUUACUAACGCCAUCAAACAGCUGCUUGACAGCUUUGAAUAUGAAGACGUAUCACACGUUCAUUCAAGCAGCUCUGAUGAAGGUACGACCUUUCACUUUCCUCUUAUUCAAUUUGUUUCCUUCAAAUUUCCCUGCUUUGCAUGCCCUCCUAUUUCACUCAUGUAACCCCACAUGCAUUUCAUUUUUGCUGUGCAGACAUGACCCAUUUGUCCUUAAAAAGCAUAAAGGAGGGCACUCACAUGUACACACGACUGCCAUCUGGAAGCUUCAUUAUUGCGAGCCUCUGCUAACGAUGACAGGCCUGCAAUGGACGACAAAAACGACAAAGUUUGUUUUCACGGCACUACCAGCUAGCUGCUGGUAAUGCUCUUGUCACUAAUGUACAGUACUCCAUUCUGUCAUCCAUGAAAGUCGUGGAGAAUGGUCUAUGAUGUUACUCCAUUCUGUCAUCCACGUGAGCCGAUGAAGCAGAAACAAAUGAUGAUGAUGAUGGAUGAUAUAGCUGCCGGGACCCACUGCAACCUCGUGCAUCAAUCAUGACGAUCUCUAACGGCAAAGGCAUGCAUCCAGUAUGGCCUGAUGAAGUAAUUUAGUCUGCCAAAUUUCUUUCUGCUCGUUGCGCAUAGAAGGCGUAUUUUCUUUUCCUUUUUUCCACCCGAGAAGGAAGAAGAAGAAGAAACUGCUGUGGCCAAUUCAAUCCGGAUCAUCAAAACAACAGCCCAUUCCAGACUAGAAGAAUUUGGUCACCAAAUUCGGAUGGAGGUAAAAAGUCACUAGUUACCUGCAGCACCGAAUAGUACUGGUUCGUUCAUUUACUGUUUCCAAAAACUUUCUGCUGAGAGUUUGUGCAUUGUGGUGACACUAAAUAUGCGCGUGCGCGGUUCGUAGGAUUCGAACCCACAACCUCCAACCUCGCGCGUAGCUUUCUUGCCAUCCCACCUACACACCACAUCUAAGUAUGUAGGGGAUCCUAUCCUUUUGUAUUAACUCGUGGGGGACCCUUUUAUCCCGGUUGGAAACACCAACCGCGAUAAAAGACCCCCUUUUAUCCCGGUUGGUAUUACAAACCGGGAUAAAAGGGUUCGAGGAUUUAAUCCUCUUCCAGCCACCUUCCAGUCACCUCGUUGGGGACCCUUUUAUCCCGGUUUGAAACACCAACCGGGUCAAGAGCCUUUUAUCCCGGUUGGUGUUUCAAACCGGGAUAAAAGGCCCCUCAGAGUCUUUUUUCCCACUAGCCUUUGCAACCGGGAUAAAAGGUCCCGGUUGGUGAGCCCCCCACCAGUGACCGAGUUUUAAUCCCGGUUGGUGAACCUUUGUCCCGAGCCAACUUUAAACCGGGAUAAAAGAGGGCGCAUGGAAAGUUAAUUCUCUACUCGUGUUUGCGGGACACAAUCAUUUCAAGCAGGAGACGGUGGUUCAUCUGGAUGGACACCGGCCUCCGAUCAACAAUUUCCCCAGUUUCCCGUGUAGGCAAGGGGGAAGAUGGCAGGUCGCCAAGAAAUAGCAGCAGAUAUGUCCCUUGUCAAAACUUCAAGCCAGUAGUCUGUAAAAUAGAAAGAGAGAUUUGUUCCACUUAGGCUGCUACGCCUACAACAAUAAUGACUGUGGGGAGCUAGGAAAUAGCAUCAUGCUGAUAAGCCCAACAUCAUUGGAAUACAGUAACAGCGUACUGAAAACAAAAGAGGCUACAUCAUGGGCCAACUGAAAUUGUGUUAUCCAUAACAUUUUUUUUUAGAAAAUCCUCAGCCAUCAACACACGCAACCAAAUUAUUACAGAAUCUUAAGCUCAGUUGCUGAUUAAAAAAAUAAAAAGAGAAAAUAAUUAUAAGCAAUGUUUAAUGUUGCUUAUCCAUCCAUUUUUAAUAGAAACUUUCCAAAGCUUUCGUUGCUCUACUAUCGAACGGACGGUCUCCCUUAUGUCUUCACACCACGUUAAUAAAUCGCAAUUAAUAUGUUCUCCCGAAGGUAACCUUCAAAGCGAUGAAUGUAGAUCACCCACGAGCAACCGAGCACGCACAAGGGAUGCUGAAACACCACAUGGAUCUCCAUGACAACACCUUCAACAAGAACAUGACGCUAAUGACACCAUUGUCAUUGGCCCAAGUAUUGGGUUGGGUUUACACCCGGAGAAUUAAAAAAUCACCAUUCGGGGGAGGUGCAAACAAAGUCGCCUCCAAGGAGGCAACGGCACCCGCAAGCGUCACCAUCCACACUUUCAUCCCGACCUCCACCAUGCCAUGCCGGCAGCAGCCUGAGCAGAAAUCCACUCACCAAGCUGUUGAUGGUGCUGAGCAAGUUCGCAAGUGCCAGCCAUCAUUAUUGAGAGCCAGCUGCUGCCGCCGCAAACUCAUGCCCAUUGCGCUAGGGCUAGGGCGCCGGCCAUAGCAAGGCCUAGAUGCACGUGUUGCGUCAUGGCUGGCACCACACUAAGCCCACCAUGUCACCAGACUGUCACAGCCGGAAGGGCGCCGGUCGUCAGAUCCGACCCCCAGCGCAUGGAAUCCACCGCCUAGAAGCUAAUAUCUCUAGAGUGAAAAUCAACACUUCAGAAGAUCCCUGAGGGAGGGGGAACGUGAAGGAGAGGCUCCCCGAGUGCCGUCAGCAUCACCGGAGAACCCAAGCAGCCACAUAUCCAGGGGUCUCCGAGGGACCCGUCGUCGGAUCCGGUCACGCCAAGGGGAAGCACCAUCACGUUCAAAGGUUUCACCUCUAUGUGUAACGCUGCACUGUCCGACUGCCCGAGUACCUCCAGCAUUGGAUGGAGUGAUGGCAAUCUUAUUAGGGGGAAAAGAAACUACACACACCAAUGACAUAUGGUAACAGCUUACAAUGAUGGUAGUGGAUAAAAGAAAUGGGAGCACCAGAAACAAAAUCUAGAGUCUCAACAGUCAAAAUCAAAUUAACAAGAUCAAACAAUAAAAGUUAUGAGUACCACAAGAGCUUACACUGUCCGACUGUCCGAGUACCUCCAGCGUUGGUUGCAGAGCACCAGGGGGGGGGGGGGAUCAUUUCCAAAGUGGAUGCAUCAGUGGAGAUCUCUCAAUGUUUGUCACAUAAGCAGUGUGGUGCCCUCCAGGUGCCCAGGUUGGUGUGUUAAACUGCCUCCGAUCCACAGCCAUCUUAGAACACUGCAUUCCAAGUUUCCAACACUUUUCAUGGUCUCAACUCUACUUUUACAUUCUCUCAGGGGGUGUUUGGGAACACCGUGCUAAACUUUAGCACCUGUCACAUCGGAUGUUUGGAUACUAAUUAGGAGUAUUAAAUAUAGUCUAAUUACAAAACUAAUUGCACAGAUGGAGUCUAAUUCACGAGACGAAUCUAUUAAGCCUAAUUAGUCCAUGAUUUGACAAUGUGGUGUUACAGUAACCAUUUGCUAAUGAUGGAUUAAUUAGCCUCAAUAGAUUCGUCUCGCGAAUUAGACUCCAUCUGUGCAAUUAGUUUUGUAAUUAGCUCAUGUUUAGUCCUUCUAAUUAGCAUCCGAAUAUCCGAUGUGACCCUGCUAAAGUUUAGCACCUCGUAUCCAAACACUCCAAUGUGCUUUAUCUUGCUCCAAUCAUCUCCUGACUCGCUGCAUCUUUGCUUAAACCUCUUUGUGCAUUGUGACAGUGUCAAGGUAUGCAAAGAGGUCAGCCUCUCAAUGCACGGAGGCAAAGUUUUCAUCCAGUAGGCCUCUACUUUGAGCUCACGGAGAGAUGCCAUAUCUCCCAACCAUUCUGGCAAGGUUUCCAUGUCCUCACAGUUCAGUAUCUCUAGCUUCCUGAGGGAUUUCCAGCCUAGAAUGCACUUUGGCAAAGGUACAGGAUCGAUGCAACUGUCAACAGUUAAUUCUUCAAUGUCAAGCAGUUGAAGAGAAUCAGAGUCAGAAGAUAUAUUUUUGAUGUACUUGAUUUCCAUUUUGGAUGAUAAAGCAGAUGUUGAUAGCCCCAUGAUCGACUUGGUAGAAUGAUGGCCAAUUGAAUAAGAACGGAUAUUGUUUAAUUCCAGAUAUGAUAUACCUGGCACUCCAAGGGAUUGAUGGUUCGAAUCUUACAUUCAAACAACAGUCUAUCUCCACAGUAACUUCCCUACUCUUACUAUUGUAACUCUUCUGAGAUUUUUCACUGGCUGUGUGAUCAAGAUGCAUAUCGAUGAUUUGGCAUAUAGGUUCACUAUAACUUCACCAUCCCCCACAAGCAGAGACACCGGGACAGACGAGAUAUACAAGUCUUCAAGAGAUUGUAAAUAAUCUAAAUGGAGGUCACCAGAUUGAACAUUGAAAAGCUCCAAUCGUACAAGAUUUGGUAGCCAACGUAACCAGUUAGGAAAAUCACCACCAACAUAGUUCUUUAUGCAAAGCCUUUUAAGGUUUUCACGAGGCUGGAGCUCUUCUAACGCGACCUUGUUCAACACUGGCCCACUCCACUCCAAACUUAAAAAUUGGAGCUCCUCUUUUUGCGCCAAUUCAAUUAUGUUUGCGUCUGAGCUUGAUAGAUCUUCGAGAUGUUUAAUAUUAAGUUCAGUAAGCUGGUGACUUGUAGUCUUUUGUAGAAGAGCCAUGUCCUUUGAUGAACUGACGGCGAAACUAGGGCCCUGCUAUUUUACAAAAACAAAGAAAAUGAAAAAUAAAACAUUCUGCUUUAGUCAAGAUGGCAUGCAUACUAUAUAAAACCAUCUCUAGGUGCAAACAUGCAGCUUAGAGCAUCUCCAAUAGUCAUCUAAUUAAUGUUUCUAGAUAACUAGUUAAUAGGGAUAUCCCGAGUUGCUUUUACAGUCUUCUAUAACCUCAUCCCAAUCUAACUACCGUUGUUGGGAGAGUCACAGCUCCUCAUUUAUUUGGGGAGUUGGGGUGAAUUAUUUGUCGAAUAAUUAUUGUAAAAAAGGAAAGGUAAAGGGAGUGUGUUAGAGCACUAUUUUUUCACAAACUCUCCAAAUAUGGUAGUUGUAUUGGAGCACUGAAUAGUACUGGUUCGUUCAUUUACUGUUUCCUCAAACUUUCUGCUGAGAGUUCGUGCAUUGUGGUGACACUAAAUUAGCUGCUUAAUCUGCUGCAGGACAUCAAGCAGUGGGCGUAUGGCGCACCUAUCAGCUGGGUUCCUGUUGGUCAUCUUAAUUCUUGCUUGUGGUAGAGCAAACCAUGGCCGACUUAGUGAUCAGGCCCAGGGCCGGCUCUAGGGGAGCGGCAGGCCGUGCGACCGUCCGGGGCCCAUGAAGCUGCGGGCCCAAAACCAUAUAGGUAAUCAAUACAUAUAAUUUGGUUGGUGGACUUUGUUUCGGCCUUUCUAAAUGGCCCGCGUAACAACUGCGGCCUGCCUCCGUCCGUGCCAAAUCAGGCCUACCAAAUUGCUCCAUGACUAUGCUGUCCCUGAUUCUGUAUACAUAUACGCUCCUGACUCCGUGGUUGUGCUGUCGCUGAGCACCGCGUCUGGAGCGCGUCAGAGGAUAUAGGCGAGCCGCGAGCACCGUUAGGGUCAGAGGCGAGUGCUUAUUUGAAGUUCAAUCUUUGUUUUCUUUUUCGCCAAUUUCGUCAAAAAGCAAUCAUUUAAUUAAUAUUAUUUCUUUCGUGUAGUAAUUCCAUUCUUCAUCAAUUGCGUAGAAGGAGCAAUGCCUUACGACAUUGAAGGAGAAUCUUGGUAAUUCUAUCGUCAAUUGCAUAUCAGAUUCUCUUAACUAUUCCAAUGACAGUAGUAUCAGCCGAAAGUAGUUUCUCCAUUUUGAAACUAUUGAAAAAUUAUUUGAGAUCAACUAUGUCACAAGAAAGAUUGAAUGGCUUGGCUAUGUGCAAUAUUAAGAAGGAUGUUUUGGACGACAUUAAUCUUGAUACUGUUCAUGAAGACUUUGCAUCAAGAAAUAUAUCCGAAGAUGUUUUUCUACAAAGCACUAAAGCAUUAUAUUUUUAUUUGAGAUAAUCAUAAUGGUUAUUGUUUUUAGUUUUUUUGUUACACUAUUAUUAUGUUUUAUGAGAGAUAUAUAUUGCAAAAAUGAUGCGUAGCUCUCCUGAAUAUAUAUAUAUAUAUAUUGCAAAAUAAUUUUUAUUAUUCGUAUUAUAUACUUUAGUUUUGAUAUUAAAAAUAGUUCAACGGGUCCUUAUGUUUGCCCAAGGGUCUUCAAAAUUAUAGAGCCAGCCGUGAUCAGGCCAUUCAUCUUCAUGGUGGAGAAGGUGAUCGAAGGCAUGGAGCGCAAGCUGCCAUCAAUCCUGCAUGCACAUUAACAAGGAUGCGGAGGAAAGAAGAGCCUCCCGACCUGAAGCAGCAGCUUGGCUCAAAGACCUCAAGACAGUUGCCUAUGCGGUGCUGGCCGGUGGCGCGAUCCAACGCUCUUGGGCAGCGGUAGCGAUGGCUUCCUGUUCCGCGGGCAGCCACAGCAGCGGCGACGGCGCGCUCAGCGGCCUCAACCCGUGCGCGGGCCCACUAGGAUUAAAACAAUCUAACACAUCCCAAUCUUAAGGAAGUGCACCAGUAGGUUCUUUUGUAUCACUUUUGGAUAGUCAUCGAAUUGCCGAACCUUUGAGCAGCGGAUCGACCCCCGCAUGCACUCAUGUCACACCCGAUUUUAAGGACAAAAUCGAGUGCAUUAAAUACAUGUGUGCCAGGAUCAAGUUACACACAUGUACGAUAAUAGUGAAUAACAAAGAUAGUGCUAAAACGAAUAAAGAGAGUAUUAAACAUUAUUACAUGACCGAAAGUCUCAAUAAACCAUAAGCCUAAUUUAUUAUGCAGCGGAACUCCAAGGACGACGACGACUCCACAGGCAGCUGACUGAAGAAACGUACGCCUAGAACUCCUCAAAGUCGUGUAGGUACUCCUCCCAAUUAGCUUAGUCUGAACAACGGUUUUGCAAGGGUGAGUACUGUAACAACUCUACCUAAAUUAAGUACUUUUAACUCUAAACCAGUGAUAAAUCCCUAAGUUAAGAAGUGAAAUGACCUUUAUAAACCUAAGAAGCUCGUUUUGGAGUUUGAAUUAAAGCUUGAAAUUUUGUAUACAAACCUGAGUUUCUGCCCAAGUAAGAGUUGUAAAACUUUUUAAUUCCAACAACUUUUGUUAAAGUCACUUUGACUAAUUCGGAGUGGAAGGAAGUCAAAAACAUCAACCAAAGCCAGUUUUUCUAAAGGACCCUGAAAAUCUCUUAAGUCCUGAAAUUCGAGUUUUCCUCCAUCUUGCAAGCUUUCAUCUCCUGUUUUCCCUAUCUAAACUCAAGUCAGGGCCUGAAUGAAAGUUGUAGUACCUCAAGAUUGUUCCAACUUUGUUACACUGAUCCAGAUCCAAAUCGGGCCCGAACUUGUUCAAAACUCCGGUCAAAGGGAGGUAAACCAGUCAACUCACCCCUGGUGCCUUAAAAAUCCUAAGUCUGGAAUCCCAGAUUUUUGGCUAACUUUGACCGGAAAUAUCUUUGAAUCCUUUCACAAUCUAAACCAGCACCUUAAACAAAGUUUGAAGAACAAUCAGAGUUGAGCAAGUUUGUUUAAGGGAGUUUUGGAAGUUGUGUUGAAAGAUUCGGAGGAAGGAUCACUCCAAAGCUGGUCGGGCUUGUUGCCCGAAGGGAGCCUCGACGCCCGCGCGCCAGAGCACGUUCACUCGCGCGCCGCGUGCCGCGUGGCCGCCGGCCACCGGCAGCUCGCCGGCACCCUAUCCCCAGCACGACAGCGAUAGGACGAGAGCCACGGCGCCCAACCCGCGCCCGCGACAGGACGGAGCGAGCGCAGGGCUAGCCAACCGCCAGCCGCGCGCAGGUCGCCUUCCGCCUGCCACGGCUCUGCUCCGCCAACCCUGUUCCGCCCGUCCGCUGAGAAAGCUGACACGCCCCCGACGUCCCGCGCCUCCGCCCGUUCGCCCAACCCCCACGGUAGCCCUUCCGUCUCGCCCGCCCGACAGACCGGAAGCCCUAGAUGUGCGCCGCCCAAGGCCAAUCGCCGCCGAAGACCACCCGGAGCUCCGCCUCCUCUGCCCAAUGGCGUUGUCGGCCAAUGGCCGCCUCGCCUGAGCACUCGCCGCUCCCGGCCUUAUCCUUUCCCCACCGGAGCCCCGCCUCGACCCUCCGCCCCACCACGACCCUAUAAAAGAGAACCCCCUCACCGGCAAUGCCACCCCUUGCCACCGCCUGCACCUGCGCCACCGCUUUCUCCUCUGCGCCCCCGCUUUCUCCUCUGCGCUACCGCUGAGCUUCCGUGGAGCUCACCCCUUUGCGCCACCCCACACUCCGGCGAUUUCGCCGCCACCCUCUUGAGAAAGUUCCCCUCUCCGCUCCAGCCGCUUCUUCCAACCCACCAGCCGCCCGCUCCUCCGCGUGGUACUCGAGCUUGCUAGUGUCCGCAAGAAGCACCGCCGCCGCCGGAGCACCGUCGAAGCAACGCCGCCGCCGGACCACCGUCGAAGUCUCGCUGCUGCCCAAGCCUUAGCGCGUACAACUUCCCGCCCCAGCCUACUCCUGUUCGGCCCCAAGGCUUCACCGGUAGACCUGGAGGUAAGUGACCGACCCCUUGUGUUCCGUCUCGACCGACCCCUUGUGUUCAGCCUCAACCGACCCCUUUUCUUUCCGUCUCGCCCGACCCCUGUCCUUUUUGUUUCGCCCGACCCCUGUCCUUUUUCGUUUCUCCCGACCCCUUUGUUUCGGUUCGCCCGACCCCUUUUCUUUUCCUCUCGCCUGACCUUUUUCCCGUUCGCCUCGCCCGACCCUGCCAAGUUUCGCCGACCCUUUCUCCGUCUCGCCCGAGGGCUCGGCUGUAACUUUUUCUUUGACCCGAGGGUAUCGGUGAAAUAUUUUCGGGGAUUCCUCUGUGUUGAGUCUGAGGACCUCGGUACGGUUUUCCUUAAACCUGAGGGUCAGACCCUAAGUUUCCCCUAAUCCGACCCUCUCAUCCUGAUCUCCUCCAACAGAAGUUGAACUCCCCCACCUUUCCUGUAGCUUGGCUACAAGUGUCCGUGUUAAAACAUUAGUGUGUUGAAAUAACCAUCUAAAAUGUUUAACCCCUGCAUUGCAUUUCCGUGUAGAGUUGAAUCUCGCCGAUGGAACGUACGAGCUUCACCCGGCACCGGAAGAAGACCCCGCCGAGGAACUGCAUCCCUUCGAAGGAGAGCCCGAACCGGAGCAAGACCCCGAGGACCCGCAAGCUUUUCCUGAAGGCAAGCCCCGGAGCAUAAAUUCCUAUCUUGAAUUCAUGCAAUAUUAUUGAUUACUUGAUUGCGCAUUUACGUUUCGAGGAGUUGUAAUGGAACCUUAGAUGCAUAACUUAGUACCUUAUUUUUGAAUACUAGUUGCUAAGGCCGAGUAGUUGCAUUGCUUAAUAGGUUCCGGUAAAAGUCGAGUGAUCUCCUGUCACUCGCGAGUUAUAGGAGUUGAAUGUUUCAGAUAUGUCGCAACUAUAAGGACGACGGACGGGGUCAGGCUUAUGUUCGAUACUUGGUGGAUUGCCCCGUCUGUCUAAAUGAAAAUGAACUAAGGUCGAAACGUGUCGGCGUUCGUGAUCAAGUGUUUGAAAGUACUAAUCUCAUACCUAGUAUGGGAUGGGGAAGCCUAGUACCUGAUUGAAUUGGGGCGUGGCAUACCCUCCGGCUGUCCUUGGAACGUCGUUCCCAUGGUGCAUCAUGUGGGUGCAAGUGCGGUCACAGUGCAGCAAUAGGCCGGGACUGUGGAGCAUUGCAUGCCAAAGGAAGUUGGCCCUGACACGUGCCUAAGGGAUCGAUGGGGACGGCUGAUAAAUGAAGCGACCCUUCGUGGUGCGCGGAUGUCAUGAGAUUAGGUUUGCCAUGCAUGGUUAAUAAAUUCGAAUCGAUUCAUCUGCCUCUCAUAGAUUGGGACUACUUGAUCGCUAUUCUGCACUGAGUAAAGAUGGAACAUGAUGAUGAUUUUAAUCUUGAUGCUUGUUAAGUAAUUGCUUGGAAACCAUGUUUGUUUAGUAUAAGUUGCUAAUCUGGAAUGGAUAAAGAACAUAGAACAUGAGCUAAAAUGUUGAAAGUAAGGACUGACUUUAGACGCUUUUGGCAAAGAAAACCCCAGAGCCAGAAAGCCUUGCAUGUCUAGGUCUCGGUCGUGUCUUUUCGACAGGUCAGUCUUGCGGAGUACUAGUUGCUCAGCCUUGUUGUGGCUAAUCUUUUUCAGGUAAUGUCAAUAGUUUGGGUGUUGGUACCACUUGGCCGACCCAGCUUCCUCCAGGUUGGACCGUCGAGUGGGAUCCUUCCUUGGAUGGCGAAGGAAGAAAUUUUUGAUGUCAUGAACGGCUCCGUCGUGAUGUCAUGUAUCGACGUUUAGUUUUCGCUAUUUUCCUUUGACUUCGAACCAUGCAAAUUUCGAUUUGAAUUUCAGAAACUCUGAUGUAAUAAAUUGUUGAACUAUGUUGUCAUGAUGGAAUGUUGUAACCUCUGUGCUACUCACCUUCGCGUGAGCGAUGCUUCUCGAUCCUGUUUAUGUGGUUUAUCGGAGGAAAUCCGACGGUCGACCAAGUUGACUUGCUUAAAGUGCAUAAUCGCGUGUCAGACGACUUCAAUGCAUUUUAGUCAGGUUAAUUUGGGCGGUUCCGCCACAAGUACACUUAUGGUUGGUACUCAACAAGUCGUGGGGAAUAGUGUAGUGUAAGGCAAAUCAAGGUACGGCUAAGGCAUAAUUAGCAUUCGCUUUUAUUUAAGUUGGUCAAGUUUUAUUAGCAAUUAACUAAGUAUAAGUUCGUACCACUCGAAAUUAAACAUGAUCAUAAAUAAAGUAAACAGCAUAUGCAUGAAAUGACAACAAGUUAAAUCCAUCUUCCGAUAAAUAUUAUCAUGUGAGGGUCCAGGCCUCUCUUAACCGUGAGCACGGCUGAUCGAUCAGUUUUACACUCUGCAGAGGUGGCACAUCUUUACCCACAAGUCGCGUAAAAGUUCAAAAGAACUUUGGACCCAACCAUGCGGUGUUUGCAAGGCACCAUACCACACUUCUGAGGUGUGAUUGCAUAGGGACGCUACGAGGCCUUUACAAAGAUUCAUUAGUCAGUGGUAACCCGCUAAGGUUUCGAUGUCUGGCGUGCACCACCCAUCCCAGGCAAAAAUGCAACGACUCAGUCCCCCCUCUUGCCUCAUCAUGAGUAAGGUCACCCUAGACUAAGGUUUCUAAUUAUUCAGCCAAGACCAGAGCCAUUUAGUCUUGUGGUAGCACUAUUUUCCUGGGUGGUCGCUCCAUGUUACGAUUAAUAAUACAUGAUCUUAUAUUAAUGAAAGGUAUAACAGAAGUAAAGCAAGAUUAAACAUUGUUUUUAGUUAAACCACCAUGUACCAAGUAAGCGCUAAGCAUGAGCUACCCAACAAAAAGUAAACCGGUUGAUCAAGGCAAAGGUAAUUCAAUCUAGGCGAACCUUAAUUGGGACCCAUCAAUUCAAUCUUAACAUGUGCAUAGCAUAAAUGUUGAGUACGAGAAAGUAAAGGUGUAUAGGAUGAAAAGUAGUGAUCAAGGACACGACUUGCCUUCUUGGCCUUGCUCCUACUGUUCGUACUCCUCGAAGGCUUGGUCUUCAACUCCCUCGAACUGCGGGACGUCUACACGCGUCACACGAGCACAUACAAGCAAACAUGGGCAAAAAGUAAGAAACAGUACACCAAUCACAAUUAAACAGAGAAAACAAGCUUGAAAAGUUGAUCUACGCUUUAAAACGAACACGUGGAUAUAAAGAACGCGAAAAACGGAGUUAAGAUGCAAAAGAGAUGAUUAAAACAAGAUCCAGGGGCUUUUCUGUGAGAAAAACAAAACUUUUAGGGCAAAACCGCAAAAACCGAGGGCUUAUACGUAAAUACGCGUAUAAACCAAAGGUCUAACGCGCAAAAACUCCAAAACGGACGGCGGGUUGAUUUUUAGAAAACUCGGGGUUUAAACCGAAAAGCACGAGGGCAGAUCUGUGAAUAUUUUCAACGCGAUCUGGACCGCGGGUUGAUUUGCGGAAAAGGCAGGGGCUUAAGAGCAAAAUGGCGCGGUGCGGCACGGUUGACCGUUACGCGGUCUUGUUUGACUCGCUAUCGGCCGUCGGAUUUAGGUCCGACGGUCACGGUCGGCGAUGACUCGCGACGGCGACGGGAAAAGGGCAGCCAGCGGCGGUGAGCGACGGCGAGGUCGCCGGAGUAGGCCGAAACAACGCCACGGGGCUCGGUUUCGCGCGCGGAAAGCACCAGAAGAGAGCGGGGAACAUGGCGAACCCGUUUAGUGCCUUGGCGGGAGCCACGGCGCGGCGGCGCUCACCUUUUGGCGGCGGCGUGCGGCGGAGAGAGGCAGCGGCGCAAGAGCUUGCGGCAGCUAGGGUUUGGAGGGUGCUGGCACGGGUGCUCGUGGCCGGGGGAGGCGGCAGCUUAAAUAGGGGCGGACGGCUUGGAGAUAGAGGCGGCCCCGGAUUCAAACCGGUCGGGGAAUACGGCACCCACCCGGAGAUCUCGCGCGGCGGUUGCGGGCGGAGGAGAGUCUGGUCGGAGGUGGGAGACGAUGGCGGGUCCCACCUGUCGGCGGUAGCGGGCGGUAGGCGGGCCGUAGCGGCUGUGGGCUGGCGCGCGCGUUCGCGGGCCGCGGGAAAGGGGCGAGCGGAGAGCUUCGCAGGCCGGCUGGAGGUGGAGCGGUGGGCCGCACGGGCAAGGGGGUUCGCGGGCCGGCGAAGAAAGGCGGAGCGGGCCGAGCGGCUGGCACUGGGCUGCCGGCAGAGGAGGAGGCGCUAGGCCGAAAGAAAAAGAAGAAGAGAAAGGAAAGCAAGGUGCGGCCCAGGAGGAGAAGAAGAAAAAGAAAAAGAAGAGGGAAAAGGAAAAAGGUUUUGGAGAUUGAAUUUAAAUUUGGAAUUCAAAUUUUUGAUUCAAACCCAAGCAAUCAAAAUAAAUGCAGCAGCAUGAAUGCACAAUUAACUCCUAUGAUGAAUUAAUUAAAUUAAAGAAAAUGAAAUUAAAUGCCUAGAAUUUAAAUGACACCCUAAUUUGAGUAAAUUUUAAUGAAUUUGAAUUCUCUAAAAUUUUGGGUGUUACAACUCAUGAAACUAAAAGGGAAAUCCUUUUCUCAUAGCUGGAUAAUAGCGCGCGGCGACAGAAAAGCCAGCAUCGUUUCUGAUCUCAUUCACGUAUAUACAGCCAGUUGCUCGCUUCCGACCAUGCAGCUGCAUGAAGAAUAUGGACCGAAUGUUUAGUCAGUAAGCAAACACUGCCUAAAGUAAGUUUACAGAGCUACAUGCUGGGCAUUUCAGACUUGUUUAAACAGAGGUGCAAACAAAGUCGCCUCCAAGGAGGCAGUAGCACCCGCAAGCGUCACCGUCCACGCUUUCGCCCCGACCUCCAUGCUAUGCCAUGCCAGAAGCACCAUCACGUUCAGAGGUUUCACCUCUAUGUGUAACGCUGCGCUAUGGAGAGAUGACAAUCUUGGGGGGGGCGGGGGGGGGGGUACCAAUGACAUAUGGUAACAGCUUACAAUGAUGGUAGUGGAUAAAAGAAAUGGGAGCACCACAAACAAAAUCUAGAGUCUCAACAGUCAAAAUCAAACAAGAUCAAACAAUAAAAAGUUCUGAGUACCACAAGAGCACCAGGGGGGGAUCAUUUCCAAUGUGGAUGCAUCAGUGGAGAUCUCUCAACGUAUGUCACAUAAGCAGUGUGGUGUCCUCCAGGUGUCCAGGUUGGUGUGUUAAACUGCCUCCGAUCCACAGCCAUCUUAGAACACUGCAUUCCAAGUUUCCAACACUCUUCAUGGUCUCAACUCUACUUGAACAUUCUCAAUAAGCUCUAUCUUGCUCCAAUCUUCUCCUGACUCGCUGCAUCUUUGCUUAAACCCCUUUGUGCAUUGUGAUAGUGUCAAGGUAUGCAAAGAGGUCAGCCUUUCAAUGCACGGAGGCAAAGUUUUCAUCCAGUAGGUCUCUACUUUGAGCUCACGGAGAGAUGCCAUAUCUCCCAACCAUUCUGGCAAGGUUUCCAUGUUCUGACAGUUCAGUAUCUCUAGCUUCCUGAGGGAUUUCCAGCCUAGAAUGCACUUUGGCAAAGGUACAGGAUCGAUGCAACUGUCAACAGUUAAUUCUUCAAUGUCAAGCUGUUGAAGAGAAUCGGAGUCAGAAGAUAUAUUUUCGAUGUACUUGAUUUCCAUUUUGGAUGAUAAAGCAGAUGUUGAUAGCCCCAUGACUUGGUAGAAUGAUGGCCAAUGGAAUAAGAAUGGAAAUUGUUUAAUUCCAGAUAUGAUAUACCUGGCACUCCAAGGGAUUGAUGGUUCAAAUCUUACGUUCAAACAACAGUCUAUCUCUAAAUAUUGAAGUCCAGGAAAUAAUGUGCGCUGGUUGGAGGAUUCCCUGCCACUAUCACUGUGUCUUCCUCCCUGCUGCUCUCUUUGAAAUACGUUCUUAUCAUCCUUCUGCUCAAUACAAGGCAACGUCGAUGUUUUCCACAGUAACUUCCCUACUCUUCCUAAUGUAACUCUUCUGAGAUUUUUCACUGGCUGUGUGCUCAAGAUGCAUAUUGAUGAUUUGUCAUAUAGGUUCAGGUCAUUUGGCCUAUUAAUCACCGGGAAAGACGAGAUAUACAAGUCUUCAAGAGAUUGUAAAUAAUCUAGAUGGAGGUGACCAGAUUGAACAUCGAAAAGCUCCAAUCUUACAAGAUUUGGUAGCAAACGUAACCAGUUAGGAAAAUCACCACCAACAUAGUUCUUUAUGCAAAGCCUUUUAAGGUUUUCAUGAGGCUGGAGCUCUUCUAAUGCGACCUCGUUGAACACUGGCCCACUCCACUCCAAACUUAAAAAUUGGAGCUCCUCUUUUUGCGCCAAUUCAAUUAUGUUUGCUUCUGAGCUUGAUAGACCUUCGAGAUGUUUAAUAUUAAGUUCAAUAAGCUGGUGACUUGUAGUCUUUUGCAGAAUAGCCAUGUCGUCUGAUGAACUGACGGCAAAACUAGGGCCCUGCUAUUUUACAAAAACAUAGAAAAUCAAAAAUAAAACAUUCUGCUUUAGUCAAGAUGGCAUGCAUACUAUAUAAAACCAUCUCUAGGUGCAAACAUGCAGCUUAGAGCAUCUUCAAUAGUCAUCUAAUAAAUGUUUUCAGAUAAAUAGUUAAUAGGGAUAUCCCGAGUUGCUUUUGCAGUCUUCUAUAACCUCAUCCCAAUCCAACUACCGUGUUGGGAGAGUCACAGCUCCUCCUUUAUUUUGGGAGUUGGGGUGAAUUAUUUGUCGAAUAAUUAUUGGAAAAAAGGAAAGGUAAAGGGAGUGUGUUAGAGCACUAUUUUUUCACAAACUCUCCAAAUAUGGUAGUUGUAUUGGAGAAUAGGGAUCUGCUGGAGAUACUAUGUAAACCAUUGGACAAUUGAAUGCUGAUGAGGCUUAUGGAAACAGAGCCAGCCAAGGAUCCCUACCUAACUCUACCAAUCACGGGUAUGCACAGCAGAUAUGCUGGCAACAGAUCCUACCAGUAAGUUUUUUUUUCCAAAAAAAACAUAUCCUACCACGUACACAGCACAAAAAUACAAUUCUAAAAAAUUUGAUGUUCGCCUGGUAUAUCCCAAAAGUUGCAUGACUAUUUUAAUUUGGAACUUGCUUGGCUACUCCUUCCAUCCCAUAUUAUAGGUCAUUUUGGCAUUUCUAGGUUUAUGAUUUUUUGUUGUACACCUUGAUGUAUAUUAUAUCUAGAAGCUAUGAAUCUAAAAUUGUCAAAACAACCAACAAUUUGGAUAAUUUGGGAUGGAGGGAGUAUUUUAAUUUGGAGAAUCAGGUCUACUAUAAGUGCCACAAUUAAGCAAGGUAGUGGCAUAUCAAACAAUAAAUUAAAUAUUUAUGUUAGAAAGGGAUUCCAUUAAUUCAUUCAUAUAUACGAUAUUCACUCCCUAGAAUUAAUGAAAAUACAGUAACAAAUCACAUGCCUGCAUGAUAGAUUGAGCCUCUUGUUAUGCAACCGUAAUUUAUAGUAUACAUUGUAGAACAAAAAAAGUAAUAAUUAAAAACAGUGCAUAUUACCUCAUGUGCAUAUACAUGUUUGAUGGGUUUAAUCUUGUCGUAGUCCUCUCCUAAACGGCUGCAGCAUUCACGCAGUUUGUAAUUGCACUUCUUAAGAGUUAAUGUCUUCAAGGAGGUUACAUCCUUGAUGGAGUGAGGCAAACGCUGCAGUUUGGCAGAAUAAACUUCUAGAUGCUCCAGAGAUGCCAGAUCCCCCAACCAAUCUGGGAGUGCCGCAAAAUUACAACAACUGUCCAAUAUCUGCAAGCUCCUAAGGGAUGAUCUCCGGCAAGGUGAUCAGAUCACUGUCAGAUUUAAUAGUUAAAUACCACAAGUCGGUGCUGACGUAUUGGAGAAAUUCUGAAGCGUCAGAGAAGCCAAACAUAUUUGGUUCCAAUUCAAGUGUAAAAAGGUGUGAAGAUCCAACAAGUAUCACGGGUGAUAGUUCUACCUUACUGCAUGAUGCAACUAUAUGCUCUAUGUAUCCUUGAAAAGCUGAACCGAGGGUCAACGUGGAAAUAUUUCAUCUCCUUGCACCUUCUGUUCAUCAUCAUCCCAAGACAUCUCUCUAGCAGACAGCUCCAAGUUCGUGGACAGCACCUCCAAAUUCUCCAUCUUAUUAAUACAAAGUUCCCUUAAUUUCCUGAAUGGGUUCCUGCCUCCAUAAAAACUAGUAGCCACUUCUCGAAUAUUAGGCAUAUCUGAAAUGUGCAGUUCUUCAAGGUUUGCUAACUGUCCUAGUGAAGGGAGGCGUGCGCACCUUGGCUGCCCAUCAGCACUAUCUUCACAAGAUUUGGAAGAUCGAGAUUUGGAUCGCUCAUCCAGCCACAAAAUGUGGCAUCUCCAUAACCUUCUAUUUCAAGUGUUGAUAGGUUAGGAUGAGGAUGGAGUCUUUGGAGAACUGAAGAAUCAUCAGCUCUGGAGAAUUUUUUGCUCAGAUUAAGAUAUACAUUGUUAGGCCUAUCGUCUGAUCCAGAUAAACCAUUGCUGGAAUAAGAGUUUGCGUCAGCGUGCGCAGCUGGUCAUAUGUAGCCAACUCUCCAAGGCCAACUUCAUCAGCGCUAUUCACCUUCUCAAGAUUUGAAAUAAAUAGGUCUGUGAUUCCAAAGUCUGUAUUUUGACAGAGGAGAAAAUCACUUUCUUGUACUGCAAAAUACACUCCCUGUGAAGGAAGAGACAGAGUUAGACUAUUACCAAAUGCAACGAAAAUAUUUAUGCAUCCAUUCUGUUCUAGAUAAGAAUUAGAAAAUGUCCAUUGUAAAAGAGGAGUAACAAAGCACAGCCAAGAGAACUUACCUCAUUUAUCUUGAUGCAUUGAAUGUGAGGAAUAGCCUGUAGGAUUGCAGCUUUGUCUCUGUCCAAGAAAUUCCCAGGAGAUGACAAAGUUAGCUUCGCCAAACGAUCCAUGCAUCUCAAUUCAUCAAAACGGUCAAACAUCUCGAGGCAAUCAAUUUCAAGCUCAUGUACUGAUUGAAUGCCAGGAAGUUUCUGAAGAUCAUAGCUCUUACAGUUCGAUAUCUUGAGUUUUUGGAUGGUUUGUGUCAAUAUAGGGGUUUAUGACCACAGAUUAAUCUUGGAUAAAUCACUCUCGUUGAUGAAUAACUCCUUGCUGUUGGGGAUUCUUGGAUAUAGUUCCAGAUAACCGCAGUGUUCUAUCUGCAGAUAGCAAAGCGGAGGGAAUUCUUCUUCAUCAGUGUUCAUCAGUGCGGAAGAAGAUACAGGAACGUGUGUCAUCAGUGUUCUCUUUUUAGUCACUCCCAAAAAUAUUUCCAUCAUGUUCCUAAACUUUGCUUUUCCUUUUCCUCGGGAAGGAUCACCAGACUGCGCCCUGAACAUUUCAAGCCUCUUGAAUUCUUCUAAAGGAUCUAUUUCCAUGUCACGUAUCUCUUCACCAUCUUGGCAAAACCACAAGGUGCAUCUGGAUGCUAGUUUAACAAGCGACAGUCGCUUUAGGUUUCUGCAUGGUGCUAAACAUGCUUCCAUAAGUUUAGGCAUAUUACGAAUUUCAAGCUCCUCUAAGUUUGAUAGAUUUCCUAGAGUUGGAAGCUGGUCACACUCUACGAGAUCAGACAAUACCAGUUUCACCAGAUUUGGGAGUGUAGAACAUAUCUUCCUCAUCCAACUAGGAAACAUACUGUAAUUAUAGCCCUUUAUAGUGAGAUGCUUUAAAGCUGGAUGAGGCUUCAAAUUUUCUAGCACAUCCAUUGUCGUCACUUUGGGUUCCUCUGACCAUUCUAAUAAGGACCACUCCAAACUCAAAGAAGCAAGCCGAUGUCUCCUUCCCAAUUGCACCCCCUUUGCUUCCUCUGCAGACUUCACAACCUCAAGGCAUUUGAUAUUUAGUUCACUGUUUGUAGAAUCAAGGAUAUUCUGUAGAAGGAUAAUGUUGCUGCAAUCACCACUGCUGCCACUUUCUGAGACCACAAAAUCCGGUAGGGUUAGUAGGUCACUGGAGAUGCCUUCCUUUCAGAACAGUGACAUCCCUCCAACUGAAAGGUACUCAAGACGAUGCAUGUUUUUCAAUGUGUCAUGCAGCAUUUUCAGGCUCAACUCCUCACCAGAAUAAUCAGAGGAAUGCUGUGUAGAGGAGCUUGGAGCUUCAGAAUCUUUUCUUACAUCAAAUCCUGAUAAUGCUGAUAGGUUUAGGUACUCCAAAUUUACAAAUUUACCAAGAAAGCAGAUAAUUUUCAAAAUGCAAGGACAGCCAGAUAAAUUCAGAAAUCGGAGUUUAUUUAGUCUGGCACAAGAUUCAGAAAGAUCAAUAAGCCUCGCACAAUCAGAUAAAUCCAAAAUCUCCAGGUUCAGGCAGCCAUUGUUGCCCACACAAAAUUCAGGAAGUGCCUCAAGGCAAGUACAACCAGACAUAUUAAGAUAAAGAAGUCCCUUCAUUCUAUUGAAUGACAGGGUACGCAGUUGCUUAAGCUGGCAGCAGGAGGACAGAUUCAGAUGUUCCAAAUUUUUCAGUAGACUGAAAGAGUCUGGAAGCAUCUCAAGCUUUGAACAACAUGAUAAGUUCAAGAACGAAAGCUUUGGCAGCUCUCCAAAUUGUGAAGGUAGCUUUUGUAGGCUGGUACAACCUGAUAGAUCGAGGUGUUCCAAAUUUUCCAGUAGACUGAAAGAGUCUGGAAGCAUCUCAAGCUUUGAACAACAUGAUAAGUUCAAGAACGAAAGCUUUCGCAGCUCCCCAAAUCGUGAAGGUAGCUUUUGUAGUCUGGUACAUCCUGAUAGAUCAAGAUGUUCCAGGACUUGGAGUCUGUGAAUGGGACCUGGAAGUUCACUAAGAUUCGAGCAGCCAUGUAGAUCCAAAUAGUGAAGCUUCUGAAAGUCACAAAUGGAAGUGGAACUAUGGAGCUUUAAUUUUUCAGAAAAGGAGCUAUGGAGCUUUUUGAGGCUGGUAUUUUCUGAAAGAUUUAAAAACUGCAGGUGGUGCAAGUUUUGCAUAGAACUGGGUAGCUGGACAGUUUGCAUGCGUGGGAAGUCCAAUACACGCAGCCAUUUAGUUUCUGAAAAGGCACCCUUCGAAGGCUGACAUCCUGUGCAGCCACUAAAAUGAGCAGCCCUUGCUUUGAAAGGCGUAUCUUUGCAUUUUGGGUACUGACCUUUGAAAUUCAACAACAACGUGUAUCGAUAGUUGUCCUCUUUACCGAAGCUUCUUUGUUUGCCAUCACAGAUGGCAACUUCCUCAAUAGCAACUGACCUAGCAAGUUCAUGAACUAAAUCGUGCAUUUUGAAUAAUACAUUAUGCAUAUGAGGGUUAUUAAGCUUGGAGUAUCUUGCAGAAAUCUGAAAAGCAAAUUUGCAGGUCGAUUAGUAGUGCACUAGAUAUUUUUUUCAAGGACUCAACGGUAGGUCAAAAGAAAAAAAUAUAUAAAGAGCAUGCCAAUUUCACAUUUAGAAACGAGAUUGAUCAUUGCCACAUCAGCCGUCCCGCAUGGAGAUGCUAGAGCAGUCAAAGGGAGUGCAAAGGGUUUAAAAUUGCAACGAAUGAACAUUAUUUUCUCUCCAGUAGCAAUUGUGUCAAGACAACCAAGUUGACGUUUCUUCUAUCUGAAAUGAAAGAACACUGCCGAUUUAUUUAUUGCUAUAUCCAAUUUAUAGAAUGGAUAUACCAUUUAAUUGAUAUCUUUUCGUAAAAAUGAAACGCAUAAUAUGCAUCCACAUUUCAGCUUCGAAUUUUACUGGAUAGAGAUACAUGAUCUAGGCUAUUAAGUAGCGACUCAUAAAAGCUAAAUCUUGUAACCAAUGGUGGGUCAAUAAUGAUCAUUUUUGUAUAUAUGUAUCGACUGUUGUAAAAAAGUGAUUCGCUUUUCCUAUGCAGUAACCUUCUGCUCCUAAAGAAUGCCAGGAUUGUGUUUUAAUUAUUGCAAUUACUAUUCACUUAGUAACUUAACUCGCUGUCUUGGCAAUGUUGUAGAGCUUAUGCCAAAAAUACAGCUCAGCCCUUUUUGCUCAGAUUCCAUGACUUUAUGCAGAGAAAACUUGACUUAAAACAAAACUUAGGCUAUGUUACUAGUAAUUUGCAACCUCAGGGAGUUUACUUGUCAUGUUUAUUUGCUUGGUUGAUUUCAGUAAGCAUAAAACUGGCAACUUAAGAAAUAAUGUUCGUGUCGCUAUAUUUAUCUUUUAAAUAAUGUUGACUCAAAUAUUUAUAAGGUGUUAGAAUUGAGGAACCAAUACAACCAUGUCCGAAUGAUUCAUCGUAGGAUCACUCCAUGAAUUUUACACCUUGAUCAAUAUGCUUGUGCGAAAUGAAGUGGAUUAUUCAAAACUAGAAUCAAAGGAUUUAUGACUAUCUCAUUCUUCAAACCAAAGAUUAUAUUGAAUUAGUAGUAGAUAAACACCAUAUUCUGAAAUAAGAUUAAAAUACUAAUAAAUCAUGCGAGAAAUGACAGCACAACUCGAUACAAGGAAAAAAGUUAACUGUACCAAGCUUGGGUAUAUAAUAUAACUCACCGAGAUAGAGUCACUUGAAGCCUCCAGGAAUGACAUCUGACAAAGUUCUAGUAGGUAUUCCUCAGCACGAUGUGUGGUCAGAACAAAUCUCAGAGCAAUCCACUUAUGAAUCAGUUCUCUCUUCUCUAUGAUGAAGCCUUUUGGGAAGGCAGAAAAGUAUACAAAGCAAGGUCUCAGAUAAUAUGGCAUGUGGUAGUAACUAAUCUUCAAGGAUGGUAAUAUUAAAGUAGAUGUUGUUCCAGUCGUUGGAUCGCAUUCGUCUUCCCACAGGUCACUCUUCAGUGUUUCUUCCUACUUGUGCAUCGGCAUAUCUAGCAGACGAUCCCCAAGAGACUUGACUGCCAAAGGCACUCCACCGCAUUUCUUUACUAUUUUCUCCCCCAUAUGUACCUUUGCCAUUUCAGAUUCUUUAAUUCCAUUUGGAAAUGCCUUAGCUUUGAACAGCUUCCAGCAGUCAUCGUACGGCAAGGCACCCAACUUGAAUGGCAACUCACGAUUCAGCCGCUUAGCAACCUGUUCACUUCGAGUGGUCACAAUUAUCUUUCUGCCUGGUGCGCCACCUUUCAACAUCGCUUCUAUCUUUUCCAAUUGUCCUGUGUUUUCUUCCCAUAAGUCAUCUAAAACAAUAAGAUACUUCUUUCCACGGAGGAUCAUCUCCACGCGCAUCUGCACGGAGGACAGGUCAUACUGGUUACUCUGUCCAUCUACUUGGGAGAUAAUUGAUCGACCAAUCUUUUCAUCGCUAAAACUUGUGGAGACAUAAACCCAAAUCUGGAUAUCAAAAUCUCUCUUAGUUGUAUUGUCGUCAAAAACCAUUUGGGCGAGAGGUGGUUUUACCCAGACCACCAAAGCCAUAUAUAGGGAUGAUGAUGUGUUUGCAAUCUUCUUGCAGCAACUUCAUCAACUCUACCUUGUCCUUGUCCCUCCCAAGUAUACCUUCUACAAGGCAAGGGCCUGUAGCCCUUGUCUGGAUCACGUCCUGGUCGUCAGAGCUUGUGUCCACCAUCAAGUCGAACUGCCUCAGCUUUUCUAUGUCGUCCAAUCUUUGCUUCAUGGCCUUCAACUUGCUAGGCAUGUUUAGCCGCAACUUCAGAGGAAUGGAGAUCUCCUGCAAAUCCAUGUCGUGAAUUAGAAAAGGGACGAGAAAUGGAAAUGGACAUAUCGACAUCAAACACACUCGAGACCUACCGUUGUAGAUUUGUUAUUCUGAGAGCCAUCUUUAUUACUCAGGAUAUCACCUUCCAAUUCCAAUAAUAAUGUCCUCCAUGUCAUAGGCUGCUGCCUUUAGCUUCCUCAUCCAGACGCAGACGUCACCAUCUUUCAUCAGCCGCUUCUCCGCCCUAACCAUGCUAUUUUGGAUGGUAUCCACAGUAUCCUUGAGGCCUUUGAGCUCAUCACCUAGCUUCAGCUGCGAGGCGAUCGCCUCCCAGAUGGCACUACCUAGCAUGCCGCCGACCUUCUUCAAUGCGGCCGAGGCAAGAAACUCCCCUACCCCCACCAUGUGGCUGAAGGGGACGCCAAUCACACAGUGUGAUGAGUGCUUGACGUCAGGCCGGGUGAGGAACAGUCCCAAGAGAAAACUGGAGAAGACACAGCGAGAAAUUGUCAGAGUCUCUCUGUUUUUGACCUGAAAAUCACAACCCUUGCAGCAAACUCUGUAUCAAGGACAGGCAGGAAAUAUUUACAAGCAAGGAGGAAAAGGGCAAAUAUUUCAGUCAGAAUUGAGACAAAUAAUAGCACCCAAGGUGCGCUUUAGAUCGCACUCUGUUUCAAUUAAACUGACUCGAGAUGGAAACCCCAAUUCGGAUGCGAGGUGGAAGGAAAGAAAGGUGAUUAGUUCUCAGCUUUUACCGUGAGGGUGGUGUGUUGUGUCCAGCACCCGAUGGGAUGGCAGGUAACUAAGGCCCCGUUUGGGAGGGCUUCAGCUUCGGCUUCUCUACUGGCCGAAGCUUGAGCCCUACCAAAUGACGAGAUGGCGAAAGGCUUCGGCGGAGAAGCUCCGCGAAUCGCUCUGACUGAAGCUGAUUGAGGGAGCGGGAGCUAAAAAAAAUUGGCUCCCCGCGGCUUCUCGCGUCGUUGGACACCCUUGUGCUUCGAUGGGGCCCGCGGGUGGAGGUGGCUGGCGGUGGGCGCAGACGAGGCAUGAGGAUGGCGGCGCGGGAGCAGAAGUGGCCGGCUGCGGACAAGCCGCGACAGAGGACGGCCCAGGACGACCGGCGGCGGUGGGCACGGGGCGGAGGACGUCCGGCGGCGGCGGGCGCGGGGCAGAGGUGGCCGGCGGCGCGCGCUGGGGCGUGGGCGCGUGAAAAGGGGAGGCGGGGGCGCUAGGGACGUAUCUCAGAUGGCAGCGGUGAGAUUCAGCCGGGAGAAGGAGGCCGGGUCAGAUCUUUCACCGGGUGAGAGAGGGGCGCGGCGGAUGGAACGGUCGGUGGUGGUGGAUGGAACGGCGCGUCAGUGGAUGGAACAACGCGUCAGGGUGCCUGGGAAUCAGGGGGUGAGGAGGUGACGAUAGGGUUCGGGGCGCGAUCGAUCCUACCUCAACGUAUGCGUAAGUAGAAGAAUGCAGUGGCGAGAAAUGCGUACGCGAUGGAGAGGGCUAGAUCCAGAAGUAGCAAGUUGCCGAUUCGUAGAAGCGGAAUAAUAAGCUAGUGAUGAAACAAUGCGUUAUUAGCUCGCGUUACGUUGUUUAGGUCCAGAGAGGAGCAGCAAACUCCAUAGCUUAUAGUUUUAAUUUCUCAUUGUUUAUUGCGGCCGGUCUUUUGACAGUCUAGGGACACAGUCGUCGUAGAUCUCGGGAGCCCUGGUGGAAAACAGAUCAGCUUGCGGUUGUUUAUGUAGAGUCUCUCGAGACAAGGCAUGCAUGGCUAUACUCCCACUCACCAAGCCCAAACAGUGCCAGCUCUACUAGUUUAGUUAAUAAUGUUUUAAGUGACUUUUGCCUUUGCAGAAUAGCCCAUUCUACUACGGAGAGGCGACGAACAAGCUGACCAUGUACGUAGCUGCCUGCUUGUCGUCGACCACCACCGCAGAUUCUUCUCUUGCCAUGCAUGUACUCAGCAAAGGAGCGGACCACAUCGUCGUGCAUCUCCAGUUAUCCAGUUGCUCAGGCAGUCCAGCUACUGACCAUGCAGGACUUGUCAAAACAACAUUCCACUCACGCUCGCCUUGCGUAUCUUGUGCUUAAGAGCCCUCCAAUCGCUUUAAUUGCAAGUGGUAAUUAUGCCUUCACACUUCUCAAGAAUUUCCAUCCCAACGUUUUUUAGGCGGUCAGUGCCGACUACCUGCCAACAGUUAAUUAUUUAUUGGAUUAUUAUUUCUGACUACAGUAAGGUCGUCGCGGCACUACUUGCUUAAGUACAUUUUCUUACGUUCCUGUUGUAAAAAACAAUUGGUCAUCAUUUUUUUCAUCCCUUGCACAAAGCAUGAACAGACGAUCCAAUUUCAAAUGGGCUUUACAAGGAUUUUGCAUAAACCGCCACAAAAGUUGUAACGAUCUUACGUAAAUCCUGCAUUCCAAAUGGGGCCUAAACAUUUCAUUUGGGACCUUGGAAUGCAGACUAGAUUGUGUUCCAGUAGCUUGUAUCGUCUUUCAUAAUCACGUUGCCUUUUGUUUUAAAAGCAACAAUUUCAACUAAUAAUGCCAUAAGAUCAAAUUUGUCUACUCCAUCUCAUUUCAAAUAUAAUUCAGUCGAGCUUGUGCACAAGAAUUCAUAAGGUAGGUGGUGAAGUGACACUACUUGCUUAAGUACAUUUUCGGGCAAAAAAGAUUUGGCUACGUUCCUGUUGUAAAAUAAAACAAUUGGUUCACCCUCAGCAUCAGUUCAACAAUGGCCGACUCAUCAAACUCGGACGUCAUCUUCUGUAUAGAACUUGAACUUGAACCCGGACUCAACAGUUAGCAUCCUCGGCUCCGGAUUGAACUUGAACUCGAACCUGUCUGCCUCCUUGUGGAUGCCAUCAAGCCUCUGGUUGACGUCCCUGAUGCUGCUGCCUAUCUCGUGGGCGAACACGGGUUACGCAGGCAGAAGAGCAAUCGCUGGAAGAAAUCCUGCAUCUUUUCUAUGCUCCUGCACGUGAGGGUGAAGAUGGGGUUCCGUAGGCACAUCAACCUGCACUCAUCAGCCUUGAGUUGGCACAGGUCUAGGAUGUCUGUGUGGCAUCGUACAUGGCGUCCUUGAGCUUCCUCACCCAUCUUUGCACACUCUUGUCAGUGACGCGCACCUCCUCUCUGCAUCCGCGAGGAAAGCUUUGAGGCAUCCGGGAUGGCGGCCAUGGCUCCAGAGUACGAUCUAGCUAGUACACAAUACAUGAUCCCUCCGUUUCAGUGGGAUGAGCUCAACCGGAUCUCAAAGGAAUAUACUAUAAGGGUUGGGAUUCAACUCACACUCCUUUGCAACCAGAUAUGGGUUGAAGCGGGUCGAACCCAUCCUAACCCACUUUGACUCCAGAACCAAACACAUGAAAAAAGAUUGCACGAGGAAAAAGAAGGAAAGAGAAAUCGGCGACUCGUAGCAGGGAUGACUGUACGUUGAUUUGGUUGGUUCGGAGCUAAUGUCUUAGAAGAAAUAUCUCUGUAGGAUAAAGGAGAGAAAGUAUUUUUAUUGUGUCACGGCAGGAAUAGAGCAUUCGUCUAACGCGUUUGUCGUUGUCAAGAUUAGCGGAUCAAGACUUAGACUAGUAAAUUUCUUUUAUGCGCGUAAGGCUUCGGAUGGUGGCGUGGGAGACACGGGGUUUAGACUGGUUCGGGCAAGGGAAUGCCCUACGUCCAGUAUCGGGAGCUGCUCGUGUUGCCCACGCGGGGUUCUGUAGUAGGGGUUACAGGAGUGCGAGAGAGGGAGCUGAUCCCAGGUCUCUUGGGUGUACACUGAUGCUCUAGGUGGGUAUGAGUGUGUUUUGUGGCUUGGAGAACCUCCUUUGUCUCAGGCCCCCGGUUCUCCUUUUAUAGCGCAAGGAGGCCACCAAGGUUACAGGCGAGACCGGGUGUAUGGAGAAGUAAAAGAAAUAAACAAAGCUAGGUAAAAUACAACACAAGGGGAGGGACCAAGUCCCCAGGCCACCGGCAUCCUCGCCGGCCUUCGGCUCCUGCCGGCGCGUCUGCCGGAGGAGGGCGGCCGCCGUCACGUCCCGUCGAUGGUCUCCUCGGCGGCUGUCGCCGCCAGGCGUGAUGAUGGUGUUUUGUUGUGGCACCUGUGUCCGUUGGGGCAUUAACGAGUCAAAGUUAAUGCCCUCUCACCGUGUUAUCUUGUCUAAGUUUAAUUACAUAGUCAUGAAAUUGAUUAGAUUUUGUUAACUUAAUUGGCUUGUAAGCGGUAGGCAAGAUGUCUUUGGUGAUUGUGCUCUAGUCUUUUAUGUUGAUAGAUUGAGGUUAAUUCCCUCUCAUUCGUGUUGCCUUGUCUAAGUUCAAUACACUUAUCAAGACAAUUAUUAAGAUCUAUUAAUGUAUCUAGGUUGCGUAUAGUCAGCAUCGGCUGGUCCUUGUUGUUAUGUUCUAAUCUUUUAACUUAGUAGAUUGAUGCCAAUACCCUCUCAUUCUUGUUACCUUGUAUGAGUUCAAUACACUUGUCAAGAUAUUGGCUAGAUCUGUUAGCUUAUCUGAUAAGCAUGUGGUUAACAAGGACUCCCCUUUAUGGUUGUUGCGUUACAAUGCUUUGUCUUAGCGCGUCGGCUGAGAUAGCCGAUGGCACAUGCCAUUAAUGUUUUAUUUAUUUACACUGCAUGCUUACAUUAAAUAUCUAUCUGUCAUAGUGUUUAUUCCAAGAAUGCCUACCCAUGAGUUCGAAAGGCUUCGUCGCCGAUCGGCAAUGUUUACCUUGUCAAUUUUCAGGUCAAAUUGACUGACAGGCCUUGCACCAUUCGCGAGCUGAUUUGGAGCCUGCACUGGAGGUAAGCAGAUCUCCCAGAUCAUCCGUGUUGUUCAACGCAGAAGCCUGAAGUCCGGAUUUUGCAUCAACAGGUAUAGAGAAACAAAAGGAUCUAAGGAAAUAAAACAAAAGAAAAUUAAAGGGUAUUGAGCUACGCAGACAUAGCCAGAAUCAAAGAGGGUUUGGCUCUGAGCAACAGUAAGGAGAAUUCAGACAUAAAUUUUCUUUUACAAGCUUCGAUUAUAGGAUCAAUGUUACUGAAAAUCCGUUCGUUUCUAGUGGACCAUAUGCUCCAUAACAUUAAAAUGAUGACCUCCAUGAAGAACUGGACUUGAAGCUUGUCUUUGAUGAGCUUGAAAAUUUGAAGGAGGGGCCUUGUUGUUAUGACUGACACCCCUAUAGAGGCCCGUCAAGCCUUGGUAAAGUUACAUCUUAAGAACAUAUGGGCAACCAUUUCUAGCUUUUGAAGGAUUCACAAGUCACAAGUAUAAGAGUCUAGGAUCAUGUUUUUUCAUCUAAGAAACUCUCUUGUGCUUAAACGGUCCUUGAGACUAACCAGAAGAAUACCUCGUGUUUCAUUUGGCAUUUUGAACGUUUUGAUGUCCAAUGAUAACGGGAAGCGGCAAGACGGUGAUGUCUUGCAGUGUAGCAUUGUCAUUAGUUGACGGCCAAGAGCAGAAAAAAUUAUGAGAGAAGGAAUGAUAAUGAUUUAGCCAAGGUUGAGUGCCGAUGUGAUAUACAACAAGGGAGAACUAGGAAAUCGAUGUUUGUCAUGCACAUCCAUCCGUAGUAAGCUGAAUGAAGUGGUUGACUAGAGAGAAUGAUGUGCCCAGUAAGUGAUGCAUAUUCCAUGACCACGGUAUAGCUGGCAAAGAUCACAAAGGAGAACUCUAUCUUACUAUUACUAAUUGGAGGCUCCUUUUGAAGCCUCCAGGUGAAGCCACCUAGGAUUACUAGGUGGACACUCUAAAAAAAGAGAGAAAUCCUAGAAAUUCUCACAAAAAAGCAAAACAUCCAACCAUCAAUCUAUAGCUUCAAAUCAUCAUAGCCAUUGGAUCUAUUAUAUUUUCUAAAAAAUUACCCACCUAUGCCAUUAUGAAAAUAGUCUAAAGUAACCCCCUAAAUCUAUAUAUAAAUUACCCACCCCACCUCUGCCAUUAUAGAAAAUAAACUAAAGUAACCCCUAAUCUUAAUCAAAAUUACCCACUUAUGCCAUUGUAAAAAAUAUUUAAAAUAACCCCCUAAUUUGCGACUGAAUUGCCUACCACUAUUACUUAAAAAACUUAAAGUAACCCCUUAAAUUUGCAUCUAUAUUACCCACACAUGCUAUUAUUAAAAAUAACAUGAGGUAAUAACCCUACGUAAUGUACAACAAUAUAUGAUUCUAAAUUAUCUAUAUCUUGCACUAUUGGUAUACAAUAUAAUAAUUAAGAUCUAUACGUAUGAUGUGUGUCACCAUUUAUAAUUAAAGAUAUAAAAUGAUGGGAAUAUAGAUUUCUAUGCUAAAUUAAAGAUAUAAAGUGAUUGCAUAGAGUAAUUAUUAAUUAAAAAUUAAUCAAAACUGAAUAAAGAUAGGUACAUGUAUUAUGUUGAAGUAUUGAAAAAAUAAGAGAGUAGUAGGUAAACAAUUUUGAUCAUUAGCUAAGAGUUUAACUUCUAAAUAAUUUUCAAAUACAAUAGCUUCUAAAAAUAUUAGUCCGUGCGGGAGCACGGGUUGAUGGACUAGUAUGUAAAAUAAUAUGGGAACAUUUAUUUAUGGGGCUACAACCACCGGAUAUUGGUGAUCAAAGUAAAGAAAGGAGAUUGUCACACCCGGUUUUAAGGACAAAACCAAGUGCUACCUAUAUGUAUGCCAGGAUCAAGUUUCAUACAUAUAGUGACAUCAUAAGUGAAUAACAGCAACAGUAUCACGUAAAAAGAUACAAAUAAAGACUUACGAGACCAUCAGAGAUACACAGCUUAAAUACUGAAAACGGAGACUCCAAACUUCACAGGCAAUCGACUGGGGGUUGCGUACGCCUAGAACUCAGCAUCAUCUUCGGAACAUUUCACACACCUUCUUCUUCUGAGCAGCAGUAAGCAAGGGUGAGUACACUUAUGGUUGGUACUCAGCAAGGCCACAAGAAAUAACCAGAAUAACGAUUUGAGUCCAUCUUCAAGUUUAAUUAAUCAUGUGAGGGUCCAGGCCGCUCUUAACCGUGAGCACGGCUGAUCGAUCAGUUUUACACUCUGCAGAGGUGGCACAUCUUUACCCACAAGUCGCGUAAAAGUUCAAGGAACUUUGGACCCAACCAUGCGGUGCUAGCUAGGCACCAUACCACACUUCCGAGGUGUGAUUGCAUAGGGACGCUACGAGGCCUUUACAAAGAUUCGCUAGCAAUGUGGUAACCUGCUAAGGUUUCAGGUCGAAGCAGAACAUAGCAGUCCCCUAGUUGGUAUAGUGUCUUAGCAAAGCCCACUUCCCCCAAGAGCGAGUGCUAUAUCCCAUCAACGCCUCCCCUCUUGCCCUUUCGGUAAGAUCACCCCAGACUAGAGUUUCUAAUUAUUCAGCCAAGACCAGAGCCAUUUAGUCUUGUGGUAGCACUGUUUUCCUGGGUGGUUCUCCAUGUUCCGAUAACAUAAUCAUGAUAUUAUUAACAAAGCAUAGGUAGAAGGAUGGUUAGGGACACUUGCCUUUCUCCAACAGAAAGUUACUCUUACUGCUUUUCAGCUCUUGCUCUCUUGAAGCUCUUACUCUUCAAAACUUCCGAAUAGGGAUCCUUCUACUCAGAGCAAACAUCGGCACAAACAUGCAAGCAACAAACAAGUACAACUAAGAACAAUACACCAAAAUAAAAGGAAAGCUUUAAAAGAGCGUACUAAACGACAAGGCUCGAUCUAAGGUCACGCGAAUGUAAGGAACGCUUAAAACGGAACUAUGGUUGAAAAGAUAAAGCUAUCGAGCAUUUUAAAUUAUAAAAGAAAGAUGAGAGCUACAAGCUUCAUUUAUUUUAGUUGAGAAAAACAAUGUAAAGAUAUUUCACAGAAAUAUCCUUAGUUAGAAUUAAUCAAGUCAUAUUUAUAUUUUCAUAAGAAAAGACGGUGUAAAGCUUAGUCCAAUUUUAUUUAUAAAUAUUUAAGUAUAAUUUAUGCAAUUUAAACAUUUAAUAAAAAAAAUACAUGUAGACAUCUAAGCGUAUAGCUUUACAUUUCGACUUCAACUAAGUAGAUUAAAUUAAAAACAUAUUUAUAUUUAUAUUAGCCAAAUUAAUAUUUAAUUAUGAAAACUCGAGAUAUAACCUAUAUAUAUUUUAUUUAGAAAAAAAAUUAAAUAAACAUUAAUCAAAUUGAAUUUAAUUUAUGAAACACCAAGGUAUAACUCUAAGUGGCUUUUAAUUGAAAGAAUUAUUUGGACAGGCAUUAAUCAAUUUAAUAUAAAAUAUAUUUUCAAAAACAUGUGUGAAGGAAAACUUUACCACUAACGUGUAAUUUACAUCAUUAUGAAUCUAAUGCAACUUGAACGGACAAAAACGGAAUUAAAACGUAGAAUCUAUGGUUUAAACAAGGUUGUAGGGGUCUAAACAUAAUUAACCGUAUACUUGGAGGGUUAGCUGAGAAGAUUACCAAGACUCAGAGAAUAGUCACUGCGAAUAGAUGGAUCUUCGGGGUUAGAUCUGCAAAAGAGGAUGGCUUGGAUCAGAUUGCAAGGAACUGAAAGUUACAGGGGGUUUUCUACAAGGUUUGAAAGACACAAGAAAUAUGAACAAAAAUUAACAGAUUUUCCAGGGGCUAGAUCGAAAAGCAGCGCUUCAUCUUCUUCCUCACGCCAGGAGCAUGGUGCAGCUCCUGGCCGGCGGCCUGCCGGCGUUCUGGUGCGGCGGACGCCCGGGCGGGUGGUGCAGCGCGAUGCGCAGGGCAAGGAGGCGAUGGUGCGCGUGCAGGCAAUGGCACAAGCGAGCCGGAGGUGCUGGGCGAGCAGGAUGAACGGACCAGGCGUGCUGGCCCAAGUUGCGUACAGAAACACAGAAACAGGAGGGAAAGAGAGAAGGAGGGGGUAGCCGGAAACGAAAUCCGAUCUCGCGCAUGAACGGCAAAAUGGAACGAUAUUGAUGAGACGAACAAGAUGGUGUGCUCACCUUCGGCCAGAGACGAACAAUGGCGGCGGAAAAGCUCGCCGGAGUUGGGGAAGACGACGGAGCCGACAUCGGAUUCAUGCAAUUCACCACACCACGGCGUAGAGCUCGAAGAGAGGAACUCCAUGGUGGUGUCGGUUUUCGCCGGAAGUCCACGGUUUCGCCGGAAAAGCUCGCCGGAGUUUGACGAAGACCGAACUUUGACUUCACAUCUACGGAGUUAGGAGAUGCAACUCGUGAAAAGGUUUGCAGAUCUGAAAUCCUCGCGUCGAGACGAACGCGGUGAUAUAUAUAUAGGCCACACUCGGAAAAAGAUAUUUUCGAGUUGACUUUUUAUUUUCGGAAUUUCUGAUUUUAUUUAUCUGCGCGAAAACAAUUCCAGAAAUAGCUGGACUCGUUUUCUAAAGCGAGAAAAAUACCUAGAAAAUUCCGAAAAAUCUGAGAUAAAUCUCAGAGAUGGAUUGGGAUACAAAGAAUCCAAAUAAAAUACUUGGAGCUCGUGAAAAGGAUUCUAAAGCCUUCCAAAAAUUGGAUUUAGCUCUAGGAAAAGGAGAAUAAUUUUCAGAAAAAGAUGGAAAAAAUCCUCACAAGGGUCUGGGCAACGUCUAAACGCAUUUUUCAAACUUUUACACUCAAGAAACACCAAGAUGCAGUGACAUGAAUGCACAGACAUAGAACAACAUUAUUUAAUUUAGAAAAGCAAACAAUUAGUUUCCUAUACUAAAUUUCCUGUAAAGAAAAAUAAAUGUUGGGAAAAUUUUAAAAUGAUGAGAAAAUUAUUGUUUAUUUAUUCUUUUUAUUCACAUCCUGAAAUUUGGAAAUUUCAGGGUGUGACAGAGAUGAUUACUUCUGGUGCUAUACAUUGAAUCACUAACCUUAAUCAUGCAUUGUACCUCAAACUCUCAAGCAAAAAUUUACAUCACCAGCCAAAAUAAAUGUCAUAUUCAUGUUAAAUAUAUAUAUAUAUAUAUAUAUAUAUUAUUGUCAGUACGCACCAAAAAGUGUGUGUGUGUGUGUAAAAGGUACUCCCUUUUCUCUCCUAUCAUGUUCAAAAAAUACAGAAUAUAAUGAUGGAAAAAAGCAUAGACGACACUUUGGUCUGGGCCAUUAGGACAAAAACAAUUACAAGGAUAUGACUAAACAAAACUAUUUGCAUCCAUUUAUUUAUAAAUAAACAUCCAAAAGUAGGUUAAAAAAUAGUACCCACCCUAUUUGUGCGGGCCACAUUGCUAGUUUGACUCACAAGACUGAUCAUUUAUAGCAUGGGGAGAUGGAAAGGGAGAAGAACACAGCGCUUUUAUAUUCCCCAGCAUGCAGCUGGCAAGAUUGUGGAUGAGCAUGACCAUCACGAGCUGGUUAAUAGCCAUGGGAUCGACGACGAACCUGGUUCCUCCAGCCUCAAAAUGGGUUUUACGAUUUCUCCGGACCAUUUGGCAAGCUCGCUCUCCAAGUGUUGCUUGAGGCCGUCAUCAUAGGGACUGCUAAGCCAGACUUCCACCAGACCUUUUAUCUUCUGUAGGCCAGAGAACCGCAGUGCUGACACACACCUGCAGCGAAUCCUCAGCACCUUAAGAUAAAAGUCAUCGUGAAACGUUAUUGUAGCUGGCAACCUGGCGUCAUAAGAGAUCUCGAGGAAGGAUAAGAUGACAGGAUUUUGUCUACCAAAAUGGAGGUCAUGAAACUCUGACAAAAAAAGACGUGUAUUCUCCGGCCAACCAGGACUGUCAACGAGAUCUUGCUGCAACAUAAUCAUCUGUAAACUCAAUUUUGUGAGAUUCUUAAGCUUUUUGGUCCAUACUGGUAACUUGCUUACCAGCCCGUAUAACUUAAGACUCCGUAGGUUCACUAGAUGUUCGAAAGAGAUGCCGUCCAUGGUGCCAGCUUCAUCGUCCUCAUCGACCUGCAUUCUCAAUGACAACGAUUCCAGAUGGGCAAGACCUGAGAUGGCUGAAAAAAGCUUCCAGAUGUUGUCCCGGUUAAUGCCUGACACUCCAAGUUUGUGCAACUGAGUAAGCUUCUUGAGCUCCUCUAGAAUGGCGUCCCCUUUUCCAGUGCCAAUAUCAACGUCACCCAGCGUGUGCAAGUUAGAAAGUUUCCCAAUACCUCUGGGCACCUUCACGCAAUUAUGAGAGCCAUCGUCGAGAUGGUGGUAUCUGCUCAACUUGGACAACAAGCAGGACCCCAGCUGAGUAGCACAUGGCCAGCUCAUUGGCGUUGCGGUUAGUGAUGGGUUCUCUGCUGCUUCUGUAGCUUGAUGAUGCUUGGUGGUACCAGCACGAAUGUACUGCAGUUUCUCCAGCUUGAUGAUGCUCUCUGGUAGCUUCAUCACAGAUGUUUCCCUGAUAUCCAGAGUUUGGAGGUGCUUCAGAUCGCCCAGGGAAUCUGGCAGAUGAGUGAUUUCUCGGCACCUUCUCAGGGAAAGGAACUUCAAGCAGGGCAGCAGCUUCACCAUCUGCUCGACGUCACCAUUUGUUACACCUGAAGACACGUCCUCCAGAUCAAGCACACGGAGCAGCCUCAUCUUUUCAGAGAUGAAGAACGAUUUCCACUCACCAAACACUGUCAAAGAUCGCAGCCGGGAAAAGUCAAUGCUCUUAAACACAUUUCUGUCUCUGUCCCAGCUUCGAUCUAUGGCAAGGUGACGUCCCGUGCGAUGGAAGUUCUUUUCGCAAUGGCCCUCUAGUGCAAAGACAAGAUUAUCUUCCAUCGACUGUGAUAUGAUGUAUUCACGGAAGAAACCAUUAACUUGGCACAAUGGCAUCCUCUUGGAUUGCUGAACUGAUGCUGCUGUUGUUUCUGUUGUUCGUGGCACCUGGACCAUGCUUAGACUGACGAGCUUGGAAAAGGAUAUCUCCCCGUUUUUCUCUGCGGUGUUUUCUUUACUGUCUCUAGAGUAUCCCUCCGCGAUCCACCGUCUCACCAAACGCCUCCGCCGGAUCGUGUGGUUCAGAGGGAAGAUUGACAGGUAGAAUAUACAUGGCUUGAGGAUAUCUGGGCAGGAACGGAAGUAGGAAAGCAACCAGGCAAACAGAUCUUCUAGGCUUGGUUUGUCCUUCAACGCAGACACAAGGUUAUCUUUUCUGAGAAAAUCCCAAAAGAAAUUGCGUCGCGAUCAUCACCAGCUAUAGCGCAUAUAACUUUGGGAAGUCCACCACACUUGUGCAAGAUUUGCAUUUUGUCCUCGGUCCCUUGUCUCUGAAGGUUAUAUCUCUGAGAAACAUAUUGUCCAAAUGAUAUAUAUAUAUAUAUAUAUAUAUAUGAAUAAAUUUAUUUAUUACCAAAAAAAGAUAACCAUAACGAUGGCAUAAAAAAGAGUGUAAAAUUUCUCUUAAAAAAAAACCAAAAACAUCCCGCCCUGAGAUAUUAUGCAGCUACCAUGCAAAUUUGGCAUGUAUAGAUUACUGCAUACUACAAGGUCAGUCUUGAAUUGGAUUUUGAAAAUAGACUAUUUGCUGGAUUAGGUACAUUUGUUAGUUACACCUUCCAAUAAAAAUGGACUAUUAAUUUGACGCAAUACAUUUAUGAGACAAACCUUUUUCAAGAUAAAUGCUAAAGUUAACUGUUGAAUCUAGCCGUGCCCUACAAAUGCACGGGCCACCCCACUUGUUAUUUCUAAAUGAUAUAAGUUUGAUGCUGACAUUGUGCGUUUUUGUUGAUGUCUAAGCACAUGGACAACAUUGUAAGUAAUAUGAUUUAAUUAGGAUAAAUAAGCUGUGAUGUGGUCUAAGACGAAGAGGGAACAUAUGUUGUUAUGACAAGUAUCAAGUCGUUCUCCAGAGUCCAAAAAGUAAAAUAUGACCUUCAUUCCUACCUUGAUCCCAAAUAUCAGCCUAUUUCAAUUAUGUAUAAGAAUUUAGGUGGUCUACCCAUCACUUAUUGUUGCAAACAGUAAGGUAGUUGGAAUGUCUAUUUCAUUCAAUAAGCACAACUAUAUAGGGGCAAAAUAGGAAAGGGUGGGGUCAAAUAGAGCUGCCACGAUGUUUGCUGCUGGACAUGUAAAUAUGGCAUAUAUAAGAUGCCAUGCAAGAACGUUUAGUCUACAUGACAGUGACUAAACGAAGAGAGAGAGCAAAACUAUCUCUUCACCAAGAAAUGGAUUUGGCACAUGAUAUGAUGACCAGCACAAUUGACAAUGUUAUAUAAACAAUGCUCUACCAUUGUAUAUCUCGUCUAUGUGUCAUCAUUAAUUAGUAUAUAAUUGUUGAGAAACGAUGACAUAAUAAAAAAAUCUCAUUAUAUGAGCUAUUUAUAUUACUGUCUUUAUGUGACAUGACAAAAACUUUUAGAUGGUUGUUGUCUAACGGUUGUACAUGCCCUAAUUGUUGAGGUAAUAGAUAUGCUAGAUGGACUUCUAUUGGGGAUAAUAUAGUUCUCCAUUUUUAUUAAAGAUUUUCUUGGUUUAGAAAGUGCUUGCAUGAAGCUAACUAAACAAGGAAUUUUGUGCAUAAGAUGUUAAAUCUAAUUCAAAGAUGGAACUCAUUGGUAUACUGAAGGAAUUAUUAGAAUUGCGGAAUGCUUAUUGCGAGUAAACGGACCUCUGCGAUGAGUUCAAAGGCGCUGUCAACUCCGAGACCUUUGACAUUCCACACAUUCUUGCUGUUUGUUGCGCAGUAUUGUGCGACACAUUCUUCAUUGGUAAUGACAAAUAUAUCCAAGCCGAAUUUUUUGGUUCCUAGUUUCAAGGCAGCUUCUAUCAUGUCCCAUUCUUCUGUAGAUUGCAGACCGUCGAUAACAAUUGUGCAUCCAAAUUGUUCAUGUAGAUAUUCACGGCACUCUUGAAUUAGGUCUUUCAUCGUUGACAUCUGGCGGUCAUGGAGAUAUCCAGGAUUCAAAUCCAAAAGUAAGCGCCAUGACAAGUCCAUCAAAUCGAAUGGAUGGGAUACAUUCACCCAACCGAACUUGAUAUAAGGAUCUUCAAUCCGCAUCUCGUAGCAGAGAUGUUUGACAAGAAAUGAUUUGCCAACACCAGACAUCCCCCACACAGAGGACACAGGCCCAGUACGACGAGACCUGCGCAUAGAGAAACAAAGUAAAUCCGCCUCUUGGCCAACAAGUGGAUGUUUGUCCAGCCAUUCACGAGCAGUUUCCCGCAAGUCCGCCACGGUUUGCUCAACUUUUCCGGGCGCAUCCUGCAAAGAAUUGGAAAGAGCAUUGUCAAUUGGGUUUAUUUAUUGUGUCAAAAUUACAUCCUUGUAGAAGACAACAUACAUGCUCCGAGUGAAGUAAAAUGCAUCCAACAAAGACAAACAUACACGCGUGCAGUAUUAUGCUUUAUUUGUAGCAUCCAUGCAGCAAAAGGUUAAGAAGCAUGAAUCAGUUUUAUAUCACCUGGGCAAAAUGAUCUGAGUAUUCAAUAACACACUUUGACUAUCAAUAUAUAUCAUAUAUUAUAAUACUCAUGACCAUAAAAUUGGCAUCAUAUGAAAGUGCUUUCAAAUUGGAAUGAUAUGAUAAAAGUUUGUACGGUAUAAAAUUUACAAAUCCUUGAUAAUCCAUUGAUACCAUGUUGUAUAGUUAGAAAAUUUGAAUGUUGGAUCUUCGAAACACCCAGUGUUCGAUAGGCACAUCCUUCUAGAUAAACCAUUCUUUACUUUAGAGGUCAAAUCAAAAUGUUGGAUAAUUCUGCGAUCCACAAAUUAAUCACCUAUGUACAACCAUGCCAUAUACUACACGAUGCUAACCGCAAUUUGUGGUUGCCUGAACACUUGCGUCUCAGUCCCACAGACCAUCCGUUGCUUCCACAGUUUAACCUAGAGUAAUCACCGCCAUCCGCAGCUUGUUCAGUACCCCUUUCAUAGUUUUUUCUUUUGCGGAAUUCAUAGUUCUUCCUCGUGAUCCUAUAAUUUAACUGUUUUGAAUUUCUCAACCCCUAUGCAUCAACUAUUUACAAACGCAAAAUGAUGAAAAAUAAUAAUGGCAUAAUUGGCAUGUAAACUAAGUUUUGUAGAAUUACAUUAUGAAGCACAAGUCAGGAAUGUGAUAACAGUCAAAUACGUGCAUUGCAGACCACGUUGAUGCAAAAAUGUAAUGGAAGUAGAAGAGCGAGUAUAUCAUUUUAUUGGAAAUAAUUGAGCAUACCUCCUCGACAAGGGCAUAGACAGAGUGAUGAGCCGAGAUUUUUUCAAGCUCCAAUAGUCGGUGUGGAUGCCUGACACAAAGGCUUGCAACUUCAAACUGAUGCGUGCUGACGAUGAUGCAGCUGCCGUUCUUGUUGUCUGGCAGGUAAGCCCUUACCGCCUCCCAGUCAUCCAUGGUGGUCACGUCUUCAAGGACAACAAGGUAAUUUUGACGGCACAUUUGCUUCAUGAAUUCGUUGAUCAGAACGCCUUCUGUGGCCACCGUCAUCUUCACAACAAAAUCUACGGUAGCGCUUUCUUGUGGACUAUAGCUUCUGCAAAAUUGGGCCACCAAGCGCCUGAUAAAUUCCCGGGCAUUGAAAGGAUGCAUCAGCUUCACCCAGGCGCGGCAUCUGAAGUUGGUGCAGAUUUGUGUGUCUUCAUAGGCCUUCUUGAUGACGGACGCCAUCCCAACUGUUCCUAACAACGAGAUCACUUGAAGGGCAUGGUCACCUUUCCCGCUGAUCAACUUGACGAGUGCCACAGGUGGCCAGAUGGGCUCCCUGGCGGCUUCCCUCGCUGUGGCGGAACGAGGGAGGAUGUUUGAUGCUGUUGCGCUGGCCGCACCCUGCUGAUGCGUCUGCUCGGCAGGCUUGGAGCCAGGGUUACCGGUGUGGUUGUAGCGCAGGUUCCGCUGACCCAUGGCCUCGACCCUAGCCUUGAGUAGCUCUAUACCAGCGACAGCGUUGUCCAAGGCCACGGCCGGCGCCGCCGCUGGUACCCAGGAGGGGAGCAUGCGGCGCCACCAGCUCGAUUUGUUGUCCAGGUAGAGAAUGGAGUCAAUGCAGUCCUCCACGUCCAGGGCCAUGUCGCGGACCUGCCUCACGCAAGUCGUCGUCAUAUCGUCCGCGACACGAUCCUUGGCAACGUUGAGGAAGGAAUGCAUCAUCUCGAACUCGUCCGAGACAAGCAUAAGGUCACGCUGAACGCUCUUCUGCAGCUGCUUCUCCUCCUCAAUAGCGGACUUGGCAAUAUUCACCGUCUCCUUGACCGCCGACUUCGCCAAACCCAGCACAAGGUCCGCCAUUGCACUCCCGUUCACUCUUCGAUCUGUGUGAGGGGAGGUGGGUGGGUGGGUGGGUGGUGUACAAGAUAGAACCUGGUGACGAUGCUUGCAAAUAUAUAUUAUGCUUCAAAAUCAUGCAUGACAUCGGCUGCAAGACAGAAAAUUUGCACAUUAUAAAACAAGAGUGUCGCAGUAAAAGAAGCCAGUUAGAUUCCCUAAUUAAAUUAACAGUGGGCUUUCCCUUAUGGUCUUAUUUUUAGGGCUAAAAGUUGCUUAUUUGGAGGAACUAACCUCAAUCCUACCUGUUUGGUUCCAUGAGCAAAACAACAUUUAAUAAGGUGAAGAAUGAUUUGUUUACCUCUAAUCAUUGCGACGCGUGGGGGGAGAGAGAGGAAUCAGAUAGGCAUUGAAUGAGAGCAAUGGGUGUCCAGUGCACCUUUUAGUCCAAAUAAGCAACCCAAAAUUACCUUAUGGACUAAACUUUAAAAGCUAAACUUUAACUUAAAUAAGCAAGGAUGUUCGGCUCUUUAUUUGGUACUAUAAAAGGGACUAAAAUUUAAUCUCUAAAGUUUAGCAAGGGUACAGCCCCUUAAUCUUCGCCGGCCAAGCACUUAAAUUAAGCUAGGUCAGACAGCUGAUGCAUCGAACGCAGCAGCAGUGAAAAACAAAUAAAGGCCAGUGUGCUCUGUAAGAAAUAUAAACCAAUAAAAUACAUCUUGGCAGAAUGGGGUCAAGUGGGUCUAUAGUCUAUUCUUGUGGCAGUAAGCUGAUCCUUUAUAAUACCGCUGGAUCGGAUCUCGAUCUCCUUGAUUAGCGCUCCACUAGCCCACUAAUGCUUGUCUCGUACUCCAACCACCGAUACCCAGCCCAAAAACUAUGCAUCGGGGAUUCACUUAACUUUUUAUUAUUUCGAGGUCUAAUUAAUAACACUGUUUGGAUUACGUAUGGGUUGCCUGCUGCUGGUAAAUACAUCUAUUUAUCUUUCAGCAAAAGCAUGCCUGCUGGGAAAUAUUAGUUCUGAAAUCUGAGCGCAUACCAGCUGUCAGUUAACAUAUUGUCUGUCAGCAAAUCCCUGCCAGAGCUUACGAUAAGUGGUCCGUCAGCAGACGUCAUCCCCCAACGGAUAAAGUACCCCAUAUUGCCUUCUUCAAGUUUCAUGAUGAAUGCAAUUCUCACACCUUGAAAUUUUUGGAUCUCACGAGGUGAUUAGGAGGAAUAAUUAAACAAUCAUUUUCUCGUAAUUUUAAAAUUUUUCAACAUUUGUUUCUUGACAGAAAAUUUAGUGUAGGAAUAUAAUUGGUUGUGUUUCCUAAACUAAAUGAGGUUGUUCUAUGUGUGUGCAUUCAUGCCCAUGCAUCUUGGUGUUUAUUGAGUGCAAAGGUUUUAAAAUGCCUCUAGACGACGACAAGGUUCUUCUGAGAAUUUACCAGUUUUUUCUGGAAAUUAUUCUCAUUUUCCUAGAGCUAAAUUCUUUUCACGAGCUUCAGUUAUUUUAUUUAGACUCCUCGUGUCCCAAACUAUCUCUAGGAAUUUUUCUGGAAUUUUUAGGAUUUUCAGAGUAUUUUUUGUGGGUUUUAUUGAAUUAUCUGGAUUUUCCUUUAUACGGGAAAUUACUUCUGAAAAGAAAAAGAAAAGAAAACCUCAACCUACCCUUUUGGGUUAAGCCCGCACCCACAAGCUCUACCAUGGCCCAACUCUCCUUCCCACCCUCGGGCCUCAUUGGCUCAGCCCAGUCCAGGCCCGACCAGCCCAGCCAGGCCCAACCGGGACCAUCUGCUCUACAGCUCUCUCCCAAGCUGCACAGGCAAGCAACGCCACCACCAAACCUUUUUGGUGUGUGUGCCACGCCAGGCGCAACCACCGGCGCCCUAUCAAUAGCGAAGCCCGACCCCCGCACGCCACUGCCAUCCUCGCAAGCCACCCUGCCUCGCCUGUGCUGCACCGCCGCCUUGCAAGCCCGCCAGCCGAGUCGGGCACCGCCACCGACUUUCCACUCGAUUCACCAGCUCCGCUGCCCGCCGGACGAAGCCGGCCCCUUCUAGAGCUUCGGGACGUCGUACAACGGUAGAAGCACCAUCGGUGUAGCCUGGGAGGAUGAGCCACAGCGACGGCUGCGUUCUCUCACCGUAUUAACUCACGUACACGUAAGAUGAACUAGCUUUGCUGGCGGUAUACAGACGCCCUCGCAACCACCGUGUACGUGCCCUAAUCUGUCCUGAAAAUUCUAGAAUGCCUUAUAUUAGGAUAGAGGGACAGAGGUGGUACUCUUCAAAUAUCUAGCCCAAAAACCAUGUCAAGAACUUACAACAUGCCUAUAAAUACCCGACUCAAUUCAUUGCAUGCUGCGACACUCCUACCUUUUGCCUUUUUCUUAACAAAUCCUUGCAAUGUAAAUAUAAAUCAUAAGCAAAUCAAAUCAAUCGAAAUUUUUUAUAUAUCGUUUCUUUGUAAAUAGCCACACCAAGAACAAUGUCUUGUAGUCUGAACAGACGAAAAUGGUGGAUGCCUUGGCUUGCUCAGGUGGCUUCUCAAACUUGUAGUCUUAAUUGAUGAAAAUGGUAAUUGCUUUGACUUGCUCGGGUGUUUUUUUGAGCCCUGGCAACCUGCCAAUUGCCUCACCAAACAAGUUGAUAGCUAGAGUUGCCCAAGCUCAAAAAGAUUAUUGUUCUUUUCUCCUUCAAUAAUGAUUUUGCUCCCAUGUUUUGUGAAGCGCUUUCCACGAUUGUUUUCACAACAUGUUCCAUACUUAUAGCUCAAUGCAAUGCAAAAGCAUCCACAUAUUCCAAUAUUAAUUCACUGGUAUGUGGAAUAUCCAACACCUUCUUGGAUUCUAAAAAUUUUGUGCCCAAGUAUCAAUAUCAGGUGCAACAUUUUCGUGUCAGUUUACCUGUCCGCAUUGCUUCACAUAUCCGUACCUUGUCAAGAAAGGUCUAUUUUCCUGACAGAGAUUUCAUUACCGUCAGUGCAAUGUGACCUUCCACAAUAGCCUGUUGCCGCUUGGUGUCCAUUGUGCUGCCACGGACGGAGUGAUCCCUUUUACAGUUUCUUUCUUUUGUUUUCUGUGGAGGACUUGAGAAGAGUCCGGUUUUCUAGAGAAUACUUUGUGCAAAUGAACAGAAGUAAUGUUCCUCCCUUCUAUACGAAGUUCACGUUAGGUGAGUACUCGAUCAUGUUAUUAAUUUAAUACUAGAUACUCCUCGCUCCAUAUGGUUGCGUGAGUCCGCGAAACUUGCUGACAUUGGCUUCUAGAGCGAGGAAAUAUGUUAACAGGAAUGAGAAUAUAUAACAAGCAGCUCGUACAACUAAGUGCGCGCCUUAUCACCUAAUCACCUAGCCAAGCAUCUAAUCACGUGGGGUACCUUUUUUUAUUUGUCUCCUCUUUGAGUAUCCUAUGCUUGACUUGAACCUAGUCUUGCGUAACCAAUCCAUCUUCUCCCGGGUUACUUUACAAGUUUUGAACUGAAUCAACAUAAGGGGCCUCUCAUAUCAGAACCUCGCUUUGCUCCCUUUCGUUGUGUUCUCCCAGCUAGGAUCCCUCAACUGUUUUUCUCGGCCCCGAGGUUAGUACCUUUAAUCAAGAAGCUGGUGUUUUUUCUGUUCCACAAACAGUUAAACAUAUCUAUGUAUAUUUUGUAAUUAUGUCUAGUUGUAAUACAACUGUUUUGUUUGGAUAAAAGAUCUAGUUGUAACGAUAUGAGUUGUAGCAGCUUAAAUCUAUAUCUAAAAUCAUCAGAAAUGGACACUGGUUCGAGCACGCCAAGCCUGCUGAGUACAGUGCCGAAGGAUCUAUCAGCAGCAUUCCUGCGUGAUAUUACGGAUGGUUUUUCCACUGACAGAGAAAUAGGACAAGGGGCGUUUGGAACAGUUUAUAAGGUAUGUUUACGACCUUUUCUGCGUUUUUCAGAAACUGGUAGGCAUGCCAAUAUAUAGUAUAUGGACGGUUAAACAGGGAAUCCUCCCAGAAGGGGAUUGUAUUGCUGUGAAGAAGCUUGUGGAUGAGGACAUAUAUGACAAACAAUUUCAAAAUGAGAUUACGCAUCUUAUGAAUGUCUGUCAUGAAAAUAUUGUGAGGAUAGUUGGCUUCUGCCAAGAACGUGAAAAGAAAGUUGUGGAGCAUAAUCGAAGAUAUAUUAUUGUAGACUCAGUUGAAAGAUUUAUCUGCUAUGAGUAUUUACCAAAUGGGAGCAUUGAUAAGUGUAUAUUUGGUACGGUAAUUUUUUAUCUUUUCUUUCUUUCUUCACUCAUACUUUUUAAUUUGGAGUGUGGAUAUCAAUUGUUAUAUAUUACUUCAGUUUCCUGCACUAAAAUAUUAUUCUCUCCAUCCCAAAUUACUAUUGCUUUUGUUUUUUCUAGAUAUAUAGUUUUUAUAUGCACCUAGAUAUAUAUUAUCUCUAGGUACAUAGAAAAUGUUAUGUAUCUAGAAAAGUCAAAAUGAAUAGUAAUUUGGGACGGAGGGAGUAUGAUGGAACUGAUUAUGGUUCAGGCUAUGAACAUACGCUUUCUAGUCACUAUGUUAUGAAAAUUGAUGUUUUGGAGGUCCUUAUACCAGAUUACUCAUAGAGGAUCUAUCCUUUUUUCUUUCUUCAGAUGAUACACUUAAUUGGGCUACACGCUUCAAAAUUAUUAAGGGGAUCUGCCAAGGUUUACAUUUCCUACAUGAGGGAAUGGAAACACCUACAAUUCAUAUGUCUCUUCAGCCUGCCAAUGUAUUGUUGGAUGAUAGAAAGGUGCCUAAAAUUACAGAUUUUGGUUCGUCGAGAGUCUUUGGUCGUGCUGAUAAAUCAAUGAUGAUCACACAAAACCCUGUGGGAGUAAUGUAAGUUUAAUUCAGAUAGUGCAAUAAGAGUACUUUCCCAUCAAGUAACAAUGCUUACGAAACUCUUGUUGGUAAUGUCAUUCAGUGGAUACAUGGCUCCAGAAUAUCUUUAUAGAGGUGAAAUCUCAACCCAAGCAGACAUAUAUAGCCUAGGCUUAAUGAUAAUCGAGAUCACAACUAGGAAGAAGAAUUAUUCAGACGAUCGAGACAAGUCUGCCCAGAGAUUUAUUGAUGAAGUAAGGCAGUGUUGAUGAUUAGUUGAUUACAAAAUAAUUUUCAUAGAAGCAUGUGUUACAUUUAUUUCGUGUAUCCGUUUUUACAAAAGAUAUAUUUUUAUUUUUAUUUCGUGGUUUAUUAGUGAGUAUUAUGAGUUGAGUUAUGUAGGUGCGCCAGACAUGGACGGAUGAUGUGUACAUUUUAUCCAAAUACUCCCAAUUGGAUGCAGGCUUACUGCAAGAAGUAAAGGCAUGCAUUCAAACUGGGCUUAAGUGUGUGGAUAUUGAUCGCAAGAGAAGACCUUCCAUAUCUGAAAUUGUUAGACUGCUCAAUGCUGCAUGGUAAACGGUGGACGAGGUAUGACUAGGAAUAGCAUACAUUCCCUCUGGUCUUUGCACAUACUUACCAAAUUUUACUUUGCACAUAUAUAUUUAAAGUCCUUAAUAUUUAUGGGAUUUUGCAAGUGUUGCUCAAUACAAUUCCACAAAUACAACUUGCAUGCUUUCAAACUUAAUAAUGUAAAAGUUAUUGAUGUUUUUAAUUUUUAAUCUUUGACAAAACCUUGUCCUAAACAACAUGUUUUUUAUGACUGGAGUUACGGGGUGUUUGGAUACGAGGUGUUAAACUUUAACAGUGUCACAUCGGAUGUUCGGAUACUAAUUAAGAGAACUAAACAUGAGCUAAUUAUAAAACUAAUUGCAGAACCCUGUGCUAAUUCGCGAGACGAAUCUAUUAAGCCUAAUUAAUCCAUCAUUAGCAAAUGGUUACUGUAGCACCACAUUAUCAAAUCAUGGACUAAUUAGGCUUAAUAGAUUCAUCUCGCGAAUUACACUCUAUCUGUGCAAUUAGUUUUGUAAUUAGCCUAUAUUUAAUACUCCUAAUUAGCAUCUAAACAUCCGAUGUGACGGGUGUUAAACUUUAACACCUGGUUCCAAAUAGGCCCUUAGUAUAUGAUCACUAAUAGUUUUCUUAGUUUUUUGAGAGGAGAGGAGUUUUCAUAGUUUUACAUGCAACAACUACAUAUGAUCACUAUUAGUGGAAUCUUGUACUUCUAUAUAUGGCAAACUGAUCAGGUGAUCUUAACAUGCUAUCUCAAACUACAGGUCUACAUAUAUACCGUGUUCGCAUCAUGAAUAAAAGUUGUCAUUGUGGAGAAGACAUGGCCAAGAUGAAAUAAAGCAUGCUCUAUUAUUUCUAGAAGACCUGAACUUUUCUAUCACAACUAAGAUUCCUUUGAUGUAAUUUCAUUGUGGAAGCUACAUUUACUCCUCUUUUGGAGAUUGACACUCCAAAAGUGAUUUUCGAAGACACCCCAUUUACGGCACAGGUGGUCCACAAGGGAAUACGCUAGGGUCCUCAGUCAUGGAAAGCCUAUAGAAAUGAGUUUCCAGAGAAUGUUGGUUCAGCCGAUCAUGUCUGAAAAAGGUUGCUGACUUAAGUGACUGCGUUAGGAAAUCCCCAUUACUAGACGUAGACACUUAAGCUGAUGGACUAGAAAUUGAUUUCAAGAGAUGGUUCCUCAAUUUGGGCUGCCUCUAGAAACUGUUUUCCACAAGAGGCAAAAGAAAAGGUCAUCCCAUUUCCGUUAUCAAUAGGUUUGUGGUGGGAUGGCAAGGGGGGAUGUUGUUGUGGGUUUAAAGGUUGACACCCCCCCCCACACACACACACACAUUUCACGCAAAAAAUUGCAUGUGUGGUGCAGCUCAAUGGUUUUUACAAAUCUUUUUGUAGUUUUUCCAUGCCCAAUGUUAUCGUAGACAGACCGACAUAACCAAUGUCAUGUGGAAAUGCAUUUUUAGAGGUAAUUAAUUCCAGAGGUAGUGAACUUAGGGAACUUCCUCUAAAAAUGUCUUUUCUUAAUACGAUUGAUUGUCCACCUAUGAAAAUGCACCAUUUCCAUAUGCGAUGUCACACCUGGUUUUAAAAAUAAAUCAAAUGUACACCAUAUGUGUGCCAGGAUCAAGUUUCAAACAUACAACAAGCCAAUAGUGAAUAACAGAUACAGUAUCAUGUACUAACGAGUUCAACUAAUACAAAGUGACAUAAAUCUCUAAACAAAAUAAACAUACAAACGUCUCCUAGCAGCGGAUUACCAUUCUCCAUAGGCAUUCAACUGGGGGAACAUACGCCUAGCACUUAUGGAAAUCUUCUAAUACUAACAUCCUCUUGUUCUGAGCAGCAUUCAUUGUGUGGUACAAAUAUAUGUAGGAAAUAGCAAGUGUGAGUACAUGCCGUACUCCCACUACUACAGAAGAGGCCAUCACCGCUGGGCUAUCACCACCAGUUAUAGAUGAAUCAUUUGUGAUGCCUUUUCACUGUCGGUUUUGGAGCAAAUGGGGGCAGCAGCCUUUACAACCGGCGGUGGUGCUCGUUUUCAUUGCCGGUUCCUUAUUGAGCCGCUAGUUUCAAGCAAGAGCCAGCAGCGAUACUCGAUGCGAACCUGAAAUUUUUCUUCAACCCAAUUUAGAAAACGACUUUGCGUCCACUUGCCUCCCUCUCCCCACUCCUCCCCUCCCCCACCCUCUCUCCACCCCCUCCCUCUCUCCCUCUCACCCCAGCCCUCUAUCCCACUCUCCGCGGGCCCCCUCCCUCCCUUCCUCUCCCGCCGGCCCUCCCCUUCUCUCCCUCUCCGUUCGCCGCCCCUCCGCUUGCUUCCGCACCCCCCCCUUUCCCCCUCCACUCGCUACCCCCUCGGCCUGGCAUAGAGGAGCGCUGGCAGCGUGCAGGGAUCCGCAGCGGCAUGGCAGGAUCCGCGGCUGGCAGUAGGGAUCCACAAUGCAGCGAGGCUCCAGUGACAUCAAGAUGUGCGGGGUAAGCAGCGGCAGUGACAAGGCCGGGUCAACGGUGGCGGCUGCAGCGUGAGUAGCAGCAGCGAUGCUACCUAGGGGCCCACGGUGGGCGCGGUGCGAUGGCGGUGGGGACGCCAGGUAUAUUUCUUCUUUUUUUUGUGAUGUGCAUCACCGUCAGUUCCUGGUUUAGCGGUGAUAGGGACUCCUAUCACCGCCGACCUAAUAAUGUCCUCACUCAAAAUGAGGGUUGCCUAUAUCAUAUUGAGAUAUGAGAUACAUCCCCCUAAUGCUGUUCUAUGGACAUUCUUGAGGCACUGACUCUGGAGCCAAAAAAAAGGUUUAGUCAACGAGCACAAAAGUUUCAUACUAGAACCACUAGACCUAUGCUAGUCAAUUCACUGUGCUAAGGGCACAUGCAAGAGCUACAACCACCCUAUGCCCAUUGAUCACAAUUAAUUUGAAAGGAUGUUUAUGGAUGCUUUUGUUUACCAUAAGUGUAAUAAAUCUUGUAGUCAUUUUCGGCACAAGUCUUGCAGCUAGCCAAUAUAAUCCAAGUUUUUGGUACCCUAUAAUCCAAGAUAAGAUAUAAUCUCCUACUGUUUUCAAAUCUCAGAAUCUUUUGCAGUAAUCUCCUACUGUUUUCAAAAAGUGGUAUGUCAAUCGUAACAGGAUUAGACAGAGGGAAGUACCGAAUGGUUGCUUGCAGAUGAGGUGAUUCUAACUUUAGACUUUGCAUGUAGACGGCGUGGAGGAUAUGAAUAGUUGCAUGCAGAUGAGAUGGUGCUGACAUUAGCCUUUGCAUGUAGAUGGCGUGGACGAUUUGAGGUAAAUGACACAAGAACACACACCAUAUAUAUAGUGGCAUUGUUGGACCUUGUUUAGUUACCCCAAAAUCCCAACUUUGGCACUAUGCAAAAAUAAGAUUCCCCAUCACAUCAAACUUGCGGUACAUGCAUGGAGUACUAAAUGUAGACGAAAUAAAAAACUAAUUGCACAGUUUUGUUGUACUUUGCGAGACGAAUCUUUUGAGCCUAAUUAGUCAAUAUUUGGACAAUAAUUCAUAAAUACAAACGAAACACUACAGUAUGCUACAGUGCUGGCACAGUGAUUUUGGUUGUCCAAAAUUGGGCAACUAAACAGGGCCUCGUUCUCUUCUCAUUAAUUGUUAAUAGAAGUUACUACAUGUACCUAGAACUCCUAAACUAGGUGUCCUAUCAUAUGAUUUGCAAUUAAUUCCAUUAAGCUUGAAGCAGGUGGAAAGGGCACUUGCAUCGAUAGGAGGCGCACGUGCACAGAGAGUCUGUUAUGUCUUUUAUCUUUUAAUGAAACUAGGUGGCGUUGGGGCUGCUGGCCUUUCCUCGCUGUUUAGCAUCCUGAGAACAUCCGGCAUGGUUGGCCGCUCCCUUGGAUUGUCUUGGGUGCACAACAGUCCGAUAUGUAUUCUUCUUUCCACUUCCUGUAGCUGUGACUCUCCACAAGAUGCAGAGUCAAAUAAAUCCUUCAGACUCUGAGCUUCCCGUACCUCCCAAGCCUGUGAAAAAGGUGUCAGUGUGUAUAACAAGGCAACAAGUAAAACCCAUUGUGUAACUGAAGUUCUUCAUGUGGUCAGCUAAGUUGCCAUUUUCUUCAGAUCCGUCUAACCAAUUUUGAUUAACGUGUUGGAUCAUUAACACACUAUUGCUUCUUGACUGCAUCAUUUUGGUCGAGAUUGGUCACUGACUAGUCCUAAGAUGAACAUCCACAAAUUCAAACAAUGAUGACCUAUAUGCUACGUUAUUGAGACUGCUAUUUCUUUGAUAAUCUUAUACUUGUCUGUAUUGAAAGAUCAUGUUGAUGUUUGGUGUAGUAAAAUUUGGAAAGGUAAGAGAACUUUUGAGAUUAUACGAGGCUACUACCCAAAGUAUGAGGUGGCACCCAAAUAGAACGACAUAUCCUUAAAAGGAACAACAUGACAUGAAGAGAUGAGCAAUUAUAAACCAAUCCAGUUUUUUAUGCUCAGAAAUUAUUGCUAGCGCUGACAGCGAGCAAGAUGCAGAAUUACCAAAUAAAGUAUGACCUACAAAAGGAUUCCUCUUUUUUUUGUGUCACAGCUGAUUACACUUUUUUCCCUUGUUGAAAAAAGUGGACAGUUUAAGGCCAAUAUCUCCACCGAAGUAUGGAUAUCAGAAUAGAUCGAAUAAUGAUGAAUGCAAAAAAGAGAAAACCUUUAUCUGAACAAGUUCCUUGUGAAGAUACCCAACCAAUGCCUGCCUAUAAAUGUUUUACGUACCCACUCAAUUGAAUGUUGGAGAAGUCCAGACCUGCUCAUUCCUCUAAUGGUAGAUAAGACUAAGAGGCCAAAACUGUAGACAUCAUUCUUGGCUGAGAUGACACCUUGAGCAAUAUAUUCUGGAGCCAUAUAUCCCCUAAAUGGUGAAAAAAUAAAUAAAUGGGUCAGCAGAAGGGGGGAAGCGACAAGAAGCUUGAUCGUGCAUGUCAUGGCAACAAAAAUACAGUAUAUAUGGAAAGUCGUCCUACAGGGUGCCUGCUAACUCUUCCGUGACUUCUUGAGUCACCUCUUGAUCAAAUAUUUUGCACAUUUCAAAAUCACAGAUUUUAGGGUUCAUAUUAGAGUCAAACAGGAUGUUUUCUGGCUUCAAAUCCAUAUGGAUAAUGUUUUUCCAGUGCAGAUGAGCUAUGCCUUGUGCCAUCCCUUGAAUUAUUUGGAAUAUGAUAGACCAAUCCAUCUGCGGACACUGUCCUGGAAAAUUAAAAAAUCAAACAUCCUAUAGAGUUAACAUUGUUAAGCUAAAUUUUGCUCCAAAUGAUAACUGGAGUCAUUCUUUAAGUGGAAACAUGCCUUCGAUAAUGUCGGACAAGUUUCCAUUCGGGGUGUACUCUUCGACCACUAUCAUACUAGUUAUUUCAGCCUCCACAUAGCGGCCCUUGUAUAGCAUCUUCUCGUAUGUGGUUUCCUGGCAAUAUCCGAGAAAGCAAACUAUAUUUUGGUGCUGACCCAGCAAUGCAAAGACAUUCACAUAAUGAUCUACAUCUCUUCGUAAGUGCCGAGCUGCACAAAAUCUCUUUAUGGCAACCAAUACGUCAGAUAUUACACCCUGGAUCAUAGGCAGCAAUUUUAAUCACGAAUGCAGUUAACGUGAUAUUAUAAUUUGAAUGCCUCAAACAUAAUUAAAAUACCAAGCAUAUGGAGUACCUUGUACACAGUAGCACUGCCACCUCUCCCAAUCAGGUUGUGUUCCGAGAAGUUAUUUGUAGCGGCCUUCAUCUCAGAUAAACUGAACAUUCUAAAUCCUGUCAUAAAAACAGGUACACAUACAGGCAUAAAUGAUGUUCUGCAAACACACACCAGCAAGAUCACUAUCACUAGUGAAUAAUAAAUAGCUCGAAUUCAAGAUCAAAGAGGCCGGUAAACAAAUAUGUGAUCUUACCUGAUUGGUUGAGAAAGUGCUCCAUACAGGCUGGAUCACUUUUUCUCUCACCAUCAGCUCCAAAUCUGUCAUCGUACAUUCGAUAAGCAAAAUGAGUGCCCUCCGAUCGAUGUAAUAAUACUGAAUGGAGGUAGACCAAUGGUGGUAGCAUAAUGGUAAGGUUUUAGAUGCUUCCUCCAUCCCAAUUGUAAAUCGUUUUGGCAUUUCACCUAGAAAUGCCAAAACGAUUUACAAUUUGCGACAAAGAGAGUAGUUUACCAGGGCUUUUAUGGAAAUAAAAGCUAAAAUUGCGCAAGUGCAUACUUUGAUGGUAUACAGACUUGCCAAGGGAAUUACAGUUUUUCGUAAUGGUGAUUAAUUUCUAUGUUGAACUCACUAAGUAUUACAACAUAUAAUUUACUAUGCUACAAUUGGAAUGGCACACUGUAAAUAUCAGACCUAGUAUCAUUGUUUGACGCACUGCUAGACGAGCUCUCCACUGCCCCUAGAUGGCCAGCAUCCUGAAAUAGAAAACCAAAUCCCUCAAGGUAUUAUUGAUGAAAUUUUUAUCCUAUCUUAUUAGUUGAAAUGGAAGAGCUAGGAAGUACCAAUUGAAUGAUACCCCUGAAAUAAAGAAACUAUCUAAAGGUUGCUGCGAAACAAAAGAAACUGUCCGUAUAUUGAUCUUGACGAGGUGAGGUGGGACACUUAAAUCUGUUAAUGCCGGACCCAACACCUGGGUCAACCGUGCUUGCGGUAGAGGCAUACAUUCUACAAAUAUGAUACGUACAGGUUGCAUCUGUCCAAUUUUUAUUCUUAACAAAAUGAGUCUAUCAACCCAAAGCUAAUGAAAAACAUGGAGAAGUUUCUCUAAAAUGGUGGAUAGAAUCGUAAGGAACAUUAUAUAUGGAAGUGACAAAAUUAAAAAUACGCUGUAAAGAUGUAGUACCUGUGUAAUCCAGUUUGCGGCCGCAAUUUGGUCCAUGAUAACCUGGUUUACCUGGCGCAACUCUUUGGUCAGGUAUCCAGUUGCACCCAGGUGAAUGUUGCGCGUCGACUGGCAGGCCCUGACAAGCUUCAGCGCCCGAUACAGGGUCUCCUCGAGGUUCUCAAGCGCCUGGAUCAUCGCCUGGUCCUUCACCAUCUCCAAAUUCUCCAUCUUUGACAGGAUAGCACUUAAUCUGCUUACGCGCCUUCCGAUCUCAUAACAAUCAGCCUUAUUCUUUCGAACGGUGUCGACCGCCUCCUUGAUCUGGAGCGCAACCUCGACAAUGUUCCUCACCCUGCCCAAUGCAUCGGACAUCCUCUCUCUAGGGGAUUAUAAUCUGCAGAUCGAAAGGAUAAGGGAGUCGUAUCGAAUCAGACGAACAAGCCUGAUGAACCAACUGGAACAAACAAAAAAAGCUCUUCGAUUUUCUUUCUCAAAGCAAUCAAAGCAAAUAAAGAAGCAAGCAUAAACCUGGCGUCUUCGGCCCUCCUUUACUAGCUGCGUCAGGGAUCUCUUCCUCCAAGCUAUGGUACGCCCGGAGCAUCCGGUGUUCGCCGGGAAUCAAGUCUGCUCGAUGGGCAAGCUUAUCUGAUAGGGACAUAAACAAUUCCGUGAAAAACAAAUAAAGGCCAGUGUGCUCUGUAAGAAAUAUAAACCAAUAAAAUACAUCUUGGCAGAAUGGGGUCAAGUGGGUCUAUAGUCUAUUCUUGUGGCAGCAAGCUGAUCCUUUAUAAUAACGCUGGAUCGGAUCUCGAUCUCCUUGAAUAGCGCUCCACUAACCCACUAAUGCUUGUCUCGUACUCCACCCACCGAUACCCAGCCCAAAAACUAUGCAUCGGGGAUUGACUUAACUUUUUGUUAUUUCGAGGUCUAAUUGAUAACACUGUUUGAAUUACGUAUGGGUUGCCUGCUGCUGGUAAAUACAUCUAUUUAUCCGUCAGCAAAAACAUGCCUGCUGGGAAAUAUUAGUUCUGACUUCUGAGCGCAUACCAGCUGUCAGUUAACAUAUUGUCUGUCAGCAAAUCCCUGCCAGGGCUUACGAUAAGUGGUCUGUCAGAAGACGUCAUCCCCCAACGGGUACAGUACGGCAUAUUACCUUCUUUGUGUUUCAUGAUGAAUGCACGGUUGUCACACCUUGAAAUUUUUGGAUCUCACGAUGUGAUUAGGAAGAAUAAUUAAACAAUGAUUUUUCUCAUAAUUUUAAAAUUUGCCAACAUUUGUUUUCUUGAUAGGAAAUUUAGUGUAGGAAAAUAAUUGGUUGUUUUUCCUAAACUAAAUGAGCUUGUUCUAUGUGUGUGCAUUCAUGCCCAUGCAUCUUGGUGUUUAUUGAGUGCAAAGGUUUUAAAAAUAUCUUUAGACGACGACCAGGUUCUUCUGAGAAUUUACCAAUUUUUUCUGGAAAUUAUUCUCAUUUUCCUAGAGCUAAAUCCUUUUCCCAAGCUCCAGUAAUUUUAUUUAGACUCCUCGUGUCCCAAACUAUCUCUAGGAAUUUUCCUGGAAUUUUUAGGAUUUUCAGAGUAUUUUUUGUGGGUUUUAUUGAAUUAUCUGGAUUUUUCUUUAUACGGGAAAUUACUUCUGAAAAUAAAAAGAAAAGAAAACCUCAACCUACCCUUUUGGGCUAAGCCCGCACCCAAAAGCUCUACCAUAGCCCAACUCUCCUUCCCUCCCUCGAGCCUCGCUAGCUCAGCCCAGUCCAGGCCCGACCAGCCAAGCCAGGCCCGAUUGGGACCAUAUGCUCUGCAGCUCUCUCCCAAGCUGCACAGGCAGGCAACGCCACCGCCACGCCCUUUUGGUGUGCGUGCCACGCCAGGCGCAGCCACCCGCGCCCUAUCAAUAGCGAAGCCCGACCCCCGCACGCCCCUGCCAUCCUCGCAAGCCACCCUGCCUCGCCUGUGCUGCGCCGCCACCUUGCAAACCCGCCAGCCGAGUCGGGCGCCGCCGCCAACUUUCCACUCGAUUCACCAGCUCCGCUGCCCGCCGGAUGAAACCGGCCCCUUCUAGAGCUUCGGGACGUCGUACAACGGUAGAAGCACCAUCGGUGUAGCCUGGGAGGAUGAGCCACAGCGACGGCUGCGUUCUCUCACCGUAUUAACUCACGUACACGUAAGAUGAACUAGCUUUGCUGGCGGUAUACAGACGCCCUCGCAACCACCGUGUACGUGCCCUAAUCUGUCCUGAAAAUUCUAGAAUGCCUUAUAUUAGGAUAGAGGGACAGAGGUGGUACUCUUCAAAUAUCUAGCCCAAAAACCAUGUCAAGAACUUACAACAUGCCUAUAAAUACCCGACUCAAUUCAUUGCAUGCUGCGACACUCCUACCUUUUGCCUUUUUCUUAACAAAUCCUUGCAAUGUAAAUAUAAAUCAUAAGCAAAUCAAAUCAAUCGAAAUUUUUUAUAUAUCGUUUCUUUGUAAAUAGCCACACCAAGAACAAUGUCUUGUAGUCUGAACAGACGAAAAUGGUGGAUGCCUUGGCUUGCUCAGGUGGCUUCUCAAACUUGUAGUCUUAAUUGAUGAAAAUGGUAAUUGCUUUGACUUGCUCGGGUGUUUUUUUGAGCCCUGGCAACCUGCCAAUUGCCUCACCAAACAAGUUGAUAGCUAGAGUUGCCCAAGCUCAAAAAGAUUAUUGUUCUUUUCUCCUUCAAUAAUGAUUUUGCUCCCAUGUUUUGUGAAGCGCUUUCCACGAUUGUUUUCACAACAUGUUCCAUACUUAUAGCUCAAUGCAAUGCAAAAGCAUCCACAUAUUCCAAUAUUAAUUCACUGGUAUGUGGAAUAUCCAACACCUUCUUGGAUUCUAAAAAUUUUGUGCCCAAGUAUCAAUAUCAGGUGCAACAUUUUCGUGUCAGUUUACCUGUCCGCAUUGCUUCACAUAUCCGUACCUUGUCAAGAAAGGUCUAUUUUCCUGACAGAGAUUUCAUUACCGUCAGUGCAAUGUGACCUUCCACAAUAGCCUGUUGCCGCUUGGUGUCCAUUGUGCUGCCACGGACGGAGUGAUCCCUUUUACAGUUUCUUUCUUUUGUUUUCUGUGGAGGACUUGAGAAGAGUCCGGUUUUCUAGAGAAUACUUUGUGCAAAUGAACAGAAGUAACGUUCCUCCCUUCUAUACGAAGUUCACGUUAGGUGAGUACUCGAUCAUGUUAUUAAUUUAAUACUAGAUACUCCUCGCUCCAUAUGGUUGCGUGAGUCCGCGAAACUUGCUGACAUUGGCUUCUAGAGCGAGGAAAUAUGUUAACAAGAAUGAGAAUAUAUAACAAGCAGCUCGUACAACUAAGUGCGCGCCUUAUCACCUAAUCACCUAGCCAAGCAUCUAAUCACGUGGGGCACCUUUUUUUAUUUGUCUCCUCUUUGAGUAUCCUAUGCUUGACUUGAACCUAGUCUUGCGUAACCAAUCCAUCUUCUCCCGGGUUACUUUACAAGUUUUGAACUGAAUCAACACAGGAAUUUUCGUGGAAUUUUUAGGAUUUUUUGAGUAUAUUCCGUGGCUUUAAUUGAAUUAUCUGGAUUUUUCUUUAUACAGGAAAUUACUUCUGAAAAUAAAAAAAAGAAAACCUAAACCUAACCUUUUGGGCCGAGCCCGCACCCGCGAGCCCAACCAUGGCCCAGCUCUCCUUCCCUCCCUCUAGCCUCGCUGGCUUUCCGCUCGAUUCACCGGCUCCGCUGCCCGCCGGACGAAACCGGCCCCUUCUGGAGCUUCGGGACGUCGCCCCGCACACCCGCCGCUACACCCUGUCGUCGUUUGGCCGCCGGAGGAGCCCCGCCCUGUGGAGCCCGAACUAGCCGCCGCCUCCACAGUCCGCCAUCGAUUCCGGCCGGUGCCGUCGUCCUCUACCGUCGGUGAGCACGCCCCCGUGACCCUCUCGACCUCCUCUAUCUCCUUCGCCACCCACCUAAGCCCCUACCUCUCAACCACCGGCGAUUUCAUCUCCCAGUGCGCCGUCCGCCAUGGCCAAAAGCUCCUCGAGCUUUUCCGUGGAGGCCCCUGAAGAAAUCUAUAAUUAUUCCAAGAUCUCUGUGUCUUGGAUCUUUUUUGAAAAGCCCCCUAGAUCUAUUAGGUUCCUUCAACCGAGCCCAAGCCGUGAUCUAUUUCAGAUCGAACCCUGCUCUUUAUCGUAUUCACGGGCACUAUGUGUCUCGGGAAUCUUCCUCGCUAGCCCUUGUUCUCUAGGGUUAAUCGCGAUUAGACCCCUGCAGCUUGAUUAGCUCGUAGAUCUUAUGUUUCAACUCCGUUUAACCUCUUUCUUGUUGCGUUAGAUUCAUAUCAAUUUAAAUUACGCAUUAGAAGCAAUGUUAAUCAUUUUAUCUAUUUUAUAAUUUACUUCAAAUAUUAAUAUGAUUAAGUACUUACAUACUUGUUUUUCUAAUUAAAAUACAAUAGAGUUUAACCCCGUGUUUUCAUGCUAAUGUUAAUUUGUUUAAUGCUUAUCUAAAUAAUUUUUCCAAUUAAUAGCUAACUAGAGUUAUACCUCGGUUUUCAUAGUCAAACUUAAAUUGAUUAAUGUUUAUUCAAUUUGCUUUCUAAACAAAAGUUGCAUAGGUUCUAUCUCGAGUUUUCGUAAUUAAAUGUUAAUUUGGUUAAAUAUAAAUAUAAAUAUAAAUGUGUUUCUGAAUUAUAAUUUGUCUAGUUCAACACGAAUCAUAAAGUUAUGCGCUUAGAUCUUCCCACCUAAGUUAUUUUCCAAAUAAAUGUUUAACUAGUAUAAUUUAUACAUGAACAUUUAUAAAUAAAACUUGAGUAGGAUUUACCUCGGUUUUUGCCAAUAGAGUAAAAUUUGCAUUAUUUCUAAAUUAGGGUAUUUUCUUUCCAAAAUAUCCUUUAGAUAUGUUUUGCUAAUUAAAAUAAAUCCAGCAUAUAGCCUUGUGUGCUCUCAUAAUUGUUUGAUAGCCGUCUUUGUUAGCUUUAGCUUUGUAUCUCUUUUGUAGAUCUAGUCUUCUGUAAAGCUUUAGAUCUUUGUAGUUCCAGAUCAAGCUCACACUCAGUUUCUUUCACAAAUCUAGCCAAGCCUUUCCUUUUCAAGCACGGUUUGUGUGCUUUAGUGAUCCAAAUAGUUUAUCUUAGAGUUUUUGUUCUGCCUAAUAGUUUUGGUCUUCAUGAGUAGUUUGGUGCUGCUCAUUUCCCUAGCUAGUAUAUUUUUUAUCAUGCUUGUUUCCUGUUCCUCUUAGAAACCUGUUUAUCAAAAGCUAGCUCAUAAUUACUAUGUCCUAGUUGUCUCUUUGUGAGUCAGCUAUGUUCGUUAUGGCCAAACCUUUCGCAGCCAUCUCUUUAGAGCUAAUCUUGUUAGUUGUGUCUCUAUCGACCAGUUCAGUUUAGCUUUGACUAGUUUGUUAUCUUUGCAACCUAGUUGCUCUCUUUGUAGACUAGUUUUCCCUAAACCAUAGUUUAAGGUUUUCUUCUGCGCUCUAAAGUCUGAUUUUGAUGUUCUUGUUCACUUAACCAUAACUUAUGCGAUAGCAAUGUGUAUUGCCUGUUGCUUGUCUUUAAAAUCAAAAUUGAAUGUCAAUUUGACUAAUACUUAUUAAACCAGUUUUCUAAUUAAAAGUUUACUAGUUAUACAAUAUGGGAUUUCAUAUAAAAUUUUAAACUUUACUAAUUCUUAUUCAAUUAGUUUUCUACAUAAAAAUUUAUUAGGUUCUAUCCCGGAUUUCAUAAACUAAGAUUUAAUUAAUUAAUUCCUAUUUAUAACUAGCUUUUCUAAAUAAAAUAUACCUAGUGUCAUACAUCAUUUUCCAUGAAUGAAGUUAAUAUGCUUAAUGGUAUUAUAAACACCUUUUUCACAUUAAUAUGUUUAGCUGAACACAAAAUACAAAGUUAUUCGAUUAGAUGUCUUAUACAUGCUCUGUGUUUCUAAAGUUAACUGUUAAAUUGGUGUAACUUGUACUUCAAUAUUUACAAAUAAAAUAUGAUUAAAUUUAUCACGUUUUCAAUGUUCAAAUAUACCUUCUGUUAAUUCCAACUAAGGAUAUUUCUCUAAAAUAUCUACGCAUUGUUUUUUAUUAAAAUCUAAAGUUAACUGUUAAAUUGGUGUAACUUGUACUUCAAUAUUUACAAAUAAAAUAUGAUUAAAUUUAUCACAUUUUCGAUGUUCAAAUAUACCUUCUGUUAAUUCCAACUAAGGAUAUUUCUCUAAAAUAUCUACGCAUUGUUUUUUAUUAAAAUAUAUCAAGCAUAUAGUCUUUUUAUUUCUUUGAUAAUUCAAACCUCUCGAUAGCUUUGUCUUUUCAUCCAUAGUUUCAUUUUCAGCAUUUUUUCUACGUUGCGAUCUUAGAAUCAAGCCCUAUCCUUUGGUAUGAUCUUUUAAAGCUUUUCUUUUGAUUGGUGUACUGUUCUUAGUUGUGCUUGUUUGUUUGCUCUGUAUGGUUGUGCCGAUGAUUGUUUUGAGUAGAAGGAUUGCUAUUCGAAAGCUUUGAAGAUUAAGAGUUUCAAGAGAGCAAGAGCUGAAGAGCAGUAAGAGUAAUUUUUCAUUGGAGAAAGGCAAGUGUCCCCAACCUUCCUUCUAUCUAUGAUUAUUUAAAUACCAUGCAUGCAUUAAUUGGAACAUUGAGCGACCACCCAAGAAAACAAUGCAACCACAAGAACUACAUGGCUCUAGUCUUGGCUAAUUAAUUAGAUACUCUUGUUUGAAGCGGUCUUACCGAAAGGGCAAGAGGGGUGACGGCAGAUGGGGUAUAACCCAACCCUCAGACCGAUAUGCUCAAUGGUAGCUUCGCAGUCUUGAGAGAGGUUUACGCUCUGCUACUUAUCCGGAAACCUUAGCUGGCUACAUCUUAUUAGGGAAUCUUUGUAGAGGUCUUAUAGCUUCCCUAUGCAGUCACAUCUCGGUAGUGUGAUGAGUGCUUGAUUAGCACAGUAUGGUUGGGUCUAAAGUUUUUCUGAACUUCUACGCAACUUGUGGUGAAAAUGUACAACUUCUGCAGAGUGUUAUAUCAACUGUGCUCACAGUCAAGAGUGGCCUGAACCCUCACAUGAUUAAUAAACUUGAAGAUAUACUUAAAUCAUUAUUUUGGUUAUUUUUUGUGUUCUUGCUGAGUAGCAACCAUAAGUGUACUCACCCUUGCUAACCGCUGCUCAGAAUAAGGUGUCUGAAGUUAUUGAAGAUGAUGCUAGGCGUACGCAGCCCCAAUUGAUUGCUUGUGAAGUCUGAAGUCUUUGUUUUCAGGAUUAAGCUGUAUAUCUCUGAUAGACUCGUAAAUUUUUAUUUAUAUUCCUUUACGUGAUACUGUUACUGUUAUUCACUGAUAAUGUCACUAUAUGUAUGAUACUUGAUUAUGGGAUACAUAGGUAGCACUUGGUUUUGUUUUAAAAUCUGGUGUGACAUCGGUUCACAUCAAGCGUGACGAUAAGAAUUUAUAUAAAUGUUGCCCAACCACCCGAAUAUCAUAAAUUGAAGGUAUGUUUGAUUUUUUUACCAUACUUACCUGUGGCUAAACUCCAAAUGCUAGUUUUAGAAUAGUCGUAAUGGAAUUGCCAAGGGCGAGAGAAGAAUUGUUACUGUUGUGCCAUAACCCACAUUGGCUUAUGUGUCUAGACAGCUUAGAUGUCCAGCGUGGCCUAGCGCAUUUUAUGUAAACAUUUACAGGUGCACUGCUGCUGAUUUUAUGUAAUUAUUAAACCUAAUGCAGUUUCAUCAUGGCAAGAUGCAUUAAAGAAAGAAAGGGAAAGACAAAAUGAAAUACACCAAAGAGUUCAGUUCCAGCUGAAAACGUGUCUGCCCCAAGCGAGCUCCUAUACAUCUUCUGUGUUGAUUGCACAGCCCAUAAGGCCCAGCAAUUUACAGCCCAAGCAGCAAUAAUACACAUGCGCCGCAGGCCCCAAUACGAAUAUGUAAGUAUGGGGAAAAAAAAAGAUACGUACCACCUAAGCAGCAUGCCACGGCAGGCCCCAUCAGCCACCAGCCGAAGAUACGUGUUGCUUUACUAUUUUUAUUCAUAUUCCAUUCUACAGUAAUCCUCCUAAUACUAUAUUCAACAUUUUGUGCGAAUUGAUUCAAACAUUCAAAAUAACUAGUUAAACAUUUUGAUAAAACGAAUGCAAAAUUUUCUUAAAAUGUUGAAAUAGUAUAUUAAAAAUGUUGAAUAAAAUGUUGGAAUAGUGUAUUAAAUUUCAACAUUUUUUAUAAAUGCAAAUUCAACAUUUUUAAUAAAAUAUUGAAAUAGCGUAUUAAAAAUGUUGAAAUAGAAUUUAUGAUCUAAUAUAUUCAAAUAAUAAACUAAUAUAGUUAACAUUUUAAAUAAUAGAUUCAUCAUUUCUUUGCAUACUUAACUGUUGGGUAGUUCAUCAAAAAUUUUGAAUUUUAAAAAUUAGCAAAGAUAUAUUCGGAUAUCAUUAUGUUCGAUUAAUUCUCAAUAAUGUAGUGGUUUAAACGAUUAAAAAGGGUUCCCAGUUUGGGAGAAAAAUGCAUUUGAAGUUUGGAAUCCAAAAGCACCAUGCAACCACCACAAGAACCACACUGUCUGUCCUCCCCAUCAGCCGUGCAUGUUCUUUUCUACCUGGAGCCAUGGUGCGCCUGGGCUGUUGCUGUCAAUUGUGGUGGAAAAGGCAAAAUCAUUCCUACAGCUUGGAGAGUACGACACAAGUCGCGAGCAUUGGAAGAUGCUUAAGAAAAAAUUCUUCAAGAAGACACAUAGGAUUUCCAGCCCGGUCCAGCCUAGAAGAGUUUGACCCGCCCAUCAGUCUGUUCAGGCCUAUUAACUUCAGGUCCAAUUAGAAUGUGGGUCGUCCAUUCUCUCUCCUCUCAUAAAAAGACUCGUUCUGUCCUGCGUAACCCAUGGGCCGGCCCAGCUUCCUGUCGCGCUCGUGCCCAGAGCUCGCAGACGGAGGACGGGGAGCCACCAGUGUGGCACUCCGAGGGGCGACCGCGGCGGCGGGGGCACUGAGCAGUGAGCACAGCACAACCCAAUGCUAGCGCAUCGGAGAAGGGCGCGGAUGCCUCGACGAUCUCCGAAGGGUCCCACUGUAAUCUCGUCCGCCAUGUCCGACGGCCUCCUGCAGCCGCGUGCGUUCAAGCAGGUGAGAUCCCACAACUAAGGUUCGUGGCCACGGUCGGAUUCCCGGCCUGAAAGAAACUUAUCAGCCACCUCGUUCUGUUCAUGCUUCUUUGUGCUCUCCAAAUUAAAGUUUCCCCAAUUUUGAUGUAAAUUUCGGUCACGCGCAUGUGGUGUGGCAGUCACCGGAGUGUUGGCAAUACACAUAAAAUCGACAAAUACAUAGACAUCGUAGAGUCUUGGCACUAUGCAUAACUAAUAUCUUACGAAUUUCCCUGUAUGGUCUAACAAGUGCCCUGAAAGGUUGUAACAAGUCUAAGAUGGUGUAGCUUAGUCUCCACUUACCGUCCAUAUCGACCGAGUCUGAGGAGGACGUUACUUCUUCCAGAUGCUGACAAACAACUGCAGAGCACUCCGUCCAUCCUUCUUACUCGCAUUGAGCCCCUUCUCUCCUUCUCGAGACCAAUUCCAAGAGGCAAAACUUUUGGAAACUUUGGAGCAAUGGCAUGGUGCUUAAGUGUAUUAUUGUCAUGCGGUGCAGAACCUGAUUCCUUUCACCCAUUAUUAUUGUCAUGCGGUUGAUUCUGAAAACUUUAUUUUGCUCAGGUUCUAUUUCCAUGUUGCAGAGCCUCCAUGCCUGGUCGAGGCACUUUGUCCUCAACAUCAACUAAAGGUGUGUUUGGAUGGAGGGACGUGACGGAAUGGGAUCAUCCCACUUUUACAUAUGUUUGGUUGGAGGUUAGGUGGGACGAGGACGGCAUCAAAGUAAAAUAUUCUUCGAAAAAGAGGGAUGAAACAGUUCCUCCAAAUCGGUCGGACCAAUCCGUCCCACUUCGAUGACACAAACACCGUGACGAGCAAGACGACACAAACGCCGUGACGACACAAACGCCGUGACGAGCGAGCGCCUCGAGCGCAAGCGCACGUCCAACUCCAGCGCAGCGCCACGAGAAAAGCCAGGCGGCAGGGGCACGUAGCUCGGGCGGUAGAGGAAUGGAGCUGGGUGGUGGGGAGGGUGGAGCCCGGUGGCGCAGGGGACCGCCAGGAGGAGACGGGGAUCGACCUCCUGGGUUCCAGUUCCACCCCACCAACGAGGAGCUGGUGGUGCAGUACCUCCGUCGGAAGGCCCUGUCCCGCCUGCUGCCCGCUGCCAUCAUCCCCGUCAACCACGACCAUGCCAGGCUGGAUCCAUGGGACCUCCCUGGUGCGUCCGCACGCUCUCUUUCAGAUUAAUGGGAAGGAAGGCUGAGACAGAGUGUUCUGAUGUUCCUUGAUUGAUUGGUGUGUGUACAGGAGCGAGCGAAGGGGAGGGGUACUUCUUCAGCGCGCCUUCGUCGAGCAGCGGCCGCUGGAGGAGAGCUAGCAGCGGGUACUGGAAGGCCACGGGGAAGGAGAAGCCUGUGUUCCUGCAGUGCGGCGGCAAGCGGCAGCUGCUCGUGAGCGUCAAGACGGCGCUCGCCUUCCAUCGCAGCGAGCCGUCAUCGUCACAGGGGACCGCCGGUAGGAGACGGGAGGGCGAAGCCUGGCGGCGCGGGGUGGUGUGGGCCUCGGCUGCGGUGGCGCGGGUGAUUGCGCCGCGACACGCCGAGAAGGGGAUGAGGCUCUGAGGCUAAUAGUGAGCUCCGCGGCUAACGGAAUACAAACACCGUUUAUUUCAUCGGUCCUCAUCCCUCAAACCAAACAACGAAAUUAGGAUGUUCCCAUCUUUCCAACCAAACAUUAAGUGGGAUCAUCUCAUCCUAAAAAAGAGGAUGAUCCUAUCUCAUCCCACCUGUCCCUCCAUCCAAAUACACCCUAACUGCGCCGGUCGAUGUGAUUGCGACUGCUUGUUCUUACCGGACUGGUUAUAUGAAGCUGGCAUCAGAAGUAACCAGGUUCUGAUCCUCCCUGUGUUGAGUUCCAGCUAAUAUCACUCUAGGAUCAGUGCAAUGAAUGGUUUCUGUGAAAUCCAUCUUCAUCUCCUUUCGUUCCAAAAAACUAUCCUGUUAUCUAAGGAAGCUCCCAACUGCAAUCCACUCCUCCGUAUUUUUUGGGUCCCGGAAGAUAGAACUCUUUUUCAGUGUACAUUCUAUUUUCGGUAUAAUUAACAUACAUUAUGAAAAUCUAAGAAUGAGGCCCCCUCCCCCCGAGAGAGGCGACGCCCAUGGUGACACCCCGCCCGUACACCAACCUCGUCCCAGACCCCCCACCCCAGUAACCUCCACCAACCAACCGGCCCCAGAUCCGAGCGCAUCUGUAGAAGACCUCCAAGCUCGUACUAGCCGUGUCGUGAGGGAGCAAGAGAAGGAGGAGAUCGAGUUCACUCAGAAGAAGGUCCAAGAUCCAGAUCCCAUCGGUGAGGUCGCAGUACAGGAGCAGUUAUCGCCGGAAGAUCGACAGUCUGGCCAAGCUAUGCAUACCCAGAGGCUAGAGGCAGCGACGGAGGCCAGCAUCCUCCCGGAUCUCGUCCAAGAUUUGCGAGCACAAGCUAGCCUUAAGUCGACGCGGCUGGAAACAGGCAUUGAAUGCGACGAGGCAAAUCACACGCCAAGCACAAGCAUGCCAGUGAGGCUGGCGAGGGGCUCGACGAGGAAGAAGAAGACCGGUGGUUCGCGCCCUCCUCCAACGGCUUGUCAAGCAAGAGAAUCCACAAAAUCUGCCGCACAGCAGAGUUUUUGAGCCUGUAAAGCAGAAGCUCACCAGCGCAGUGAAAGGAAAAGGAGCAGGGACAGAACGGCAACCAUGCCAGCCAUCAAAUCUGCAUCAGAGAAGGGAGCAGAGCAUUUCAACAAGCAGCUGGCAAAAGCAGCGGGGUCAAUGCUUGAGAGAAGGGGAGGUGGGUAACCUUCAAUUCCCCUCUCCUCCAUUCAGGUCCAGCUCAAGGAAUAGACAGCAAUGACAUCAGCAACAAGAUCCGACCAUGGACAAAUCUUCAAGGACACAACACACUGCACUGCAGUCAGAGACCUGGAUUGAUGAACACGGCUUCCAAGUGGUAAAACCAGCAUAUUGGUGGCGAAGGACUGGAGACCAUUCAAGAGAAGAUUCAAGGCUUCACCAACCGGACAUGGAAGAGCAUAGGAGGAAGAGGUACAGGGAACAUGUCAGGGGAAAAUGUCUCAAUUGUUUCUCCACAGAACACAAAGCAGCUGAAUGCAAGCAACGCACUAAAUGCUGAAGAUGUCUGCAGACGGGGCACAAGGCCCUCGCCUGCCCAACCUGGAGAGACCAUGUUAAAAGGCCACCACCGGAGACUUAUUCUCAUUCUUGUCAAACCAAGACCAUCCCCACCACCACAUCUUUCCCCCCACUCCUGCUGGCCGGACCGUCUGCACGGCCGGCCGUUUCUACCUUCGGGCAGCAAAGGGCGAGGCAGCUCCCAUGGCGACAUACCCGGGUGACCCGCGUGCCCGCCCAGAAUACGCGGUCUGUGCGCUCUCAGCGACUGGGCACAUCAAGCGCAAGCAGGAGUCCAUGAUCGGCAAGACAGCAGUCUGUUGGCUCAACGGCAACAGCCACGACAUGGAGAUAUGCCACGUCGCUGAUGCCCUUGAAGAACAGCUCCUCAUCAGCCGCCAUGAAGUGCGCGUCGUCAAGCACUUCCCCGAGCAAUAUCUGGUGUUCUUCACCGACUGCCGAGCAUACCAUCGCGCUAUCGACCAGUGGGGCGUCCACAAAUGAGGAAGAGUCUUCAACUUCGAGCCAUGGACAGAGCGUUGGAACGUCGUGGAGAGCAAGCUAGAGUUCCGGGUCAGGCUGCGCAUUGAGGGAGUGGCGCUGCUGCAUGCCUGGUCCGAGGAGGUGGCGGCCCAAGUCAUUGGCCAAUACUGCGCCAUCCACUACGUUGAGGAACACGCACGCCAGUAGGAGUGCACACGAACCUACGAUCUGUGGGCGUGGUGCUCCAACCCCCAAGAUCCCUAAGAAGUUGCUGCUCACCAUCACCGACCCUGACAGGGAGCAGCCGGCAAUCGACAUCCCGCGGCAGCUCGUCAACCCCAACCACGACACACCUGAUGACAUCAAGGGCGCGUACAACUACAAGCUGCACAUCCACCUCGACGUGGUCGAGGACCUCUCCUUCCUCAGAGGGAGGGACGGAGGGGACGGAUAGCACAACAGGAGGCCAUGCCGUGAGUUCCUCUGAAACUACGGGGCACCGGACUCCCAGGGGGAACGGCGCAGUGACCAGUACCAUGAUAACUUUGCAAGCCGCGACUACCACCCACGCCGUGACAGAGACGACCAUGACGACCAGCACCAUCGAGGCACAAGGCGCCACCGUAGUGCCUCUUCCUGGGGGCGAGUGACGCGCUGCCGCGGAGCCAUGGAGGACUGCUACAGCUCCACACACCGCAACGGCAACUAGGUACACUCGGGUCGCCACAACAGAGUCCAGAACAACACAGCUGGCCAGGACAACAAAAGCCAUUCUCUGAUGGCUUGGCGCAAGAAGAGCACAGGAGGCAAGAAGGUCUCCUUUGCAAAUCCUCUGGUGCAGAUCAUGGGUGAGUUUGAGUUUGACCCUAGUUGCUAUCAUUUCCCAGCGCCUUCGAAUUCUGACUUGGUGGGUGAGUGGUUUGACCCCAUGAGGGAAGAGAUGCUCAUCCCUAAUAUUUUUGUAGGCGACCCAGGCAAGGAGGAUCGUAUCCUGAACAUGCUGCACUCGGCAGUGGGAUGGACCCCGGUUGCUUCACCAAGGAGUGCUCCGGAGGAAGGCGAGCUGCCGGAGCCAGUGACCGAGCUGCAGGAACCAGAAGGGCACAACAUGCAUUCGCCAAUCACCAACAAGCAGUCACAGGUCUGUCUGGUUUCUACUCCUCUAGAUGCAUCAGUGAGGCACACACAACAAGCUCAAAUUUCAGAAACUGUCAACACGGAAAACACUAGCUCAUCGCCUUUUGCACAGUACACCAACAGAGUAGAGCCCCCUAAUGUCAACAGAGAAGAGGUGAACGGUAGCAACAUCAUUAGUGAAAAUAACAACAACAUAGCAGCACCGCACAACACCGUAGCUACUUCAGUUAUAUGCAAUGAUCAAGAUAUGGUAGCCACUUCUGUUGAAAAUGGGGAGGGUAACAUAGAGGUCGGUGAGGGUCCUAAAUUUGACGACCUUUCAGCUUUCAUUGAUUUCAUAGCCUGCAAGCCAAAUGCGCAUAUUGUUUGCACUCCACCCAGAGCAAACCCCAUCACAUCAGGCAACGAAAAUCAGGGCCAAAACACAGCACAAAGAAAAAGCUCUAGGCUAGCGGAUAAAGCUAAGCUAAACCCGGGCAAGGACAGCACCCAACUUGCCCAAAAAGUCCUUAGUAAUAAGCUUGGGGAGCUGUCUCCAAAGUCGAAAGUUAAUUCUAAUGCUGAGGUUGAUCAUUUGGUGCAGCACCUUCCAAAGCCACUGACGGACCUGAAGAUGAUGGCCAUCAAAACCUUGGUGGAGCAGGGAAACCAGGCCAAGCACAAGAACAUGAAGAGGAGCAAGAUCACUCCAUCAGCAAUUGGAGAGAUGGAGGCCCAAGUGGCCUGAGGGAUAACCAUCCAGGGAGGAAGCGUUUCAGUGGUUUUUACUUCCCUAAUGUUAGGCAUAAAAUAAUUGAACUUAAACUUAGUCGAAUCUGUAUCUUUAAAUGGGCCAACAAUUAGGCCCUGCGACUUCAGCGGUGCUUUGUAUCGGGCAGAAUGCCCAGCAUCGACGUCCACGAAGCUCGCCAAGCUCUCCUCGAGGCAAUGCUUUAGUGAAAAAACAAGUCUCCUGGGACUUCUCAGCUUUGUAUCAGGACCAUGCGCCAAGCAAUGUUGUCCGCAGGUUGACGCUUUCCAUGAGUCUACUAUUAGUUGUGCACCUCUGAUCCAUGUCACAAAAGGAUUGUAAUGUGUUGUGUUGGAAUGUUCGUGGGCUUAAUGUGGCAGCUAGGAGAGCAAGUGUACGAAGCACGAUUCGUUCAUCCGGAGCAACGAUAGUAUGUCUGCAAGAGACCAAAAUAGCACACUGGACAUCUAAACUCGUGGCAGACACCCUGGGCAAUAAUUUUGCAAAGAACUUUGCUGUGUUACCAGCCCUUGGCACAAGAGGAGGCAUCCUUAUAGCGACAACGGUGAACCAUUUUGAUAUGCACAACAUCCACACCAUCGAUCACACAGUAUCCACAACAAUCACUAUGAAAGUAGACAAAAAAAUCUUGGACACUCACUUGCGUCUAUGGCCCUCAGGAUGAACACGACAAGCUACUAUUUCUAGAGGAACUGAAGAGCCUAAAAGAACAAGUUCUCACGGAAUGGCUCAUAGUUUGUGACUUUAACCUUAUAUAUAAGGCAGAGGACAAAAGUAACAAUAGGCUCAACAGAAACUUGAUGAAUCGUUUCAAGCAGGCAAUUGACAAGAACCAACUGAUGGAAAUCGACCUCCACGGAUGGUGUUUCACCUGGAGCAACGAACAAGAUCACCCAACAUUCACAAGGAUAGACAGGUUCUUCGGUACACCAGAAUGGCAUCUUCUCUUCCCAAACCUUGACUUGCAAGCCUUGCCAACCAUGGGCUCAGAUCACUGCCCAUUAUUUUUAACAGGUGACGUAGAGAGACAGAACUAUAUGGGCUUUCACUUUGAAUCUUAUUGGGUGAACAUGCCAGGUUUCUUAGAGACUAUACAAGAAGUCUGGAGCCAGCCAGUGCAUACUCAAGAUGCCAUACUGCGUAUGCAUGUCAAACUCAUUCGCACAGCAAAGGCACUUAAAUUGUGGAAGAGAAAAAACCUUGGCAAUCUAGCCCUUAGACUGGCAAUAGCCAAUGAGGUGCUAUGCUUCUUGGAUGCAGCUCAGGAACAAAGAGCCCUUACAACAGAGGAAUUAGAAUUUCAACGAUACCUAAAAGCGAAGUCGGUGGGCUUAGCAACGGUUCAGAGAGCCCGUGCAAGACAACACUCCCGGCUCACAUGGAUGCGAAAAGGAGACGCAUGCACACGCCUGUUUAUGCUGCAUGCUAACAACACAAGAAGAAAUCUACACAUCCCGUCCUUAACCACCGUAAAUGGAACAACAAUCAACAACCACCAGCAAAAAGAGGAAAUAAUAUACGAUCACUUCGUAAACCUGUUGGGCAAAACACAAGAGAGAUCCCUCAGCCUAAACUGGACAAAUCUCGGAUGUCAUCCACAUGACUUGACCGACCUGGAAGCACCAUUUGAGGCAGAAGAAAUAAAAAAGGUCGUCAUGCACUUACCAGCAUAAAAAUCACCUAGCCCGGAUGGAUUUAUUGGUCUAUUCUAUAAGAAGUGUUGGGAUGUGAUCGGAGAGGAUCUGAUCCAAGCUCUUCAUGCCUUCCACUCCCUUAGGACCAGACGCAUGGAAUUGAUUAACGAGGCCAAUAUCAUUUUGCUGCCAAAGAAAGAAGGAGCAACCAUGGUUGCAGAUUUCCGACCCAUCACUCUCAUUAAUAGUCUAGCCAAGAUCAUAACAAAGGUGCUAGUAGAUAGGUUGGCUCCGAGACUGAAUGAGCUAGUUUCCGGAUGUCAGAACACCUUCAUCAAAAAAAGAUGCAUUCAUGACAACUUCGUCUACGUACAUAGUGUAAUCAAGGCGUUGCACAAAUCAAAGAGACCGGCACUCUUUGUAAAACUCGAUAUCUCAAAAGCAUUUCAUUCGCUUAAUUGGGUAUUUCUCAUCGAAACAUUACAGGCCCUAGGUUUUGGCCAAAAAUGAGAGAUUGGAUUACAACACUAUUAGCCACCUCAUCAUCCAAGGUGCUACUUAACGGGAGACCUAGGAAAAAAUUGAAGCAUGCUAGAGGCCUCCGUCAAGGAGACCCACUAUCACCCAUGUUGUUCAUCCUUGCCAUUGACCCACUCCAUAAAAUGGUGGAACUAGUAGCCGGCAACAACAUCAUAAGACCAAUCCUCCCCAGAGCGGCAAAGCUACGAUGCUCCCUUUAUGCAAAUGAUGCAGCUAUUUUUACAAACCCAGACAGAGAAGAACUACAACGUAUCGGACAGUUGUUACAUAUCUUUGGAGAAUGUUCAGGACUCAAGAUAAAUAUGACUAAAACGGAAAUAUUCCCUAUCCGGUGUACCAAUGAAACCAUCUUAGAAGCUCUAGAGCACUUCUCGGGAAAAAUUUCCUCCUUCCCUGGAAAAUAUUUGGGCUUGCCUCUUCACAUGCGCAAACUCCGAAGGGUGGACGUCCAACCAUUAAUUGACAAGAUCGGUGGAAGGCUUCCUGGAUGGAAAGGUAAAAUGUUAUCGUCGGCCGGGAGAGAAACACUGGUGAAGAGUGUAUUAACAUCACAACCAAUAUAUCACCUCACAGUUUUCCCUACUCAAAAAUGGCUGAUCAAACAGAUUGAUCACCUACGUCGCAGUUUCCUUUAGAAAGGAGAGGAACCAAAAAAGGUCAAUGGAGGACACUACUUGAUUAAAUGGCCAACAGUAUGCACGCCUAAGGACAUGGGAGGGCUCGGGAUUCUCAACCUCGAGAGACUUGCGAGGGCUCUAAGAAUGAGAUGGUGCUGGUUCCAGUGGAAGUAUAGUGAGAUACCUUGGGUAGGACUUGAUAUCCCGUGCGAUAAGAAUGAUAAAGACCUAUUCUAUGCGUCAACAGUAGUAAUGGUGGGCAAUGGAAAGAAAGCAAACUACUGGAUAGCGCAGGUUUACCCACUCAUGACAGGAGAGGAAAUCAGAGAGUAUGUGCAGCUAUUUGAGGAAAUAAACAUGCUACAACGUGACACUAAUGCGGAGGAUGAAAUAUCAUGGAGGUGGACGCAGGACGGGGAGUAUACCACAAAGAGUGUAUACCGUAUACAAUUCCAAGGCCAACUGAAGAAGUUGAGUAUCACCUCAAUAUGGAAAGCUAGAACUGAACCAAAAUGCCGGAUCUUUGCCUGGCUUCUCCUGCAUAGGAAAAUCUUAAUAGCAGACAACUUGGAAAAGCUGGGGUGGCCUAAUGACCCUCAGUGCAAGCUAUGCAAUUCGGACCUGGAGACACCCACACACCUGUGCAAAGACUGCCCUUACACAACGGCAGUCUGUGACCGGCUGCAGGGAUGGUUUUCUCUUAACCACUUACCCCCAGGCAACACAUCGCUUUCGAUCCACAAGUGGUGGAAGAAAUGUAGGAGCAUGAUCGACAAAAGGAACAAAACUUUCUUUGACGGCCUCAUCAUAUAUUUCUAGUGGAACAUUUGGAAAGAGCGCAACAGACGAAUCUUUAAUCACGAAACCAAACUGGUGGAAGACGUCGCGUUCUCUAUCAAAGAAGACAUCCAACAGUUCCAGUUCGCCAAUAAAACGCAUGAAGCUCCCGCGGUUGAGCCAACCUAGCAGCAUUUUUCAUCUUUUAAAGUGGGGUUUUGAAGUGGAGCUCGUAGUUGUUGUUGUUUUUUCCUUUCUCCCUAGGGAGUGCUAUUUAGUUGGUGCAGUGAGAGCCAUGUACAUAGAGUUAUUUUUUGUUUUAUUUUCUUGUCUUGUUUGGUUUUACCUCUUCUAAUAAAAAUUCGGCAAAGCUUUUGCCGUCCGUUAAAGAAAACAUACAUUAUGAUAAUUUUAUAAAUUUUAAUGGAGACGGGGAUGCAUAUGAUAUACUCCCUCCAUCUAUAUUUAUAAGGCGUGGAAGGACUUAGCACGGUCUUCCAAAUAACACUUUGACCCUUUAUUUAUCUUAUAUUAUAGUAUUUAUAGUUAUAAACUUAUAAUCAUCGUAGAGUAUAUUUGAUUACGAAUCCAACUAUAUAAAUUUUGAAUUAUAAAAAUAAAAAAAUAAUAGUUAAAUUAUUGGUCAAAAAUUGUAAAGUUUAAAUCUUGAUAUGCGUGUGCGCCUUAUAAAUAAAAACGGAUGGAGCAUAUCCCCCAAAUGUUUCUAUAUAUUGUGGAACUCAACUUAACUGAAGGAUAUAAAGACAAGAUUUUCAUAGGAAAUCGAACCAUUUUAAGAGGCGGUUCACACGAGGGAUCUCCUAGGAUAAUGCUAUUUGUGCACAACCAUACCCUUACAUGAACCGUCUCUGGAACCAGAAAUCAUUCCGUUUUCACUUACGGCAGACACGAGUGUAAUGGAGCCGUACAGGUGCAGGAGGGCGAUCCCCAUCUAGACUUUAAUUUGGCCAUGUGGAAGUAGGACACACUAUCUCUAGCACCAGCACCAUGUGUAGUUGGUCCCCCGUGUAUGCAUCAAUGCUGCACCUAUCGACUGUGACCUGGCACCUAACCGGACAGUUGGUUACGGUAGCCAUUCUUGUGAUUUCACAACUCAAAGGCAUCGUUUAUCCUCCCUCUCCCUGCUGCUGCUCAUCCUCCCUUCACUGAACUACUUGUUGCAAUCAGAAGAAAGAUCAAUCGAGUUGAAGAGACAGAUCGGAAGCUAGUCAACGUUGAUUGGUUCGUGAGUGAUGUUAUGAUCCGUCCCUCUGUUAUAACCAUCCAACCCAGCUGGUGCAGAAGCUAAUUACCUGAAGCAAUAUAUUUGUAGAAACGAAUAGUAAUAUAUUUAUAGAAACGAAUAGUACUGGUUAGUUCACUUAUUUCUUUGCUCAAACUUAGCCGUUUGGCAAGGCUUCGUCUUGGGUUAAAAUGACUCCGGAGCUUCGGCUCAUCAAGCAACUUUUUAUAUCUCUAGCUCAUCCUAUUAAAAAAUAUUUGGUAAAAUGAUUUCUCCAAAUUAGUUUGAGGUUGAUAGAAAGAUAAAAUGUCCAAAAUACUCUAAGAACAUAUAUUUUUCAUUCCAUUUUUUUCUUUUCCAUCAUUCUUUUAUUCCAUCUACUAUUUUUUCCUUACGCUUUUUUUUUUGGCCAGGUGUGCCUUAUCCGCUUCGGCCCUUCCCACCAUGCCUUUUUUCCUAUUUCUUUUCUUGCCGAGCGUGCUUUAUCUCCUUCGUUGACUUCAGUAGCACCUGUUGCGUUCGAUGCUCGCGCGGCAGCCCGGGGACCUCGACCUCGCCCGCCUAGGAGCUCCAGCAGCCGGUCCGCUCCGCCGCCGGUGCGGCAACCACGCCGUCGUCAGACCGCCUCACGCGGCCACCGGUCGUCCCCGCGAUACACCGCCGCCGGUGCGCCGUGCGCGGCGGCGCUGUCCCGCCGCUCCGCCGCCUACCGUCGGCCUGCGCCACCACCAGCGCACCGGCAGCACCGCGAGCUGCCGCGCCGCCCCGACAUUGGUCCUUCCCGAGCCCGGUGUCGUCACCAGCGUCGCGGAGAGAAGGUAAGGGGAGUGGCAAUUUUGCAGUAGUUUUGACGAACUUGAGGAGCAAAGUUAAAGCACAUGGCUGUGGGGAAGAGGAGAAGCGGGGAAAGCUACUUUUUAUGACUCACGCUGCUCAGUUCGAUUUGAUGAUUGGCUUCACACCGGCUUUUCCUGUGAAGCCCUUUUCAACUCACCCGUUUGGUAGGGUUUGGCCUGAAGCCGGUUCAUAAGCGGGAGCCAGAGCCCUACCAAAACUAUUUGGUGAGACUAUGAGCCGUUUGGUUCUCUGACUUAUUUUUAGCACAUGUCACAUUGAAUGUUUAGAUACUAAUUAGGAGUAUUUAACGUAGACUAUUUACAAAACCAUUACACAGCUGGAGGCUAAAUGGCGAGACGAAUCUAUUAAGCCUAAUUAGUCCAUAAUUUGACAAUGUGAUGCUACAUUAAAUAUUUGCUAAUGAUGGAUUAAUUAGGCUUACUAGAUUCAUCUCGUCGUUUAGCCUCUAUCUGUGCAAUUAGUUUUAUAAUUAACUCAUAUUUAGUCCUCCUAAUUAGCCUCCAAAUAUUCGAUGUGACACGGACUAAACUUUAGCUCAAGGAACCAAACCUCGCAUAAAUUAGCUGCUUAUUCUGCUGGUUGCAUGCAGGAGAUCGAGCUGCGGGCACACGGCCGGAUCGGAGGAGGACAUAUCAGCCGGGUUCCUGUUGGUUGUGUACUUGUGUUCCUGCCAGCGGAGAAGCAACCAUGGCCGAGUUAGUGAUCGGGCCACUGAUCUCCAUGGUGAAGGAGAAGGCAUCCAGCUACCUGCUGGACCAAUACAAGGUGAUGGAAGGCAUGGAGGAGCAGCGCAAGACCCUGGAGCGCAUGCUGCCAGCAAUCCUGCAAAUCAUCCAGGAUGCGGAGGAGAAAGGAGCCUCCCGACGAGGAGUAGCAGCUUGGCUCAAACACCUCAAGACAGCAGCCUAUGAGGCCAACGACGUCUUUGAUGAGUUCAAGUACGAGGCGCUUCGGCGAGAAGCCAAGAAGAAGGGCCACCACAGCAAGCUUGGAGUGGAGGUAGCAAGACUCCUAGUCCCCACUCGUAAUCCCAUUGUAUUCCGUUACAGGAUGGGCAAGAAGCUACGCAAGAUUGUGCAGACCAUCGAGGCCUUGGUCACCGAGAUGAAUACAUUUGGUUUCAGGCACUUGCAGCAAGCAAAGCCAUCAAGGCAGUGGCGACAGACAGAUUCCAUAAUCAUUGACUCCGACAGAGAUAUUCUUAGCAGAUCUAGAGAUCGGGAGAAGAAGAAAAUCGUGGGGAUGCUCCUUGAUCAAGCUAGCAACAUGGAUCUCAUGGUUCUUCCAAUUGUUGGGAUGGGUGGGAUGGGCAAGACCACCUUUGUGCAACUCAUUUACAAUGACCCUGCAAUCGAGAAGCACUUUGAGUUUCGGAGGUGGUGCUGCGUAUCAGAUGAUUUCGAUGCAAGUACCAUUGCAAGCAACAUCUGCCAGACCAACGAGAAAGGACGUGAAAAAUCAUUGCAGGAGCUCCAGAGUAUAAUAAUUGGAAAAAGGUACCUCAUUGCGCUAGCUGAUGUAUGGAAUCGGGAUGCUGCUAAGUGGGGAAAACUAAAGACCUGCCUUAAGCAAGGUGGCAAGGGCAGUGCAGUACUAACAACAACUUGUGAUGCAGAAGUGGCUUGCAUUAUGACCAUGGGUGUAGCUGAAGCCCAUAAUAUCGAGAAUCUGAGUGACAAGCAUUUAAAGGAAAUU
rnacentral:lncRNA from 1 species